rnacentral:lncRNA from 1 species
UUUAUUUUAAAACACAAACAACUAGUUCAUUGAAAUGAUAACUUGUUUAGUACACAAACAAGAUCUUACUUAAUACAUAGAAAUAAGAUCUUACGGAACAUAGAGAUUAAAAACAUAGGAACAACAUGAAAAGUUUUUAAAAUGACAUAGAUAUUGAUUAACAAAGAUAUGAACUAGUUUCGGGUAUUUUUUAACCAUCCAUCAAGGUAAACUUGUUUGGAGUCAGGGGUGGAUUUUGGUCUAAUAUCUUUCAACCAUCCAUCAAGGUAAACUUGGUUGGAAUCAGAGGAGGAUUUUGCUUUUUCAGCUCGAGUGUCUUUCAACCAACCAUCAAGAUAAACUUGUUUGGGAUCAGAGGUGGAUUUUGUUUUCUCUGCUCGAGUAUCUUUCAACCACCCAUCAAGGUAUACUUGGUUGGAGUCAGGGGUAGAUUUUGUUCUCUCGUUUCGAAUAUCUUUCAACCAUCCAUCAAGGUAAACUUGGUUGGAAUCAGAGGAGGAUUUUUCUUUUUCAGCUCGAGUGUCUUUCAACCAACCAUCAAGAUAAACUUGUUUGGGAUCAGAGGUGGAUUUUGUUUUCUCUACUCGGGUAUCUUUCAACCACCCAUCAAGGUAUACUUGGUUGGAGUUAGGGGUAGAUUUUGUUCUCUCGUUUCGAAUAUCUUUCAACCAUCCAUCAAGGUAAACUUGGUUGGAGUCAGAGGAGGAUUUUUCUUUUUCAGCUCGAGUGUCUUUCAACCAACCAUCAAGAUAAACUUGUUUGGGAUCAGAGGUGGAUUUUGUUUUCUCUACUCGGGUAUCUUUCAACCACCCAUCAAGGUAUACUUGGUUGGAGUCAGGGGUAGAUUUUGUUCUCUCGUUUCGAAUAUCUUUCAACCAUCCAUCAAGGUAAACUUGGUUGGAGUCAGAGGAGGAUUUUUCUUUUUCAGCUCGAGUGUCUUUCAACCAACCAUCAAGAUAAACUUGUUUGGGAUCAGAGGUGGAUUUUGUUUUCUCUACUCGGGUAUCUUUCAACCACCCAUCAAGGUAUACUUGGUUGGAGUCAGGGGUAGAUUUUGUUCUCUCGUUUCGAAUAUCUUUCAACCAUCCAUCAAGGUAAACUUGGUUGGAGUCAGACAUGGUUUUUGUUUGCUUUGCUCGAGUAUUUUUCAACCAUCCAUCAAGGUAAACUUGGUUGGAGUCAGAUGUAGAUUUUUCUUUCUCAGCUCGGGGAUCUUUUAACCAUCCAUCAAGAUAAACUUGUUUGGAGUCAGAGGUGGAUUUUGUUUUCUCUGCUCGGGUAUCUUUCAACCAUCCAUCAAGGUAAACUUGAUUGGAGUUAGGCAUGGACUUUUCUUUCUCGACUCUGAUAUUUUUCAACCAUCCAUCAAGAUAAACUUGGUUUGAGUCACUUGCAGGUUUUGUUUUCUCAACUCGGGUAUUUUUCAACCAUCCAUCAAGGUAAACUUGGUUGGAUUCAGAGGUGGAUUUUGCGUUCUCUGCUCUGGUAUCUUUCAACCAUCCAUCAAGGUAAACUUGGUUGGAGUUAGGUGUUGACUUUUCUUUCUCAGCUCUGAUAUCUUUCAACCAUCCAUCAAGAUAAACUUGGUUGGUGUCACCGGUAGAUUUUGCUUUCUCAGCUCGAUUAUCUUUCAACCAUCCAUCAAGGUAAACUUGGUUGGAUUCAGAGGUGUCUUUUGCUUUCUUUGCUCUGGAAUCUUUUAACCAUCCAUCAAGAUAAACUUGAUCAGAGUUCUGGGAGGAUUUGGUUUUCUCUGCUCGUGUAUCUUUCAACCAUCCAUCAAGAUAAACUUGGUUAGAGUUAGCAAUGUGUUUUUGACUCUUCAAUGGAUUUUUGAGCCAACCAUCAAGGUAAGGUUGAUCAACUUGUAUUUCUUGUACAUUCUCUUGCUGAAGUUUGAUAUAUCGGGCAAAGCUUCCUUGUCCAUUCUAUAAUACAAUUGAAUAAAUGGAUAUUAGUGAGUUAUUUUUGGAUGGUAUAUAUGAUUACAAAAACAAAAUAAUGUGUUUUAUAAGACACAUUAUGUUGCACAGGUGAGACACAUUCAUUAUAUAUUUCAGAUGGAUACAAAAUGUGAAAUAAAAAUGAAAGAAAAACAAUUUUUAAAAUUUCAUUGCGGCAUAGAAAACAUUAUUUUAUCAAAUCAAAUAGAACAACUUGAUUGUAAGUGAAUGAUGAAAUCAAAUCAAAUAAAGAUGAGAAAUGAUAGAUUGUGAUAAAUAAAUGAUGAAAAAUAUAAGUGUAAAAGAUACAAGAAUGGAUGCAAAGUUAGUAACUUACGAUCAACAAGAGCAUGAUAAAAGGGAGGAGAAACAAAACAUCUUUGUGUGUCAUUUCUUUAAUGUUAUGAUUUUGUGGGAAAAUUGUUUUAAUGUGAAAAGAUGUAUUGAAAUGGAAGUGAAUUGGGCUAUUUAUAAGUGAAUGAAAAGAAAAACUACAUUAAGGAUAUUAAGGACAUUGCGACUUUGGUUGGCAAGAUUAUUUUUUAAAUAUUUAAUUUAUUUUAUUUUUUAAAUGUUUAGUUUAAUUUAUAAGUUUAUAUGUCUAAGAAAGAUCAAUUUACUUUUUCCAAGAUCUAUUAGGUGUGUUGUUUUGAGUUAUAAAUAAAAAAUUCAAAAAAUUGUUUGUUUGGUAUCAUUUUUUUAAUUAGAAGCUCCUAACUAAAUUCUCCAGGUUUAAAAUAAAUAAAUUUUAGAAAAGCUACUGCAAUUAGUUUUUUAUUUUAAAAUUAAAAAUGAUUCUCUUAAAAACUUUAAUAAAAACCUAUUAAAAUGAUAAAGGUGAUUUUUUAAAUGUUAAACAAACAUUUAUUUUGAUAAGUUAUUUCAAAUAAUUUAAAAUUUCAUAAAUUUAUUUUAAUUUAUAAUUGAAGUGGUAAUUAUCAUAAUCUCGUCUCUUGAGUUCUAAUAUUUGAGCUAAUAGUAUAAAUAUUUUUUAGUUGAAUUAAAAUUUGCAUUAAUGAUAGUUUCAAUUUUACAAUUAAUUAAACUAAUUUAGUAGUUAAUUUUAUUAAGUGUAAUAAAUGCAAUGAAUUAAUUUAACUACAUCCCCUUUAAUUCGAGGUGGGUGUAGGUAUUCCGAGACAUUCAAAUUUGAAGACUAAUAUAUAGAUUAAAAUUAUUUAUUAAUUUAUUUAAUGGUAAUUACAUAUUACAAAAUUUCAUUUUUGGAAAAAAGUUAUUAUUUUAAUAUUUUAUAUUUUUUAAUAGUUAUUAUUUUAUAAAAUUAAUUAUAAUGAGUAUAAUAUUUUAAUUUUAUUAUCAUCAAAUAUACACGACAUCAAAAUUACCAAACAUGAAAUCUAAAUAUAGGGAUCCAAUUAAUUGAAUUGGAAUUUACAUUGUGAAUCAUGAGUCUUCUGCCACCAAUUCCUAGGGACUCACUACCUAGCAAACAAUGAAUACAAAAUAGUAUCACAAGAAACACUAAAAUACUGUGUUGACCCUUGCAUGUUUAAGAUGUUCACAUGUAGCUAGGGUUUGGGUGGUUAUGUAGUUAUGCUUACCUAAUAGUAAGACUGUGUUGACCUUUGCAUGUUUAAGAUGUUCACAUGUAGCUAGGGUUUGCGUGGUUAUGUAGUUAUGCUUAUCUAAUAGUAAGUUAAAAAAUUGUAGUUAUCUAAAAAGUAAUAAAUUAUUAUAUUGACCGGUCUAAAGAGAAGAUAGAUAAGUUANGUAGUUAAUUUUAUUAAGUGUAAUAAAUGCAAUGAAUUAAUUUAACUACAUCCCCUUUAAUUCGAGGUGGGUGUAGGUAUUCAGAGACAUUCAAAUUUGAAGACUAAUAUAUAGAUUAAAAUUAUUUAUGUUCGUCUUAUAUAUUUUUUUUUUAUAUUUUAAUAUAAAUAUUUAUUAAUUUAUUUAAUGGUAAUUAUAUAUUACAAAAUUUCAUUUUUGGAAAAAAGUUAUUAUUUUAAUAUUUUAUAUUUUUUAAUAAUUAUUAUUUUAUAAAAUUAAUUAUAAUGAGUAUAAUAUUUUAAUUUUAUUAUCAUCAAAUAUACACGACAUCAAAAUUACCAAACAUGAAAUCUAAAUAUAGGGAUCCAAUUAAUUGAAUUGGAAUUUACAUUGUGAAUCAUGAGUCUUCUGCCACCAAUUCCUAGGGACUCACUACCUAGCAAACAAUGAAUACAAAAUAGUAUCACAAGAAACACUAAAAUACUGUGUUGACCCUUGCAUGUUUAAGAUGUUCACAUGUAGCUAGGGUUUGGGUGGUUAUGUAGUUAUGCUUACCUAAUAGUAAGACUGUGUUGACCUUUGCAUGUUUAAGAUGUUCACAUGUAGCUAGGGUUUGCGUGGUUAUGUAGUUAUGCUUAUCUAAUAGUAAGUUAAAAAAUUGUAGUUAUCUAAAAAGUAAUAAAUUAUUAUAUUGACCGGUCUAAAGAGAAGAUAGAUAAGUUAUUAUAAUCAAAUAUUAUCUAAAAAACAAUAAAUUAUAAGGAAUAUAGUUUCAUUAUUUUUAUGUUUAUUUAAAAAAUAUAAAUAUUUUUUAAAUUAAUGAUAAAUAAUUGAUUUUAAAUGUGAUGAUGGUUUAUAUCUUUACAUAAGAAACUAAAUGAUAAAAUGUGAAUAUUCAUAUCUAACAUUAAAUAUUUAUCUAAAUAUGUAGGCCAGCCUCAUAUUUAUUGUAAAUUUUUUAACAAAGCUUUUAAUAAUGUAAAUUAGAAUAAUGUAGGCCAGCCUCUCUAUUUAUAUAAAAAAAAUAUUUUUUAAAAUAUUUUUAUAAUAAAAAUAUAAAAUUUGUCACAAAACAAUUUUAUUAUUUUAUUAACUAUAAAAAUAUAGGUUAUAAAUCACAUAUUUCAUUUAUAAUUCAUUAACCAGUAAAAUACGUAAUAUUAAUCAAAUUAUAAUAUUAAAAUAUGAAAUACACAAUUUGCUUAAUUAUUAAUUAUUAUAUUUUAUAUUUUAAUGUCAAAAUUUAUUGAUAUUAUUUAUUUUAUUAAUUGAAUACAGUAAUAAAUAAAAUAUAUGGUUAAUCACCUAUAUUUUUGUGAUUAAUAUAAUAAUAAAAUUAAUUAAUAACAAACUUUAUAUUUAUAUUAUAAAAAUAAUUAUAAAAAUAAAUCAAAAACGAGUUUAAGACAACAUAGGAAAAAGGGAGACUCGGAUAUCGUAUCUCAAAGACGGUUGAAUUAUUAUUAAUAUACUGGAAUCGAAUUGGGGGUUUAUAUUUGAUUCAUAAUAAAUGAUUAUGAAAAGUGAUUAUAAAAUAAGUUGAUUUAUUGAUUCGGUUCCUACCUACCAUUGAUUAUUAUAGCGCGAAUGAAAGUGUAAGAAUUAUGUUUCUUAUUUGCUGAAUUAAGCAAUCAGUUAAGAUUAAAGCGAAUUAACGGAUUAAGCAUACGUUAACACGCAAUCAAAAUUAGGGAACAAUAAAUAUUCAAAUCAAACAAAAUUACUAAGUUUGAAAUUGUACCUCAUUCAGGUCUUGGUUCAAGCAUCCCUAUGUGCAUCACAUUUAACUUUGCAUAGGCCAUGAACUCAAGUCUUUUGGUAUGGAAAAAUGCAUAGAUCCAUAUGCCCGAUUCACUUCAUUCAUAUGAUGCAGAUGAUCAAGGAUGAUUGAUCCAUUUAAGACUUAGUUCCAUUGGUUCAUUCUUUGUUGCUUAAGAAAUCUCAGGGUUUUACUAAGAAGAAAGAGGUCGAGACCAGUGUCGUGAUAGUAAAUAUCUACCCUCAAGUUCAAGCACCUAUGACUCAUGUGUCAUACUACCCUUAUCUGUACAUUGUCGCUGCUCAAUAUCAGCAACCUGCAUACCAACCGCAAUAUCAACAGCCUCCAUGGGCUCCAAUUUCUCAGAAUCAACAAAAUAGCAGAAACCAGAGUCUAGGUCAGGGCAGACGUUAUGAUAGAAAACGUCCUCAGCCUGACCAUAUCCCUGUAUCAUACACUCAGUUGUUGUCGUAUCUUGUCCAGUAAGGAGCAAUUGCGCCAAAAGAGAUUCCGCCUGCAACUCCUCCCUAAAAUCACAAGCAUAAUCCUAAUGUGUCUUGUGCAUUUCAUGUCGGAUACAUAGGGCAUUCUACAGAGGAUUGUUUGGUCCUCAAGACCAUAGUACAAGAGUUAAUUGAUCAUAAGGUUUUGUAAUUCUCUGAGGCAGGACCCAAUGUCAUAACCAACCUAUUGCCAGACCACUGUGGACAGAUAGUGAAUGCAGUUUAUGGCGAAGAUUCCUCAGAUUCAGUUGAUUCUUCAGAGAAGUACUGAUGCUAGCAAUAUCAUAUUGAUUCAAUCAUGUAUCAUUUGUAAUCUUUUCUUGUUUGUUAAUUGUUGUUCAUUUGUAAAACUUGUCUGGUUUUUCAGAUGAUAAUAAUAAUGAAAUAAGCGUGCAUGUUUUGCUUAAAUCCAUUCGUGUUCACUCAUAUUUUAUUUUAUCAGUAUCAAAUUGUUUGUCGAACAAAAUCAAAAGAGAAUGAUGAAAUUAAAAAUAUGCAAGAUCGCUGUUUGUAUGCUUUUGAAUAAGAUCAUGUUGAUGAUGCAAGGCAUUGUUCAAUCCCUAAACACCGGAGAUAUAAGGAAGAUAAUCCCUAGUCAACCCAUUUGGAUGUUGUAGUAGGAGUUUCUUUCUUUAACACAUAAAAUCCUCAUGCUUAACUAGGGGCAGGGUAUUCUUCAUUUAGUUUAGACUUGCAUUCAAAUUUCAGAAGGAGAAUAUCUCAUCCAGUGAUCAAUCAUAUCAUAUCCCUCUCAAGAGGAUGGAAUCACAAAUCCAGGAUGGUUAUCCCUUACCAUUCAAAAGGAGUGAGAUAGUCACGACCCAUGCAACAAAUCAAGAAAGUCGUGUCACACGGUUUUCUCUAGUACAAAAAGAAAAGAUGAAAAAAUUAAAAGUCCGCUAAGUCAAAAACUUGAAAACAAGAUUGACUUAUAUGUGUGUGUUUGGGGUGAGUCUGGAGAUGCACCUUCGAACUUCGAAAUGUGUGAGCUUUUUUGUAUUUUUCAUCUCAUGCCCUAGUAAUAUAUAUGGUGCAUUAAAAAAUAUCCAUAAAUUAAGGGAUUUGGUUAACACACUCUUAGGAUUGUUUUUCGACCCUUGUGAAAAAUCAAAACUACCUUUAGAAUUCAGAAAUAAAUCUUUGGACGCACCUCAAACACACACACAAUCAAUUCAUUUUUGAGUCAUGAAGUUAAUUAGGAAAUGCAUCUCCUUAAAUAUUAACGGGGGUGUAUUUUCCAAACCUAUUGAACCACACAGAAUUGCAUAAACCAAACAGAUGCAGAAAUAAAGAUAAAUCACAUUGAUAACAUGAAAAAUGAAAUAUUACAUAGAUAAUCGUUAACAUAAAUCGAACUUUGCAUUUGAACAUCAAGAUGGACGUUUCAACAUAUUUAUAAUAUCUUUUAUCGAUCUCGCAAUCAUCGCAUCCAACUUGAUCAAACAUUUUAUUUCGUAACGGUUAAAUGUAUUUCACAUAACUCUUAAAUCCGCAUCCGUCUUCAGCUUAAAGUUGUUGAACUGAAUCUACCAUUCAUUAUCAACCGAGAGUGAACCUUACUUGAGUUUCACAAUUCUUCAAUGAACUUAAAUGCAAUUGAGGACUCCGCGUAGUUGAGUCAUAUUUCAUGGAGACUCAUAAUGCGUCCAAAAAUGCAUUUCCAAAAUUUUAGUGGCAUUUUUAAAUUUUUAUAGGAUGGUUUUCCAGCACUUAUGUAGAGAUAAACAAUUUCCUUAUUAAAGGUCUCUGAGAGGAAUUGAAAUAAAUAUAUUUAAAAAAUUAGUAUUAUACUUAUUUAAGGAAUAAAGUUUUCUAACCAAAAAUUUUUCCCUAAUUUUUUUGUGCCUAAUUUUUUUGCUAACAAAAUAGAGACCUGAUUAUAUUUCACUAAUUUUCAUUCAUCUCUCAAUUAAUAUCUCUCAUAACCCUCAUUAACUCUCAAUUAAUGUAAUUCAUAUCAAUUAAUUGUUUUUUGAAAAUUUUGUAUCCGGCUUCGGACCAACUAGUUUAGUGAAUUGCUAAUUUCAUCUUUAAGUGUUGGAAAAAUACCUUAUAAAAAUUUGAAAAUACUCUUCUGAUUCCAAAAAUGCAUCUUCGGACGCAACUUGCACCUCACCAAAACACGCUUCAACUUGUUGAUGUUUUUUAUGUAAUUCAAGUGGUGUAACUGGUUACCUCAUGUGGUGUAAACGGUUACCACUAAAGUUGAUUUAAUUCAAUAUCAGAUGUAACCGAUUAUCCACUUUUGUGUAACGAUUACAAGCUUAAUAUUUUGAUUUUUUCUGAUAUUUUACUUGGUCAAUUCAGUUCCCAAUUGUGUUGUAUCUCUUGUAUAAGUGUUUAGAAUGUACACUCAUCUAAGGUUAAUGCAAUAAUAAUCUCUCAUCCUCAAUUCUCCUCUUUCACACUCCACAUCCAAAGUAUCUCCACCAUUAUUCACCAAACUUGUGGUGUCCUGUUCCAACAUUUGACAUCAAGAGUCUGGUUCAGAUCCACAAACACUUAGUGUGCAACAUGAAUUAUGUUUCCAAUGAAAAAAUCCCUCCAAACCUACCUAUCCUUGAUGCGAAGAAUUAUGAUAAAUGGUACAAGGAAAUGAAGAUGUUGUUUGGCUACCAAGAUGUUCUUACAGUAACUCUUAAGAGAAAAUAGUUGUCCCUGACCUACUUUGAGUCUCCGUAGGGAAAUUGGACUGGCAAAGAGGGUAGAAGGAGGAAACUACUCAAGUGAGCUUGAAGCAACAAAGGCAGUGAGUUUAGUUCCCACGCGGGGAAGAACGUUUAUAACAAGAGCCAGGAAGAUAAAUUAUUUUAUAAUACCUUCUCAAAAGUAAAAUGAGCUAUGAGAAAGAGCAAGAAUCUCAAGCGAUUGGCUGAACUUAACCUAGCUCGAGCUACAUGGCGGUUGAUCAAGGGAUACCGGAAAGAGGCAAACAACAGAACCUCCGGGUUUGAAGCUUUUCAUGUCGGGGCGAGGUCAAUCAAGGGUUUUGGGUCAGUGAAAGCUCGAGUGCCCCCUUCAAAAGUAAGGUGUCGGGAAUGCAACCAGUGAGGUGACCCGUUCCGUUAGGGCGGAUGAAAGAAGUUAUCCUGAAGCAGCGUCAAAGGCCUCUGUAGGCCCUUCAACAGGAUUUUUUGUCGUGUAGCAUUCUGUUUUGGCUACUCACGAAACUCUUUAUCCUUAAUAGGAAGAACUCCCUUUAGAGGAAGGAUACAAAGACCAAGCCUGUCUUUCUCUCUUAAAAAGGGCAUAUGGGGCAGGGCAGAAAGACUAUUUUAGGGGACUAAUCUGCUAAUGAAUGAAGGAAGGAGAAGGCCUUAAUUGUCUAUCCAAAGGUCCGCCUUGGGUGGAUUUAGGCGAAUCAAGUGGGUGGGAAUGAUCCGAGCCCCCUAUGUAAAUUUCAGUAAGGUAACUAAGGUUUACAAUAAUUCAUUUCAGUAGUGCGUUACCUUGCAGCUCUAUCUAUCGGGUAGUCAGUCUCUUGGUCAAAAGCCGGUACCUAAUUCCCCUGCUGGUGGGCCGAUCCUCGUCUAGCGGUGGGAACCGGCUGGUAUGGAUCAAUUGCUUGCCCUGUCUCUCUUCUGUUCAACCAUCGAGAAUCCGCAGUUAUCUUUGCUCAUUGGGUGGGCGAAGGAAUCCUUUCUAUUGAAUAAGGGCUUUGAGAAGCAGGCCAUUCCGUUCCAGUUAGCACCGUAUCCCGCUUUUCCGAUAGCAAAGGGCCUUCUAAUUAGCGUGCUUUGCUUAACCCGGCAAGAUCCGAGAUCAGACCUAGUCCUGCUGACCCGCUACCCUUGAAAACAUACUUUUUGCCACCUUACGACUGGUGUGAAGGAACUUAUUGCACAUAUUUAACAUGGGGAAGGAAAGAGGAGGGAAUAAAGCAUAUUUUAGGCAUCGANUUAAGAAAUGUCCAUGAAUUAAGGGAUUUGGUUAACGCACUCUUAGGGUUGUUUUUCGACCCUCGUGAAAAAUCAAAACUACCUUUAGAAUUCAGAAAUAAAUCUUUGGACGCACCUCAAACACACAUAAUCUGUUCAUUUUGUAGUCAUGAAUUUAAUUCGGAAAUGCAUCUCCUUAAAUAUUUAUGGAGGUGUAUUUUCAGAACCUACUUAACCACAAAGAAUUUCAUAAACCAAACAGAUGCAGAAACAAAGAUAAAUCACAUUGAUAACAUUGAAAAAUGAAAUAUUACAUAGAUAAUCGUUAACAUAAAUCGAACAUUAUAUUUGAACAUUAAGAUGGACGUUUCAACAUCUUUAUAAUAUCUUUUAUCGAUCUCGCAAUCAUCGCAUCCAACUUGAUCAAAUAUUUUGUUUCGUAACGGUUAAAUGUAUUUCAGAUAACUCUUAAAUCUGCAUUCGUCUUCAGCUUAAAAUUGUUGAAAUGAAUCUUCGAUUCAUUAUCAAUCGAGAGUGAACCGUACUUGAGUUUUGUAAGAACAAAAAUAGUUCUACAAUAGAUUCCAUGAUUUUGAUGAUAACAAAGGAUGAAACCAAAAAUGGCACCCUAACGAAAAGUUUCUAAGUGUGCAGGGUUCUAAAGAAAGAAGAAAUAAAUCUGAUGAUGUCAUCAGAUGCAAAACAAGAUCAGAUGUAAAAUCUCAAGUAUCAGAAGCAUCUAAAGAGGAAUCUCAUUCAAGAAGCUCUGACUCUGGACAAAACUACAAAGUAUCAGAAGCAUCUGAACAUGAAGUAAAGUCUAGAAGCUCUGACUCUGAACAAAUGCCUUCUGUAAAUUCUGAAGUUAUCAGCGCCAUCUGAACUUUCAAGAGAUAACAUCAGAAGCCAGUUUCUCCAGAUACACAAAGACUCUAAUCAGAAUUGUUAAUCAUGAUGAAGUAACGUUUAAGCCAAGUUAAAGUUCUGCAAAUGGAUUUCCUCAAUUAGAAAGAGACGUUAAUCUCCACUUCCAAGAGAGAAGAUACUAAUUGUGGUAAGUAGUCACUUCUAAGAGAAAAAGUCUACUGCAGAAGCUAUUAAUGGAAUGGCGUAACUACAUCUCAAUAUCCAACAGAUUCAACGCUACUUCAACUCUACUUCAACUCCUAUAAAUAGAGAAGAAAUCUCAUUCAGUAAGAAAGAAAUCACUAGCCAAAACUAUACUGAAAUUAUAUCACGCUCAAGAAAAACAUCUUUGUUCUUCAAAGAUUUUCACUAAGCUUUUGCUUAUCAAGUGAAAAAUUUGUUCUUAAGUUUGUAAUAUUUGCUUUCUUAGAAGCACUCUAGAUUACACAUCUUGUAUCUAAUUUUUAUUUGAUUUCCUCAAGUGACUCUUUGUAGUCUGUAGACUUGAGAGGACUAAGAGAUUUUCUUCUCUCUUAGGGGUUGUUUGUAAUCUUUCAAGAUUAGUGGAUUAAGUCCUUGUUGAAGGCGAAAUCACCUUGGCCGGGUGGACUGGAGUAGCUUUGUGUUAUAAGCGAACCAGUAUAAAAUCAUUGUGUGAUUUUCUUUUGCAAAAGCGCUUAUUUUUCAAACAAUUCAAACCCCCCCUUUCUUGUUUUUCUCACCUUCAAUUGGUAUCAGAGCUCCGGCUCUGUUAUUGAUUUUCAAAUCAAACACUUAACCGUGUAGAGAGAUCCAGUGCGAGAAAAACAAAUGGCCCACUCAAAUGAGAAAGAUUCUUACAAUGCCAAGCCUCCUGUUUUUGAUGGAGAAAAGUUUGAUUACUGGAAAGAUAGAAUCGAAAGUUUCUUUCUGGGUUAUGAUGCUGACCUCUGGGACAUUGUCACAGAUGGAUACAAACCUCCAACCUUAAAUGGAGCUGAAGUUCCCAGAAGCAAAAUGUCAGAAGAUCAGAAACGUGAGUUCAAAAAUCAUCACAAGGCCAGAACAAUACUUCUAAAUGCUAUAUCAUACAACGAAUACGAAAAGAUCACCAACAGAGAGACGGCUAAAGAUAUACUUGACUCUCUGAAGAUGACCCAUGAAGGAAACUCCCAAGUCAAGGAGACGAAGGCUCUGGCGUUGAUCCAGAAAUAUGAAGCCUUCAAGAUGGAAGAUGACGAAGCUAUAGAAGCUAUGUUUUCCAGAUUCCAAACUCUUAUUGCAGGUCUUAAAGUGCUAGACAAAGGAUACACGACUGCAGAUCAUGUUAAGAAGAUUGUCAGAAGUCUGCCAAAGAAAUGGAGACCUAUGGUUACUGCUCUGAAGUUAUCAAAGGAUCUGAACAGUAUCAGCCUUGAAGAACUUGUUAGUUCUCUCAGAAGCCAUGAGAUAGAACUAGAGGAGGAUGAGCCUCAGAAAAGGAACAAGUCAGUGGCGCUGAAGUCCAGACCUGAAAGACGGAAGUCAGACAGAACCAAAGCUCUCCAGGCAGAAACUGCAGAUACUGACGACUCUGAACCUGAAGACUCUGAUGAUGAAGAAGAACUGUCCUUACUAACCAGAAGAGUUAAGCAACUCUGGAAAAGAAGGAACAACAACAACUUCAGAAGAUCAAGACCCAGAGGGGAUAGAUCAGAGUCAACUUCAAAAGGUAAACCUAAUAAAGAUAUUACCUGUUUUGAAUGUAAAGAAACAGGUCAUUAUAGAAAUGAAUGCCCCAAGCUGAAGAAAGAUAACUCUAAGAAAGAAAGCUUCAAGAAAAAUGCCUUCAGAACAAAGAAGGGAUUAAUGGCCACCUGGGACGAUAGUGAAUCAGGAUCAUCAGAAUCUGACUCUGAUGAACAAGCCAACGUAGCAUUUAUGGCUACCACAUCCAGCAGCUCAGAUGAAGAAUCUGAAGAGGUAUUUUCUGAACUUUCUAGAUCUGACUUAGAAUCAUGUUUAUCAGAAACUCUUACCUCUCUUCAGAAAUUAAAACAAAAAGUUAAAAGCAUUAAAGGCCUUCUUAAAGCAAAAUCUGAAGAAUGUAGUGAACUUGAGACAACAAUUCUAGCACAUGAAGAUACAAUCAAAUCUUUAACGUUAGAAAGAGAUGGAGCUAAAACAAAAAGCUUAAAAUUAGAAGAAGCGUUGUCUCAAGCACCACAAACUUCAAAUGAAAUUAUUUAUAAAUAUGAAGAAGCCUUUCAGAAGUUUCUGAAGAGUGGAAUAGAUAGGAGUAUUAUGGCAUCCAUGAUUUAUGGAGUAAGUCAGAAUAAUAAAAGGGGAAUUGGGUAUGAUUCUGAUUCUGAUAAAACUUCUACCAGUAACCAAAUUAAAUCACCUUUUUCAUACCACUAUACACACACACAAGAACACAAAUUUAAAAAUGCUAGAAGACCCAAAGUUGUAAGAAACUCUGGGAAAACUAAUCUGAAAGGACCCAAGAGAUUCUGGGUACCGAAAGAUAAGAUUAUCUAUGUUGCAGAUAUCCUAUGCAGCAAAGUUCAGACACCAGUCAUGGUACCUGGACUCUGGAUGCUCGCGACAUAUGACGGGAAGAAAGUCUAUGUUCCAAAGCCUGGAACUUAAAGACGCUGGCUUUGUAGGCUUCGGAGGAGAUCAGAAAGGAAGGAUCAGAGGCUCCGGAACUAUUGGUAAUGGUACUCUUCCCUCUAUAUCUGAUGUUCUUUAUGUAGAAGGAUUAAUGCAUAACUUGUUAUCCAUAAGUCAAUUAAGUGAUAACGGUUAUGAUGUAAUCUUUAAUCAAAAAACGUGUAAAGCCAUUAAUCAGAACGAUGGCUCUGUCCUUUUCACAGGCAAGAGGAAAAACAACAUUUAUAAAAUAAAUCUUUCUGAUUUAAAAGAUCAAAAUGUUAAAUGUUUAAUGUCAGUUCACGAAGAGCAAUGGGUAUGGCAUAGACGCUUAGGCCACAUUAGCAUGAGAAAACUUUCUCAGCUAACUAAACUUGAGUUAGUCAGAGGCUUACCUAAACUGAAGUUUUCUUCAGAUGCUCUGUGUGAAGCUUGUCAGAAAGGAAAGUUUUCAAAAACAUCUUUUAAAAAGAAAAAUGUUGUUUCUACCUCCAAGCCUCUGGAGCUUCUUCACAUUGACUUAUUUGGUCCUGUGAAAACAGCAUCAGUCAAUGGAAAGAAGUAUGGACUAGUAAUCGUUGAUGAUUACAGCCGCUGGACAUGGGUAAAAUUCCUAAAGCACAAGAGUGAGUCUCACUCUGUAUUCACCAGUUUCUGUUCUAAAGUGCAAAAAGAAUUUGACUCUAAAAUUGUUAGAGUCAGAAGUGAUCAUGGUGGAGAAUUUGAAAAUAAAGAUUUUGAAGAAUUAUUUGAUUCUAAUGGAAUAUCCCAUGAUUUCUCCUGCCCUAGAACUCCACAACAAAAUGGAGUUGUAGAGAGGAAGAAUAGGACACUCCAAGAAAUGGCCAGAACCAUGAUCAAUGAAACAAAUGUAGCAAAGCACUUUUGGGCAGAAGCUGUAAAUACAGCGUGUUACAUUCAGAAUAGAAUCUCUAUUAGACCUAUUCUGGAUAAGACUCCCUAUGAACUGUGUAAGGGAAGAAAACCCAACAUUUCAUAUUUUCAUCCUUUUGGAUGCAUUUGCUUUAUAUUAAAUACUAAAGAACAUCUGAACAAGUUUGAUUCCAAAGCACAGAAAGGUAUUAUGUUAGGAUACUCAGAACGCUCUAAAGGCUACAGAGUAUACAACACAGAAACCAAAAUUGUGGAGGAAUCAAUUCAUGUUAGAUUUGAUGAUAAGCUUGACCCUGAAAAGUCAAAGCUAGUUGAAAAGUUUGCAGAUUUAGAGAUCACUCUGGUAGAAUCUGAGAAAACUCCAGAAGCAACUGUCACUCCAGACUCUGAAGAAAUUAAAUCUCCAGAAAUUCCAAGGAAAGUCAAGAGUCGUAGCAACGUAUCUGAAGAUUUGAUUUUGGGAAACAAAGAUGAACCUGUUAGAACCAGAUCUACCUUCAGAACUUCUGAAGAUAUUCCUCUGGGACUAGUGUCUCUGAUUGAGCCUACGUCCUGUGAUGAAGCUCUUCAAGAUAACGAUUGGGUGGCAGCUAUGCAAGAAGAGUUAGAUCAAUUCUCCAAGAAUGAUGUCUGGGAUCUCGUUCCUAAACCCAGAGGCACUCAUGUCAUUGGAACCAGAUGGGUUUUCAGAAACAAACUGAACGAGAAAGGAGAAGUUGUCAGAAACAAAGCACGACUGGUAGCUCAAGGUUAUAGUCAACAAGAAGGUAUUGAUUAUAAUGAAACUUUUGCUCCAGUCGCAAGGUUAGAAUCUAUUCGUCUUCUUGUAUCUUUUGCUAUUAAUCACUCUAUCAAAUUAUACCAAAUGGAUGUCAAGAGUGCAUUUCUUAAUGGUUAUAUUUCAGAAGAAGUGUAUGUCAAUCAACCUCCAGGUUUUGAAAAUUCAAACUUUCCAGAACAUGUUUUCAAACUUAAGAAAUCCUUAUAUGGACUUAAACAAGCUCCCAGAGCUUGGUAUGAACGCUUAAGUAAUUUUCUUCUGGAACAAAAUUUUAUCAGAGGGAAAGUUGAUUCUACACUCUUCUGUAAAAAUCAUAAAAAUGAUCUCAUGAUAUGCCAAAUUUAUGUUGAUGACAUUAUUUUUGGUUCUGCUAAUAUCUCUGUUUGCCAAGAAUUUUCUAAGUUAAUGCAGGCAGAAUUUGAAAUGAGUCUAAUGCAAGAACUAAAGUUCUUUCUGGGAAUUCAAAUUAAUCAAACUCCAGAAGUCACGUACAUUCAUCAAAGCAAGUACAUUAAAGACGUUCUGAAGAAGUUUGAUAUGUCUGAAUGCAACUCUGCAAAGACUCCUAUGCACCCAACUUGCAUUCUGGAAAAGGAAGAGGUAAGCAACAAGGUUUGUCAGAAGCUCUAUCGAGGUAUGAUAGGCUCUCUUCUCUAUCUGACUGCUACUCGUCCUGAUAUUCUCUUUAGCGUCUGUCUUUGUGCCAGAUUCCAAUCAGAUCCUAGAGAAUCUCAUUUAACAGCUGUUAAGAGAAUUCUUAAGUAUCUGAAAGGAACUCCUAACCUGGGCCUGAUGUAUGAGAAAACAUCAGAGUAUAGGCUUUCUGGUUAUUGUGAUGCAGAUUAUGCAGGAGAUAGAAUAGAACGAAAAAGCACAUCUGGAAAUUGCCAGCUUCUGGGAAACAAUCUAAUCUCCUGGGCUAGCAAAAGACAGUCAACUAUCGCUCUAUCAACUGCAGAAGCAGAAUAUAUCUCAGCAUCACUGUGCACAACUCAGAUGCUCUGGAUGAAACAUCAGCUAGAAGAUCUUCAAAUCUUUGAGAGUAACAUUCCUAUCCUUUGUGAUAAUACUGCUGCUAUUUGUUUGAGUAAGAAUCCUAUUUUACAUUCCAGAGCCAAACACAUAGAAAUUAAACAUCAUUUUAUUAGAGACUAUGUUCAGAAAGGAAUAGUAACGCUGAAGUUCAUUGAUACAGAACAUCAAUGGGCAGAUAUCUUUACUAAGCCUCUAGCUGAAGAUAGAUUUCUUUUCAUCUUAGAAAAUCUGAACAUUAAAAAUUGUCCUGAGUAAAAUUUGGCUCUGAACAUGUAAAAUGAGACUCUGAUAAAAACAAAUACACUUCUGCCUCUGACUCUGAUACUUCUACCAAGUUAAGAAGAUAUCUGAGUUAGAAAUCUUCAGAAAUCCUUUGGUAUUCCUGAAGAUCAGAUACAUCAACACGUGGGGAACAUGCGUCUAACCCUAGAACUUCUAGACAGCUGUCAAAAGAAAUCAAAGGUCAGAACGCUUGAAAUCUCCUCGAGCAGUGUGCUUACUGUUGGGAUUAGACAUUCAUUAAUUAGCUAUAAUCAUUUUUCCCCCAAACGUGCUAUUUUGGUUUUUGUGCUAACGCUGGUAUGUGUGUCGUUUUGCAUGUGUUUUUACCCUUAGUAUAUAAACACUUUCUCUCACUUUUCACACUUAUCACUCUCACUCACUCUAAAACCCUAAACCCUUCUCUGAAAGUUCUCUGCAAGUUCUUCAUCUUCUUCAAUCUCCAUCAUCUUCAUCAACAUGGACGCUCAACAACAAGAACUCUUCAACCAUUCUCAACAAGUGGAAUCUAGUUCCAAUCCCCAAACCUCAAACACUCAAACACCCACGGUUAUAAGCGUCACCACAACCCCAGUUUACAAAGAACCUCACAUUCUUGACCGUGAACAACACAUUCAUCUUUCAACUCCCUUUGAAGGUUUGGAUGUACUGUGUGAAUCGCUGGUGGAUUUUGAGAAUUUGAGAAGAAAUGGCGUUGAUUUAACUGAAGAUCUUCGCAAGCAAGGUUGGGAAACCUACUUCAACAGAUUGUAUGGUCCAAUCUAUCCUCUUCUGGUGAAAGAAUUCUGGAGAUGUGCAGAUGCUGAUGAUGAGUUCAUUGUUUCUUUUGUUCUGGGAGUGAAGAUCAUCAUCACAGAAGCAUCUAUUGCCUCUUUGCUGAACAUGGAGAGAACUGGAGGUAAAAGGAUUUACAACAUUCCUCCAAGGUCCAAGCGCAUCACAGAAGUCAUUAACCCUACAAUCUUCAAAGCAAAUGUUGAAGGAAACCCAUCUAAGAACAAGGAGCUUCAUCAGAACCUCCGAGUUUGGCUGAAGAUUAUUCUGGGAACAAUCCAUCAUCGUCCAGCCUCCAACUCUUCAGAUUAUAUAAAUGCUGAUCAGAAAUGCAUCCUCUACUGUAUUCAGAAGGGUAUUCCAAUCAACCUCCCUGUUCUCCUCUUCAGAUAUCUGAGGGAUUCAGUCAGAGAAACAAGGAAUAAUAUGAAGCCCAGAUCCUACAUUCCUCUGGGAAGAUUGCUCUCUGACAUCUUCAUUGAGCAUGGGCUGGUAGAUGCUCUGGAGAAGACCAGAUGUAUGGAUGAUCUGGCAAUUGACGUUGGAAAGCCUCUGAAUGCCAAAAAUCUGAGGAGUAUGGGAAUCAUCAAAGACAUCAGAGUCAAGCCCACUAUGAAUGUAACCUGGGAAGCUCUGAAGGAUCAGAGGAAGAUGCCUCAUGGCCUUGAAAGGUUCUUCAAGAAUGAACCCAGAGAUGCCAUUGCUAUCUACCUUCAGGAUCGUCUGGAUGAAGGCAUUGAUAUCUCUGAUUUCCGCCUUGAAGACUGUCUGGACUCUGUAGAAGAUCUGGUCAGAUACAAAAGAGGUCUUUCUGAGAAGAAGAUAGCUGAGGAAGCAAGGAAGGCAAAGAAAGCCAGACUUGGAGAAACCUCUGGCACCAAAGCUUCAGCACCUCUGAAUGUCUCCUCUGGUAAGUCCAUUCCUCCUGUCUCUUCUGAAUCUGUAAUGGCUUCCUCUAACCCUCUCUCCUCUCAACCAAUAUAUACCACCGCUGAAAUACCACCUUCAACCAUCAGAACCUCUCAACCUCCACCUGUUCUAAAAAUUGCUCGUAAUUUCACAACAACCUCUGACCCUAAUCAACUAUAUCACCACAGCUCUUCCUCAUCCUCUGAAUAUGAAUCACCCCCUUACCUUUCCCCUUCUUCUGACCAAGAGUUCUCUGAACAAGAGUCCUCUGACCAAGAACACUCUGACCCAAACUCCCCAACAAUAGCUGAAAUUUAUGCUAAAAAUUUCGCUCCACAACCCUCAAGACAAUCUGAAGUAACCUCUCCCCUCCAAACUUCACUUCCACCACAACAAACAACAACCUUACCCUCUGAAACUCAACCAUCUGAUCCCUUCACCUCUAAUAUCACUCCACCAUUUAUUCCCGCUGUACCUGGACCAGACUCUGACCCUUUAGACCUAAAUCCACUAUAUGCUUCAUCCCCUAGUCUUCAACCAGACGCAGAUUCUGAACUUCAAGCAGAAUCUGAACCUCAACAAACUGAACCUCAACCUCUAAAUCUCAGCCCUCAAAACUCUCCACCUCAUUCACCUGAACCUGAACCUGAACUUACCAUACCUACCCUUGAGGAGGCCAUUAUACAGGUUGCAGAAGCUUCAGUCCAGAAGAUCAAGUCUCUGGCUAAAAACUCUGAAGUUAGUGAUGAUCCUAAAUCUGUUAGGACACACUGGAACAGAGUCAUUAGUUGGAUGACCUCUGAGUCUUAUAGGCUGAAGAGUAUCUCUGAACAAGUCAGAAAUGGCUACAUCAGAGACUCUGAGGAAAGACUCCAAGAGAGACUGGCUAGAGAAGCUGAGGCCAGAAGGUUAGAGGAAGAGAGACUGGCUAGAGAAGCUGAGGCCAAGAGAUUAGAGGAAGAAAGAUUGGCUAGGGAAGCUGAAGAAGAAGCUAAGAGGUUGGAAGAAGAACGCCUGGCAAAGGAAGCAGAACUUCUAAGGAUUCAGGAAGCUGAAGCCAAGGCUAAGGCAGAUGCAGAAGCCCAAGCUGCUGCUGAAGCUGAAGCUCAGCAGGCUCUGAUUCAGGGGGAGUCUUCCUCUGCGAUCCCUCUGAUUCUUAACACUCUGAAGGAGAUCAAGCAAGAUCAGAAAGAGAUCAAGCAAGAUCAGAGUGAGCUCCGGGCAAGGAUGGACAAGCAAGACGCUCUGAAUGAAAACCUCCAGAAUAUGUUUGCUAUGCUACUACAGAGACUUCCUCCUCCUCCAAACCCUUAGGCACUUAGGAUUUCUUUUGUUUGCCUAGUGUUUUUGCUUCUGUCUUUUCUUUUUUUUCUCUGAUAUUUCUGUUGAAUCUGAUGUUUUGACUGCUGCUUGCCUUUGUGCUUUUGUUUAAUGAAGUGUUUUUCUCUCUAUUAUUUUUUUUAUGUUUUAUGCCUUUUUGAUUAUGCCAAAAAGGGGGAGAAAUUAUUAAAUAGCUCUGAUGAAAAUUAUGUCUAAAACCUUAAGCAUUCUGCAACAAUUAUAGAAAUAGUUCUGAUAUAAAUAGCUCUGAUUAAAUAAUAGCUCUGAUUAAAUAACUCUAACAUUAAAAUUAAGAAAUUGCAGAAAGUUUUCAGAAAUCUCAUUGCUUGGAAAGCUCUGGUAAGAACUUCUGAACUCCCUAGUACUAACUCAGGGGGAGCUUUUGUCUAUCUGAUCUAAUAUUUUUCAUGUUUCAUCUGAUAAUUUUAUUUGUUUUGUCAUCAUCAAAAAGGGGGAGAUUGUAAGAACAAAAAUUGUUCUACAACAGAUUCCAUGAUUUUGAUGAUAACAAAGGAUGAAACCAAAAAUGGCACCCUAACGAAAAGUUUCUAAGUGUGCAGGGUUCUAAAGAAAGAAGAAAUAAAUCUGAUGAUGUCAUCAGAUGCAAAACAAGAUCAGAUGCAAAAUCUCAAGUAUCAGAAGCAUCUAAAGAGGAAUCUCGUUUCAAGAAGCUCUGACUCUGGACAAAACUACAAAGUAUCAGAAGCAUCUGAACAUGAAGUAAAGUCUAGAAGCUCUGACUCUGAACAAAUGCCUUCUGUAAAUUCUGAAGUUAUCAGCGCCAUCUGAACUUUCAAGAGAUAACAUCAGAAGCCAGUUUCUCCAGAUACACAAAGACUCUAAUCAGAAUUGUUAAUCAUGAUGAAGUAACGUUUAAGCCAAGUUAAAGUUCUGCAAAUGGAUUUCCUCAAUUAGAAAGAGACGUUAAUCUCCACUUCCAAGAGAGAAGAUACUAAUUGUGGUAAGUAGUCACUUCUAAGAGAAAAAGUCUACUGCAGAAGCUAUUAAUGGAAUGGCGUAACUACAUCUCAAUAUCCAACAGAUUCAACGCUACUUCAACUCUACUUCAACUCCUAUAAAUAGAGAAGAAAUCUCAUUCAGUAAACACGAAGAAAUCACUAGCCAAAACUAUACUGAAAUCAUAUCACGCUCAAGAAAAACAUCUUUGUUCUUCAAAGAUUUUCACUAAGCUUUUGCUUAUCAAGUGAAAAAUUUGUUCUUAAGUUUGUAAUAUUUGCUUUCUUAGAAGCACUCUAGAUUACACAUCUUGUAUCUAAUUUUUAUUUGAUUUCCUCAAGUGACUCUUUGUAGUCUGUAGACUUGAGAGGACUAAGAGAUUUUCUUCUCUCUUAGGGGUUGUUUGUAAUCUUUCAAGAUUAGUGGAUUAAGUCCUUGUUGAAGGCGAAAUCACCUUGGCCGGGUGGACUGGAGUAGCUUUGUGUUAUAAGCGAACCAGUAUAAAAUCUUUGUGUGAUUUCAUUUUGCAAAAGCGCUUAUUUUUCAAACAAUUCAAACCCCCCUUUCUUGUUUUUCUCACCUUCAAGUUUCACAAUUCUUUGAUGAACUAAAAUGCAAUUGAGGACUCCGCGUCUUUGAGUCAUAAAUCAUGGAGACUCAUAAUGCGUCCAAAAAUGCAUAUCCAAAAUUUAAGUGGCAUUUUCAAAUUUUUAUAGGAUGGUUUUCCAACACUUAUGUAGAGAUAAACAAUUUCGUAAUUAAAGGUCUCUAAGAGGAGUUGAAAUAAAUAUAUUUAAAAAAUUAGUAACAUAAUUAUUUAAGGAAUAAAGUUUUCUAACCAAAAGAAUUUUUCCCUAAUUUUUUUGUGCCUAAUUUAUUUUGCUAACAAAGUAAAGCCCUGAUUAUUGUUACUAAAUUUUAGUAAUUUUCAUUCAUCUCUCAAUUAAUAUCUCUUAUAAUCCUCAUUAACUCUCAAUUAAUGUAAUUCAUAUCUAUCAAAAAAAAUUGAAAAUUUUGUAUCUAGGCUUGGGACCAACUAGUUUAGUGAAUUGCUAAUUUCAUCUUAAGUGUUGGAAAUAUGCCCUAUAAAAUUUUGAAAAUACCCUUUUGAAUCCGAAAAUGCAUCUUCGAACGCACCUUACGCCUCACUAAAACACACCUCAACUUGUUGAUGUUUUUUAUGUAAUUCAAGUGAUGUAACCAGUUAUCUCGGGUAGGUAACCGGUUACAUAAAUGUCUAAAGUUCAAUCAAGUAGCAAAAAUGUGGAGUUUUUGAAGGUGUAACCGGUUAACCAUUUUGGUGUAAACGGUUACCACAAAAGCUGAUUUAAUUCAAUGUCAGGUGUAACCGAUUAUCCAUUUUUGUGUAACAUUACAAGCGUAAUAUUUUGAUUUUUCCUGCUAUUUUACUUGGUCAAUUCAGUUCCCAAUUGUGUUGUAUCUCUUGUAUAAGUGUUUAGAAUGCACACUCAUCUAAGGUUAAUGCAAUAAUAAUCUCUCCCCCUUAAUUCUCCUCUUUCACACUCCACAUCCAAAGUAUCUCCAUCAUUGUUCACCAAACUUGUGGUCUCUUGUUCCAAAAUUUGACAUCAAGAGUCUGGUUCAGAUCCACAAACACCUAGUGUGCAACAUGAAUUAUGUUUCCAAUGAAAGAAUUCCUGCAAACCUACCUAUCUUUGAUGCGAAGAAUUAGGAUAAACGGUGCAAGGAAAUGAAGAUGUUGUUUGGAUACCAAGAUGUUCUUAAAGUAAUCAAUAAGGAUGUUACUCCUCUUAUUCAAAAUGAAACAGAGGCGCAACAAGCAACACAUAAGGAAGAGAAGAAGAAAUAGUUCAAUGUGUUGAUGGCGAUGAUUUUAAGAAAGUUGAUGAUUGUGAAUCGUCAAAGUAAGCGUGAGAGAUCUUAGAGAAGGCAUGUGCAUGGGUUGACAAGGAAAAGGUGGUGAGGUUACAAACUCAUAAACGUCAGUUUGAAUUGAUUCAAAUGGAGGAAAAGGAGAUAAUCAAUGAUUUUGCAAUGAGAAUCACUCGGUUGGUGAAUCAAGUGAAGGCAUGCAAAGAAACUGUUACGGAGUUGUAUGUUGCUGCUAAAAUCUUGUGUUCUUUAACACCAAGAUUUAACAGUAUAGUUGUGGCAAUUGAUGAGUCAAAGGAUCCCGCGACGAUGAGCAAAGAGGAGUUGCAAAGUUCUCUUGAGGCUCAUGAGAAAAAGAUGGAAAAGAGGAAUAACGAUAAGGCAAAGGCGGAGAUUGCUUUGCAAGCUCGUUUCAAUGAGAAGGACAAGAGAUCGAAAGGAAAAUGGCCCAAGAAAAGAAAAGGGAAUUUUCAUAAUUUGGGUGGAAGAGAGUCCUAAAAUUCAAAUGAUUUGACUUGUCAAAGGGGUGAGAGCAGCUACAAUAAACAUGGUGGUCAAGGAAACUUUAGAGGUAGAAGGAAGAAGUUUGAUAAGAGCAAGGAGAUGUGCUAUAAGUGUCAAUGGUUCGUUCAUUUUGCAAAAAAAUACAAUGUGAACAAGAAAGAAUCUCAAGGGAUUAAACCAAGGUUGCAAGAUAAGAGUUUGAUGAAGAGAAUAUAAUUUUGGUCAUGAUCAAAGAAGGGAAUUAUAGCAGCAAACAACUGUGGGACAACAGCGGCAAUAAAUCAAAGAAUGCUAAAAAGGUCGGUUGAAUGAUACGAUUAACCGAUCGCAUGAAGAGGAAGAUACCAUGAUGAGUUUGAAAGGAGUUCAAUGUAGUGAUGAGUGGUAUUUGGACUUGGGUUGUUCAGCUCAUAUGACAGGAAUAAAGGAUUGGUGUGUCAAAAUCAAUCGUGCCAUGAAGAAUAAACUAAAGUUUGCAGAUGAAACCACCCUAAUGAUCGAUGGGAUCGAUGAUGUUUUGAUCAUGAGAAGGGAUAAUGGACAUUACUUAAUCACAAAUUCUUGUACAUUUUUGGAAUCAAAUUUAACCUUCUAAGUAUUGGCCAAUUGCUUGAGAAGGAUUCCAAGAUUCACAUGGAAGACAAUGGGUUGUGCGUUAUGGAUAUAAGAGGAGGCUUGGUCCUUAAAGCGCAUAUGGCUGCCAAUAGAACCUUUAAGGUUGAGUUGAAGGUUAUAGAGUAUAAAUGUCUUGCUACUACAUCAAGUAGACAACAGUGGAUAUGGCACUAUCGUCUUAGACAUCUCAAUUUUAGAGAUCUCAAAGACUUUCAAAAGAACAUAAUGGUAACAGGGCUGCCAUUGAUCAACAUACUAGCUGAAAUUUGUGAAGAAUGUGUGCAAGUGAAGCAACAUAAGGGAAAAUUGAGCAAGUAGACUCUAUUGGUGGAAAUAUGUAUUUUGUCACAUUUAUCGAUGAUCAUAGUACAAAACUAUGGACAUACCUAAUCAAGAUAGAUGACAAUGUAUUUCAUGAUCGUCCGUCAUUGCAUAUAUUUAGUCGAAGAAUCAGACAAAACAAGUGAAAGUUAAGAUAAAAUGAAGAAGAAUAAGGAAAAAAUAUCUAAGCAUGGAAACUGGGGACUUAUUGAAAUUUUGAGUAAAAAAGGGAGCAAAAGUGUGCAACCACUGGAAUAAUCAUGCGCACCAUCACGUAGCAUCGUGCACACAAUGGGGUCUUUAAAGUUGCAUCGCGCAUGCGAUACAAGGAAUCACGCGCGUGAUAAAUACUUUUUAUGGGCUUUUCAGACGCGUUCUGGUCCAUUCUAACGCCUUUAAAAGGGGAUUUUCUGAACUUUCACAAGAGUUACAAAAUUGGGAGAUCUAGGCACUACUUUGAGAGCACAAGUGGUGAUUUUUAUAACAUUAGAAGUUAUUGGAGACCAUUACUUCAACGUAUUUCACAUGUUAUUUUCAUCUAUCAAUUAUGAUAUUUUUAAUUGCAUUAUGAGUAGCUAAGCUCCUCUAGAUUAGGUUGUAUACUGAUGAACCUAUUUCUAUAUUGUUGGAAUCUAUGUUGAUUUAACAAUUGUGUGAACCUUUUGAACUAUAAUUCCAUUCAAUUGCUUCUUGUUCAUAAUGCUUUUUAUGUGAGAUGAUAUUUUAAUAUGAUUUUGGGAACAUAAGGAAUACUGACCAUUAGUCUAUGUGUUGGACCUAGGGAAAUUGUUGUACUUACGCUGGUUGAAUAGGAAUAGGAGACCCUGAGUAGUGGCGUAGAGAAUUAACGCUUUAUACAUCGCCUAACCCUGCUUACGCUGGAGGACUAAGGAUAAAAAGCUCUGAGUGGUGGUUAGUGAGUUAUUUCAUGAGGGAUCAACUAUAACAGUUUUGUUAAUUCGUCGUGGUGUUAUAGUGAUAAGACCAUUCGUACAAGACAUCAAACAUCAACAAUAGAGGAAUAUGAGAUUUUAAAACACAACUUGGCCGCUUUCGUGAUAUUGUUUAAUUGUUUAUUUACUUUUUGCACAGAAACUCAACCCCCCCCCCCCCNNNNNNNNNNNNNNNNNCCCCCCCCCCCCUUUACUAGUUUUUUAUAAAUUGCACACAUUUUGUCUUGCUUGAACGAAGUUCACGUGGAUUCGAUCUUUUUAUUACUUCGACGAUGUCAAUACACUUGUCGAGAAGUCAUCAAGUUUUUGGCGCUUUUGCCAGGGACUAUUAAUUUUUCAUCAAGGCGAUGUUUGUGCAAUUUUUUUUAGUCUUUAAAUUUUAUGUUUUAUUUUCUUGUUUCUCAAAAUGCUAUUGAGGUAUUUUCUAUUUGUGUAUGUACCGUUCAGGAUCAACAUUAAUACCAUUGGAUCCAAAAAUUGAAAGAAACGCACAUGCUCUCAGAAAAGCUGUUAGAGGAGCAACUCUGGAAAGAGGAAUACUAGAAGAAGAGUAAUUAUCAAGUUAGUCAUACUCUGAAGAUGAAGCUGUAAUGGCAGAUGCACAACCCCUAACUAUGGGGGAUUAUUAUAAAUGAACCGAUGAAGGACACUUCUCCAGAGGGUUUGUACCGGUAGACCCUUCUAACUUUGAUAUUAAAAAUUAUGUGCUUUAAGGUUUGAGAGAAAAUUUGUUCGGCAGGAACACGAUUAGAGACCUAUGGGUGCAUCUUACACACUUCUAUGAAACAACUUCAAUGUGAAAAUCAAUUGAUGCCACUGAAGACCAGGUUAAAUUGAGGUUGUUUGGGUUCUCACUAAUUGGAAGGGCGAAGAUUGGUUACUUUUCCUCCCGAAUGGAACGAUACGAACAUGAAAGGAAUUAGAGGAUAAAUCCCUGGAAAGAUUUUUCACUACUACUCAGUUUACCGAGCGCUAAGCAGAAAUUGUGAGGUUUGAGCAGUAGGAAAUUGAGUCACUUUAUGACUCUUGGGAAAGAUUCAAACUUUUGUUACGCAGAUGCUCGAAUCACAACAUGAAUAAUAUAGAGCAGAUGCAAAACUUCAUUAAAGGUCUCAAAGUCAAACUCACGUAUUUUUGGAUGCUUCUACGAGAGGUACUAUCUGAAAAAUGAAUGAACCAUGGGUAAAAGAUAUCAUUGAGAAAAUGUGUAUAAUUGAGUACCGAUCCAAGAACGAAAGGUCGAUCAAGAUGGGAACUGUGGGCACGCCUAAAGGUAUGUUACCUAUUGAUACCCACAUUGCUCUUUUAGCUCAGAUUGAAUUAUUAAAUAAAAAGCAAGCUGGAAGAAGCUUAGUUAAAGCUAACGUAAGUCAGGUACAAGCACUUAAAAGCGAUUUAUAUGGAGGAUAACAUGCGAAUGGAAGUUGUUCAUUGGAAGGGACAAGUGAGGAGGUAAAAUUUUAUAAUUUUUAAAAAAAAUAACUUGUAUUCAAACACAUAUAAUCCGGGUUAAAAAGACCACCCAAAAUUCCUUUGGAAUAAUAAUCAAAAUUCAAAUGCUAACUAAGGGAUGCAACAAAGCCAACAAGCUCUGUUUCAAAGAAAUCCAUCACAAAUGGUAGAGACCUUGAAAAUUUUCAUUAAGGUCACUCAAAGUAGCUUUGCUAGGGUAAAUAAGACCCUUGAAGAAAUGAGUAGAAACUAGGAUGCGUCUAUCAAAAUUUUGGAGAUGAAGAUUGGUCAAUUAUCCAGACAAGUAGCUACUUUUCCAAGCUCAAGUGGAGGAUUCACCAGUAACAUUGUUGAUAACCCUAAGAAUGAUAACCCUAAAUAUAGGUUUAGGGGAAAUUACUGAAAAGGAUAAGGAGGAGAUAGUUAAAGAACGUGUGGUUAAGAUAGAUGAGGGUACAAAUCAAGGUGACCAAGAGGAAAGAGGAGACAUCAUUGAUCAACUUAUUGACAAAAAUUCUCCUCGGGGGAGAACAAAGAAGCAGAUCAUGACUGAACCAAAUCCUCCUUUACCAGAUCACGUAAAACCACCGUACCCAAUAAUUAAAAAGAAAGUGGUUUAAGAUGAUGAAGCGAGAAUGUUUGCAAAGUUCAAGGAAAUUCUAGCUACUCUCCGGGAAAGUAUUUCGUUCCAUGAAAUUUUAGAACUAAUGCCUAAGUUUGCUAAAUUUAUGAAGGCGUUACUAAAUGGGACGGAAGAGAAAAGGAUCAAGGAACAUGUAAACAUGACCGAAAAGAAUGAUAUGGUAAAACCUCAAUCCUUACAACCUAAACUAAAAGACUCAAGUAAAUUUAUGAAGGAGUUAUUAAAUGGGACGAAAGAGAAAAGGAUCAAGGAACAUGUAAACAUGACCGAAAAUGAUGAUAUAGUAAAACCUCAAUCCCUACAACCUAAACUAAAAGAAUUAGGUAAGUUUACUAUUUCCUAUAAUAUUAGUGGAUUCAAUAUUCUGCAUGCUCUAUGUGAUAUGGGAUCUAACAUAAAUGUCAUGCCACCGAAAACUGUCAAAGAAUUAAAAGUGGGUGAGAUCACACCGAGUAACAUGACUCUCAGUCUAGUUGAAUUGUCUAUUACUCAUUCAAUUGGUACUUUACGCGACAUAUUAGUACCUAUCGACGACUUAUUGUUUCCUAUAGAUUUUAUAGUGCAUGAUACAAAAGAAGAUUCGGGAGGAUCUAUUAUUCUUGGACAUCCAUUCUUGGCAAUCGGGAAAGCAAAAGAUUGAUGUGUAAACUGGUCAACUUAUCUUGAAGUCAAAUAAAAGGAAUGUGGUUUUCAAGGUAUAUGACUGGACACCUUAUGUGGAUAAUUUGGAUACUUUCUACUAUCUGGAUGAAAAAGGUAGGAAAGUAGAUAAAGGAACAAUGAGAAAGAAAGUGACAGGCGUGAGGGUGUCCCUUGCGCCUGACGUACCUUAGACAUGGAUUAUCAAGCUAGUGAUGUUAAAAAAGUGUUUGAUGGGAGGCAACUCAUCAAUAAGAAUUUAUUUUUUUAUCAUAGUGAAUAUUAAUUUUUCUAACCUUGUUAAUUUUUGUGCUAUGUUAUUGGAAGAGAAAAUAGGUGAAAGAAGAAAAGAAAGAAAAAGCAAAAGGGAAGAAAAUAGAAAAAGAAAAGAGAGAGGAAAGUUUCAUCCCCCAGAAUCAUCACGUAUGAUAAUAUAAACUAGUUCUUUACAAUAAUAAAAUUUGAUAUUUAUUUAUACAAACACAAUUAUAUAAAGAGAAUAACACACAAAUCACACAUGAUAAUUUUAGAAUAAUUAUACUCUAAUAUUUUUUGAGUCGUGAUAUAUCCUCUUCUUAAAUAUUUGAAAGUUGAAUCUCUCUCACUAAUCUCUAUUCCCCUAUUUAUUUUAAGAAUAAACAUAUUGAAUUAAUAAAACAUAAUUGCACCUUUCUUAAAGGUUAUACAAACAACUACUAAAGUUGAAAAAACUAAAGAGAGGUCAACUCAAUCUUUAUCAAAUUAAAUUAAAGUUUAUUAUAAAACACAAACAACUAGUUCAUUCAAAUGAUAACUUGUUUAGUACACAAGUAAGAUCUUACUUAAUACAUAGAAAUAAGAUCUUACAGAAUAUAGAGAUUAAAAACAUAGGAAUAACAUGAAAAGCUUUUAAAAUGACAUAGACAUUGAUUAACAAAGAUAUGAACUAGUUUCGGGUAUUUCUUAACCAUCCGUCAAGGUAAACUUGUUUGGAGUCAGGGGUGGAUUUUGCUUUCUCGACUCGGAUAUCUUUCAACCAUCCAUCAAGGUAAACCUGGUUGUUGUCAGAGGUGGAUUUUACUGUCUCGGCUCGGAUAUCUUUCAACCAUCCAUCAAGGUAAACUUGUUUUGGAUCAGAGGUGGAUUUUGUUUUCUCUGCUCGGGUAUCUUUCAACCACCCAUCAAGGUAUACUUGGUUGGAGUCAGGGGUAGAUUUUAUUCUCUCGUUUCGAUAAUCUUUCAACCAUCCAUCAAGGUAAACUUGGUUGGAGUCAGACAUGGUUUCUGUUUGCUUUGCUCGAGUAUUUUUCAACCAUCCAUCAAGGUAAACUUGGUUGGAGUCAGAGGUAGAUUUUUCUUUCUCAGCUCGGGUAUCUUUUAACCAUCCAUCAAGGUAAACUUGUUUGGAGUCAAGAUUUUUCUUUCUCAGCUCGGGUAUCUUUUAACCAUCCAUCAAGGUAAACUUGUUUGGAGUCAGAGGUGGAUUUUGUUUUCUCUGCUCGGGUAUCUUUCAACCAUCCAUCAAGGUAAACUUGAUUGGUGUUAGGCAUGGACUUUUCUUUCUCAACUCUGAUAUUUUUCAACCAUCCAUCAAGAUAAACUUGGUUGGAGUCACUUGUAGAUUUUGUUUUCUCAACUCGGGUAUCUUUCAACCAUUCAUCAAGGUAAACUUGGUUGGAUUCAGAGGUGGAUUUUGCAUUCUCUGCUCUGGUAUCUUUCAACCAUCCAUCAAGGUAAACUUGGUUGGAGUUAGGUGUUGACUUUUCUUUCUCAACUCUGCUAUCUUUCAACCAUCCAUCAAGAUAAACUUGGUUGGUGUCACCUGUAGAUUUUGCUUUCUCAGCUCGAUUAUCUUUCAACCAUCCAUCAAGGUAAACUUGGUUGGAUUCAGAGGUGUCUUUUGCUUUCUUUGCUCUGGAAUCUUUCAACCAUCCAUCAAGAUAAACUUGAUCGGAGUUCUGGGAGGAUUUGGUUUUCUCUGAUCGUGUAUCUUUCAACCAUCCAUCAAGAUAAACUUGGUUAGAGUUAGCAAUGUGUUUUCGACUCUUCAAUGGAUUUUUGAGCCAACCAUCAAGGUAAGGUUGAUCAGCUUGUAUUUCUUGUACAUUCUCUUGCUGAAGUUUGAUAUAUCGGGCAAAGCUUCCUUGUCCAUUCUAUAAUACAAUUGAAUAAAUGGAUAUUAGUGAGUUAUUUUUGGAUGGUAUAUAUGAUUACAAAAACAAAAUUAUGUGUUUUAUGAGACACAUUAUGUUACAUAAAUAAGACACAUUCAUUGUAUAUUUCAGAUGGAUAUAGAAUGCGAAAUAAAAAUCAAAGAAAAACAAUUUUUUAAAUUUCAUUGCCGCAUAGAAAAUAUUAUUUUGUCAAAUUAAAUAGAACAACUUGAUUAAGUGAAUGAUGAAAUCAAAUCAAAUAAAGAUGCAAAAUGAUAGAUUGUGAUAAAUAAAUGAUGAAAAAUAUAUGUGUAAAAGAUACAAGAAUGGAUGCAUAACUUACAAUCAAUAAGAGCAUGAUAAAAGGGAGGAGAGACAAAACAUCUUUGUUUGUCAUUUCUUUAAUGUUAUGAUUUUGUGGGAAAAUUGUUUUAAUGUAAAAAGAUGUAUUGAAAUGGAAGUGAAUUGUGCUAUUUAUAAGUGAAUGAAAAGAAAAACUACAUUAAGGACAUUGAGACUUUGGUUGGCAAGAUUAUUUUUUUAAAUAUUUAGUUUAAAUUAUUUUUUAAAUGUUUAGUUUAAUUGAUAAGUUUAUAUGUCUAAGAAAGAUCAAUUUACUAAGAUUUAUUAUUUACAAGAUCUAUUAGGUGUGUUGUUUUGAGUUAUAAAAAAUAUUAAAAAAAUUGUUUGUUUGAUAUAUUUUUUUAAUUAGAAGCUCCUAACUAAAUCCUCUUAGUUUAAAAUAAAUAAAUUUUAGAACUGCUACUGCAAUUAUUUUUAUUUUAAAAUUAAAAAUGAUUUUCUAAAAAUCCUUAAUAAAAACAUAUUAAAAUGACAAAGGUGAUUUUGUUAAAUGUUAAACAAACAUUUAUUUUGAUAAGUUAUUUCAAAUAACUUAAAAUUUCAUAAAUUUAUUUUAAUUUAUAAUUAAAGUGGUAAUUAUGAUAAUCUCGCCUCUUGAGUUCUAAUAUUUGAGCUAAUAGUAUAAAUAUGUUUUAGUUGAAUUAGAAUUUGCAUUAGUGAUAGUUUCAAUUUUACAAUUAAUUAGACUAAAAUAUUGAUGUUCGUCAUAUAUAUAUAUAUAUAUAUNUAUAUAUAUAUAUAUAUAUUAAAUAGUAAUUAUAUAUUAUAAAUUUUAAUUUUGGGAAAAAAAUAUUAUUUCAAUAUUUUAAAAUUUUAAUAAUUAUUGUUUUAUAAAAUUAAUUAUAAUGAGUAUAAUAUUUUAAUUUUAUUAUCAUCAAAUAUACCCUACAUCAAAAUUCACAAACUUUAAAUAUAAAUAUCGGGAUCCACUUAAUUGAAUUGGAAUUUAAACAUCAAAAUUUAGACAAAUGUUAAAUUUUGAAGCACUUGGUUUUUGAAUCAUGACUCUUCUACAACCAACUCCUAGGGACUUACUACAUAGCCAACAAUGAAUCCAAAAUAGUUUCACAAGAAACACUAAAAUACUGUGUUGGCCUUUGCAUGUUUAAGAUGUUCACAUGUAGCUGGGGUUUGCGUGCUUAUGAGCUUACCUAAUAGUAAGUUAAAAAAACAAUAUAUUAUUAUACUGACCAGUCUAAAGAGAAAUAGAUAAGUUACUGUAUUUGUUAUUAUAAUCAAAUAUUAUCUAAAAAAGAAAUAAAUUAUAAGGAAUAUGUUUUCAUUAUUUUUAUCUUUAUUUAAAGAAUAUAAAUAUUUUUUAAUUAAUGAUAAAUAAUUGAUUUUAAAUGUGAUUACGGUUUAUAUCUUUAUCUAAGAAAAUAAAUGAUAAAAUGUGAAUACUCAUAUCUAAAAUUAAAUAUUUAUCCAAUUAUGUAGGCCAGCCUCAUAUUUAUUGUAAAAAUUUUAACAAAGUUUAAAAUAAUGAAAAUUAGAAUAAUGGUAUUCCUACAUUAAAUCUUACAUCAAAUACUUACAUUAAAUAUUUUUUACCGUAUUUAAACGAUGAAUAAUAUUUUUAUUUUUAAUAAAAAAAUAUUUAUAUAAAAAUGUUUUUAUUUUUAAAAUUAUUUUUAUAAUAAAAAUAUAAAAUUUAUCACAAAAUAAUUUUAUUAUCGUAUUAACUAUAAAAAUAUAGGUUAUAAAUCACAUAUUUCACUUAUAAUUCAUUAACCAGUAAAAUACAUAAUAUUAAUCAAAUUAUGAUAUUAAAAUAUGAAAUAUAUAAUUUGCUUAAUUAUUAUAUUUUAUAUUUUAAUGUCACAAUUUAUUUAUAUUAUUUAUUUUAUUAAUUGAAUAUAAUAAUAAGUAAAAUAUAUGGUUAAUCAUCUAUAUUUUUAUGAUUAAUACAAUAAUAAAAUUGAUUAGUGACAAAUUUUAUAUUUAUAUUACAAAAAUAAUUAUAAAAAUAUAUCAAAAACGAGUUUAAGACAACGUAGGAAAAAGUGAAGUGACACUCAAAUAUUAUUUGCUCAUUAAGCAAUCAGUUAAAAUUAAAGUGAAUUAACGAAUUAAGCAUAAAGUUUCACACAAUCAAAAUUAGGGAACAAUAAAUCAAUCGAACAAAACAAAACUACUAAGUUUUGAGUGUAAAAUUUGGUGUAAUAUUAAAAAUUAAAAAAAAAUUGAGGUUUAUAAGAUGUAAAAUUAUUUAUUAAACUCUUUUAAUAAAUUUAAUAUUAUGAUAAUUUAUUAUGAUAAAUAAUAUUUAAAAUAAGAAAAGAUUGAGCUUUUAAAGGAUGAAAUUCUAGUCAUUAGAUUAAAGAAAACAUCACCAAAACCUUAUUUCACAGAUGAAAUCGACUACAUAUAUGAUAUAUCAAUUUUCACGCUAAUAUUCUAUCAAUCACCAUAUUUUAUAGCCAUUAGACUAUUUAAUCAAAAUUAUUCAUAAUAAAUUUCAUUUGAUAUUUACUUUUUAAUAGAUAAUAAAGUAGAUAUAUUUAAUCUUUAUUAAAAAAUUAUUAAACAUUAUUGGUAUUAAAUAUGAUUUUAUUAAUUUUAAUUUUGAUAUAAUUAAUGGAUAUAAGUAUUGGCUCAAGAUAUAUCAAAGCCUUUGCCAAAUUUUUAACAAAGAUUUUAAUAAUAAAAAUUAUGAGUGUAAUAUUUAAAAUAAAAAAUUGAGCUUUUUAAAAUGUAAAAUUAUUGAUUGAAUUAUCAUAAAUCAGUUAAGUGUGUAUUUAUGCAAGAUGGGACAUCCCAUUUGCAGGGGCACAAAUUCAACCCACAACAUCUCACUUUUUAUCUUGGAAAAUUCCAAUCAAUAAAUUACUUGAUCCAAAAAAAUCAUAGUAAAUCUUGUUUGAUAUUUAUUUUCAAUCAAAUAUAUGUAAUCCUUAAUGAAACCUUAAACAUUAUUGAUUUUAAAUAAGAUUUUAUUAACUUUAAUUUUAUACCAUUAAUAGAAGGACUAUAUUCUGGAACGAAUUAAUAUAUUUUCGUUAUUCUUAUUUUUAUUUAAAUAUUUAAAUAUUAUUUAAAUUAAUAAUAAAUAAUUGGUUUUAAAUGUGAUGAAGUUUAUAUCUUUAUCCGAAAAAAUAAACGAUAGUGAAUAUUUAUAUUAAAAAAUAACACAAUACACUUAAAUAUUUAAUCUCCUUAACCUAUCUAAAUAUCUAGGCCGGCAUAAGACAUAUUGAAGUUUAGUGUAAAAAAUUUAACAAAGCUUUUAAUUAUAAAAAUUAUGACUGUAACAUUUAAAAUAAAAAAAAUUGAACUUUAUUAUUAGAUGUCAAAAUAUUUAUUAAACACUCUUAAUAAGUAUUAAAUAUAAAUUUAUUAAAUUUAUUUUUGAUACAAUUAAUGAAUAUAAGUACGGGCUCAAGAGAUAUACACGCCUUUGAUAAAAAAUUUAACAAAGAUUUUAAUUAUAAAAAUUAUGAAUAUAACAUUUAAAAUAAAAAAGUUGAUCUUAAAAGAUGUAAAAUUCUUUAUAAAAUUAUUAUAAUAGUUUUUGAUUAAUUAAUAUGCACAGUCAAUAUCAUUUUUUUAUUAUUAUUAUUAUUAUUAUUAUUAUUAUUAUUAUUAUUAUUAUUAUUAUUAUGCGUCGGUGUACAACUCAUAAAAAAAGACGUCAAUCAUAAAUAUAUAUUGGUACAGUGUCGUCAAUUGGAUUGACGCAUCCUCGUAGGUGUUAUAUGCAGGGAUGAAGCUAGAGAUUUUGAACUGUAGGAGCAAUAUAUUAAUAUAUAAAUUUAUUUCUAUUUAUUUUUAAAUCAUAAAUAUAUAUUUAAUUUAUUUUUAAAUCAUAAAUAUAUAUUAUAUCUAUUUUUUAAGAAAUCUAUCUCUAAAACAAUUUUUAUUAAUUUUUUAAAAUUUUAAAAUUUUAAAAUUUUGUAAAUUUUAAAAUUUUAUUAUCAAGAAAAAUAUUUUUUUAUGUAUUUUUUAUGAGAUCAUAAUAUUAACAUAAAAUUCUAUAAAUCAAUUUUUUUAAAGAUCGAGGAAAAAAUUAUUUUAAAAUUAUAACAAGAAAAACAAUUCAAUAUAUUUCAUCUGACAUGUUUUAAUUUAAUUAUUGAAAAUAAAAAAUUCACUAUAUUUUUGGACAAUAUCCUAAAUAAAUAUUCAUAUACUUUAUUAUUUUCAUCUAAUUUUUAGUAAUAUCUUCAUAAUAAUAAUAUUAUUUAUAUAAAUUUAAAAUAAUAUAAAUUUAUAUAUAUAUAUAUAUAUAUAUAUUUAUAUAUAUUAUAUAUAUAUUAAUAUAUAUUAUAUAUUAUAUAUAUAUAUAUAUAUAUAUAUAUAAUAUAUAUAUAUAUAUAUAUAUAUAUAUAUUAUAUAUAUUAUUUAUAGUAGGGACCAUUUGUCUUAUGCUAUUUUAAUUUGUUAUUUCUUAAUUUCCCCGUCUAUUUCAGUGUUUGGAUUAAAAAAAGGGGGGGGUCGGGGGUUCCCUCUUGGGGGUGGGUUUAGUAUUUUAAUGUUUUUUUACUUAAUAUUUCUUUUGUGUUUUUCACAUUCUUCUAUGUCUUAGAUUGACGUCUUCUUUAUUUUGAAAGUGGGUUACUCUCAGAAAUAAUUGAAAAAGUAAAUUAUUUUAGAUAUCUAUUUGAAAAGUUAGAAAAUCUUAAAUAUUAUUCAUUUUAAAUAAUAUUUUAUUAAUAUAAUUUUUAAUACCAUUAAUAGAAGGACUAUAUUCUGGUAUCAACCGAAAGGAUUAUAUUAUUGGACUAUUUUAAAUUUCCUAUUAUAUUGUUGUCGUCUAUUAUCAAUUUAUUUUAUCAAUAAAUCACUAUUUGAAAUUUUAUUAGUAUUUAAGUCUUUAAAUUCAUCUACACCUUUGACUUCUACUAUUAAUUUUCAUUUUCAUUUUUUUAAUGUUUAUAUAACUGGUACAUUGUUAACUUGUUUAUUUAAUAAACAUUAAGCAAUAUUUUUAAAUUAACUUUUUAAUUUAUUUUUAUAAAUUUAUCUAAAGUUCCCUUUUAUAAUUUAAUUAAAAUUUCAACUCUCUUUUUUUAAUUUCUAAUUUUUUUUAUUCAAAUUUUUUUAAUUGACAUUACUCUAAAUAACAUAAUAAAACAAUUUCCACAAUAAACACAAACAAAAAAAAAAUUCAAAAAUAAGAUAAUUGAUUAAAUAUAAAUGAUUUAAAUUAAAAGUAAAUAAAAUAAAAUUGCAUAAAUAAAAUAUAAUUUUAUCCUUUUACAAUGCUAGAGAGGACAUACACUUUAUCAUAGAAGUAACGAUUAAUUAAUGGAGAUGAUGAAUUAACAUAUUUUAUACUCUCAUAUACACAUUUUAGGUUGGAAAUGAUUUGAUAUAAUCCUUUAUCUAACCUGUUUAAAUUUUAAUGGGUUGAAUUUGUCGUUCAACCCACAAUUUCAUUGUCAAAAUUGACAGAAACCGACUUGUUUAUUUAAGGGUUGUGUUCGCGAUGUUUUAAAUAAAAAUUAUUUUUUUAUAUAUUUUUUAAGAUAUAAAAAAUUUAACCCAAUUCAAAUUAGAUGAAACACAUCAUAUAAUGUCUAAUAAAGUUCAUCAACACGACAUAACACUCGAUAAUAGUAUUAAAUUCUAAUAGUAUCAAUGUUAAAUUAUUUUAAAACAAUUAUUUUAAUUAACUCUUUAAUCAUAACAUUUAUUUAUUAUAUUUUUAUAAUACAUUAUAAUAAAUAUAUUAUAAAUAUUCUUAUUUUUAAUUAGAAAUAUAUAAUGAUAAGUUAAUUAAAUAAUUAUGGUUUGUGAAAAACAAAAACAAAAUCAACGUCAAAGUUAUAUGCUUCAACAAUUUAUAUAAUGACUCAUUUUUAAAUAAAAUAGCUUUAAAAAUUAAAAGUUUGAAAAAUAAUAGUUGAUAUAUUAUAUAUUUUAUUUAUUUUUAUGUUGACAAUAUAAAACAUAGACAUUAAUUUUAUUCUUUAACCAUAAUUUUUAUAAUAUAUUAAAAUAAAAAGUAGUUAAAAUUAACUAAUAAAAUUAAUUAUAAAUAGUUUAAAUAAUUUAAUUAUUAUCAAAUAAAAAUAUAUAAAAUAUUUAUUUAGUAAAGAAUAUUAAAACGAAUAACAAAUUAUAUGAGAUGAUAUGACUUUUUUAUAAUCUUUUGUUUUCUUAAGUUAAAUUAUUUAGUAGAUAAAAAAAAAAAUUAAAAUUGAUAUAUUUCUCUCUCUUCUUUAAAUGAUAUUUUUUUUUCUAUUUCUUACCUUUUAAUAGUUGGAUUAAUCAAAUGGUUUAAAAUUGCACAUGAGAGAGGGCAUAAGAGAAAAAAUUGGAGAGGAUCCAAUUCCGAUAAAAAGAUGUGGUAAAUUUAUGAGUAGUUUAAUAAUUUAUACAUAUUUUUAGCCUUAUUAAUUGUCACUUCGUUGAAAAAGAAAAAGGAAAUAAUAAUAAUGAUAGUGAUAAUAAUUAAAUAAUAUUGAAUUUUUUGACAAAUAAUGUUAUUAAAUAUUAUUGAAUAUAAUAGAUGAAAGAGAAAAAAAAAUGAAGAUCUUUGUCUGGCUUACCUCCUCGUUGAAUAGGGUAUGCUAACUAUUAAUAUGCCAAAGCCUCUUUAAAAAAUUAAACAAAUCAAUUAUAGGAUCCGAUAACUAUUAAGGAAUUUCUUAUGUCAUCAUAUGAAAUGGAAAAACUAUACAAAAUUUAAAAUAUUCAUUCAAGUUUAAAGAUGCAUCUUCGAAUACACAUUUGUAUCACCUUAUGACGCACUAAAUGAGCGACACCCUAAAGUAAAAUAAAAUCUUAUUCCAAAGAUACAUCUCUGAGUAUUUUGAACAAAUAUAUUGAUAUUUAAGCAAGCGUCCUCAGCAUGACCAGAUACCUGUAUCAUACACUCAGUUGCUGUCGUAUCUUGUCCAGUAAGGGGCAAUUGCGCCAAAAGAGAUUCCGCAUGCAACUCCUCCCUAAAAUCACAAGCAUAAUCCUAAUGUGCCUUGUUCAUUUCAUGUCGGAUACAUAGGGCAUUCUAUAGAGGAUUAUUUGGUCCUCAAGGCCAUAAUGCAAGAGUUAAUUGACCAUAAGGUUUUGUCAUUCUUUGACGCAUGACCCAAUGUCAUAAACAACCCGUUGCCAGACCACUGUGGACAAAUAGUGAAUGCAGUUAGUGGCGAAGAUUGCUCAGAUUCAGUUGCUUCUUCAGAGGAGUAUCGAUGCUAGCAAUAUCAUAUUGAUUCAAUCAUGUAUCAUUUGUAAUCCUUUCUUGUUUUUUAAAUGUUGUUCAUUUGUAACUUGUCUGGUUUUUCAGAUGAUAAUAAUAAUGAAAUAAACGUGCAUGUUUUGCUUAAAUCCAUUCGUGUCCACUCAUAUUUUAUUUUAUCAGUAUCAAACUGUUUGUCGAACAAAAUCAAAAGAGAAUGAUGCAAUUAAAAAUACGCAAGAUCGCUGCCUGUAUGGUUUUGAAUAAGAUCGUGCUGAUGAUGUAAGGCAUUGUUCAAUCCCUAAACACCGGAGAUAUAAGGAAGAUAAUCCCUAGUCAACCCCUUUGGGUAUUGUAAUAGGAGUUUCUUUCUUGAACACAUAAAACCCUCAUGCUUAACCAGGGGCAGAGUAUUCUUCAGUUAGUUUAGACUUGCAUUCAAAUUUAAGAAGGACAAUAUCUCAUCCAGUGAUCAAUCAUAUCAUAUCCCUCUCAAGAGGAUGGAAUCAUAAAUCCAGGAUGGUUAUCCCUUACCCAUCAAAAAGAGUGAGAUAAUCACGACUCGUGCAACAAAUCGAGAAAGCUGUGUCACAAGGUUUUCUCUAGUACAAAAAUAAAAGAUGAAACAAAAUUAAAAGCCCGCUAAGUCAAAAGCUUGAAAACAAGAUUGACUUAGGCAAAAGUCAGGGUAUCCCGGUGGGAUGCAGACCCAAAGGAUCAGCCUAGGAAAAAAUAAGGGUAAACAAAACAAAAGAAUUAGAGGAUCAAUACCAAAAUUCGUAGCGAGAGCAAAUCCCUGUGACUAUAAACAAAAGCAGAAGGCGAGUGGCUAUCGCUCUAAAUUCUCGUGGAUUCCUUAAACCAUCAUUGUUGAUAUUCAAAAUCCUUUCUGAAAGACGAACGCUUAUUUUAAGCUAAUUGAAUAUAGAACUAGAUAACAUCACACAGAAUGGGUGGGUUAGAAUAGGUUUUGAGCCUUAUAUCCUUUCUUUCUGAAACCGUGAACUAGGCCAAGUUACAACCCUCAAAAGACCUAAUUGAAGUAGGGUUUAUUUCAAAAGCAUACUAUGGUAAGAUCGCGUUAAGCUGACUCCUUAAGAUUUUCUUGUCAUAUGUUUGAUACUGAUAUGGCAUUCUAAACAGUGAUUUGUUCACUAGAUGUCAUAAUCUUAGUGAACACACUUGAGUUUUCAAAACUUGCAUGAGCAUGACAUUACAAUUAUCAUUUUAAAAAUGAGCGUUUUACAUGCGAACAUGCAUUUGACACCAAGGAAGCUUACAAUGGGAAAGUUGAUCAAAUUCCUAAUAUCCCAUAGCUCAAAUCUCUUCAAGAGCCCGUCAAUCUAAGGCACCAUGCCAAGAUUUUGCAAAUCUCUCUGAAUCAGCUGUAUAAGGGAAAAGUUUAAUUCGAAGUUCAUAUUGGGGAAGGCCACCUCAAGAGCAUGAGAAGUCAAUCACUCCUAAGAUAAUUAACUAGGAGGAUAUAGUUUCAAGAUGCUGGGGCAAGCCAGUUUGAGAUACUCAGAUGACGAGAUCACUCUAAUUUGUAAUUGGAGAAAUUGGUGCAGAUAUCCAAUACAUUGGGGCAGAGGCAGGCUACGCAGGUACAAGCUCUCUCCAUGUUCUAGACAUAAUCCAGAGGUGUGACAACAAUUUUUCAGCUUGAAGUAGGUUCGAAGAAUCACGUCUGGAGGAUACCAUAUCCUAGCCAAAAAUUUCCACCUCCCUCUAUAUGAGCACCUGGAUUAACCAUUGCAUAAAUCAUUAUCAUGAAUAAAUCACGUCGCUUCACUCAUGCAUACCAUUCAUCUAUCAUAGCAUGAAGCCGUGUGUGAGAAUCAAAGGAAUUAAAGCCCAGUAUUUUAUUGGCAUCUCCAAAUUCCAAACUUGCCUGGUACCUUUUUAAACCAUCUAGUUUGACAAUUCUUCCAAAAUCCAAUUUGCUUGGCGUCUUUUAAGCCCAGUUUGCUUGGUAUCUUUUUUCGACCUUUAGGGUCGAUGAUCCUCUUUUCCAACAUUCAUGGUUGAGGAACCUUUUUUCAAUCUUCAGGAUUGAUAACCUUUUUCCAAUCUUUAGGGUUGACGAUCUUUGUUUCUAACCUUCAUGGUUGUUGAAUCUUUUUCCCACCAUUAGGGUGAUGAUAGACUUUGUUUCCGGCCUUUAAGGUUGAUGAUCCUCUUGCUUUCAACCUUUGCGGUUGUUGAAUCUUCUUCCAACCAUCAUGGUUGUUGAAUCUUUUUCCUACCUUUGUGGUUGUUGAAAAUUUUUCCAAACCUUCUUGGUUGAUGAACUUUUUCAAUCUAUGUGAUUGACAAACUUUUUUCCAAACUGUAAGGUUGAUGACCUUUCUUUUUUUCAAACCUCUGUGUUUGACUUUGUUUCCAGUUUUUGAACUGAUGAUUCAUUUGUGAAACCCCUUGUUUGCAAGAAUAUUUUGGAACUUUCAUGCGCUCUUUGAUUAGCAUACAUGGCCACAUGUUUCAAAAAUGAUAAAAAAAAAUACAAUUUAGCAUGCAUAUCAUGAUCGUCAUUUGCCAUUAAUAUCCCCACAGUACAUCAAAAUCACCAGCAAAUAAACCCGUAAAAAAUCAAGUUGAUAUCCCUAUAUCUCAUACAAUUGUCCUUCAAGGAAAAAAAUUCGGAUACUUCGAUAUUUAAUCCACGCAUACCUUAAAAAGCUGAAAAGCUCUCGCAAUUCGACCAUUCAGGUCUAAGCUGAUUAAAUAGGGGCAGAUGUCGUAUCCUAAAUUUGUCCUCCCUAUUUCAUCUUUCCACUCAAUUUAUCAACUUGAGAUUCAUCUGUACCACAUUCAUAUUUCAUUCAUAUGCAUCAUUCAUUAAUCAUACAUUCAAAGCUUGUGGCCUGCAAAUCUAAGGUUUGUUGAUGGGACAUGGCUCUUCAUAGGCUCAUCAUGUGAGGGGAAACCCUAAUUUCAUACUCUUUUAGACUUUGAUUCAAAAAGGUUACAAUCACGACAUUCAUUUAGUCAUUCAAACCCUUAUUCCUGACUUUGUUGUCUUUCGGUCUCACAAGCUUUCACCUGUGUAUCAUGAAGCCCUAAUCAGGGAAGAUUUGGUCCGGUUGCACCUUAUGGCUUGACUUUUCAUCUUGUGUGUGCUGGAAACCCUAAUUCAUUAGGGAGAGGUGUUUGACUAUCCUAUUAUGCAUGCCUACUGGUUUGGAAUUGCACAUGAUUCAGGUCUUGUUUCAAGCAUCCCUAUGCCCAUCACAUUUAACUUUGCAUAGGCCAUUAACUCAAGUCUUUUGGUAUGGGCAAAUGCAUAGACCCAUAUGCCCGAUUCACUUCAUUCAUAUGAUGCAGAUGAUCAAGGAUGAUUGGUCCAUUUAAGAUUUGGUUCCAUUGGUUCAUUCUUUGUUUCUUAAGCAAAAUCAUUAUUUCAUUUGAAUUAUGUCAUGUGAAAACCCUAAUUCAAAUUUCACAGUUGACUUCGAUUAACUAGUUUACCAAAGUCAACCAUCCCUUUUUGAGUCCAUUAAACUUUUUCAUUAAUCAUUCACACUUAAUCACAUUUUUCGAGCUAUUUGAUGCAUCCAAUUCAUUCAAUUUUCAAAUGUAAUUUUGACCAUUCCAAACAUUUUAACCAUUCAAGGUUAACAAUUUAAGUUCUAUAAACCAUCUUCUUUUACAAUAUAUUUCCACUCAUAAACUUUCCAUAAGCAUUCAAAAUUUUCCAUCAUAAAUAUCAUUCAAUACAAUAAACUUGUCCAUGGUUCGCGCAUUUAAUCCUUUCUUUCCAUCAUUUAUUUGCAUUGCAAUUCUAUUCAUCCAAAGUAUCAAACUUUUCAUAAUCACCAAGUUCCAUUCCAAUACAUUCAAGUUUUACCUACAACUUUCCUUUACAAUUAUUACAAACCAUUGUUUUACAUUGUUACACUAUGUAUCAACCAUAUCCUACAUAACCAUAUUAACCAUUCCAAAUGAUCAAGCAAGAUAGAAUUUCAUUCACUAACCAUACAAGAUAUCUCAAGCAUACAUUUCCAUUUCAAGCUACAUUAUAAUGCAUCAUAAUCCAACAAUAUCAUGAAGCAGCCCAUGGCCUCUUAUGCAUUCACUAGAAAUAUUUCCAUAGCACAAAUUGGCCAUGUCCCAAAAGAUAAUGCACAAAAAAAGCAUGAAAUAUCAUGAUUCUGUUAGGCUCUGUUUUGAAAUUAUUUACCUGAUGAACAACAGACAUAAAUGCCGAUCGAGGUUAUAUGGAAGCUUCAAAUACUGAAAAAGAAAACACACCCAUUGCAUUGAUGGCUACAGCUCUUCCUUUGAAACGCCAUUGAAGCUUCAAUUCGUGGAGCUUAAACCACUGCACCUCUUCGACCUCACGCGGAAAACGCAACAACAGCAUAUGCUUAGAAGAACAGAGGGAGAGGAAUAAGAUUGCAGCAACAUAACAGAAAGAGUGAAGGAACAAAAUUGAGACGAAGAAAAAGGGAAGAGAUCGGUCAAUACCUGUUCGCAGUUGAAGCAUCAAAUUUGGUAAGUCCUUUUGAUUUUCUUUUCUUUCUGUUUAAGUCCGCGAGCACAAUGUUGGAUGGAAUCACAUGUCGAUGAGGUUGAACACAAUCCAUGAACUCUAUUAUCUGUUAGAAUUAGAAUAUUAGGUUAUUAAGUGACAAUUAGAAAUUGUGAUUUAAUUAGAAUUCUAGUAUUGAUAGAUUUUGGAUUUUCAUUAGAAUUAAUUAGAAAUUUUAGAAUUUAACUAGGGUUUUAGAAUCUAUUUUAGACUAAUUAGAUUUUCACAUAAUUAUAUAUAAUUAUAAUUAAUUAGUUUUUGAUUAAAUGUUGAUUAUUAGAAACUAUUUUCCUAAUUAAUCCAUUUAUGCAUAUUGACUAUUUUACCCUUUAGAGGUUAUGUUUGUCAUUUUAGCCAUAAGGACAUGUUCCUUUAGGUUUAGAUCUUGACAUCAAUUUUUAAUCAAGUCUUGACCAAUUAUAUCAUGAUCCCUUAGGAUAGUUUGUAACAAAUUCUAACCAUUAGAUUAGGAUUUAAUCUAGUUUUCAAACUAAUUCAAACCUUCUGAUUCAAAUUGAUCAAAAGCAAUUUUGAUCAAUUAAAUCAUUUGAUAUUGUAUAAUCCCACAGUCUAAUUUGAGUGACACAAAUACUCUUGGUCACCUAAUGAGACUUUUUCGGUAAGUUGUGGAGCUCGAGGCCUCAAGUCAUAUUUUCAAUCAAGGCAUCAUCGGUCAGACCAAGCAGUGGAUAAUACAAGGUACAUCAAAGGUGGCAUCUUUGAGAGCUUGUCAAAUCAAAGUUAUGAUUGUGUGGCAUGAGCCUUGAGUAAUGAAGAAAGAAUGAGACUGAAGAAUUCCUACCCCCAUCAACACAAAGGGCAUCAUGUCAGCAACUUGUUAAUUUUGAUUCAAGUUGCAUGCCAUGAGCCUUAAGAAACAAAGAAUGAUGAGAGUGGGGAAUUCCUAUCCUUGUCUAGAAUAUUCUUGGGUACGGGACGAAUGACCCAGUUGCUCAAAGUAUUCGCCUUUUUCCAUAGACUUUGGUGCAAUUUAAAUCAUGCAAUUGACAAGCCUUCUUCUUCAAGCAAGCAUCAAUCAUUCAACACUUCAAUAGUGAAACACCAUUACCCCCUUUAGUAUUGGACUUUCCUCCUGGAUGUUCAUACAUUUCUUGGGAUUAUUACCUUGGGGUCACAUACCCAUCUCGCAAUCAAUUGCUUCAUGCAUUGCCUAUCAGUUCACACUAUGGCAUACUUCAUUGCUUGCCCUCAACGUACAGACCCUGACAUUCAGCCUAUGGAGUACAUACUCUGGCUUUGUUUCUUCCCCAUAAGGUACAGACCUUGGCAACUUCUUGCAGCCCAUAGAGUAUAGACUCUGGCUUUAUUCCUUGCCUACAACAUACCGAUCUUGGCAUCCUUGCCCUAAUGAGUUCAGACUCUGGCCAUCUGAUUUUGUCUAUACAGUACUGACUUUGACAUAUUAUUAUGCCUUAUAGUUAAGACUUUGGAAUUCAUUCAUCCAGCCCAUUGGGUUCAGACUUUGGCAUCGUACUAUUUUGCCCUUAUGGAGUUCAGACUCUGGCAUUCAAAUCAGUUCAUUUGCCUUAUAUAGUUCAGACUAUGGCAUGCUUAUACAUCUUGCCCAUGGAGUUCAGACUCUGGCAACCUUUAACAUUGUCUUGAAGUCAGACUUUAGAAUUAUAUCUCCUUUUCCCUUAUUGAGUUCAGACUCUGAGAAUCUGUUCCUUGCCUUUGUAUUAGUUCAGACUAUGGAAUUCAUCUAUCUUGCCUUGUGGAGUUCAGACUCUGGCUAUAUCUCAUUUGUCCUUAUGGUUGAUUACCAUCUUUGGUAAGUGUCAUACUCUCGCUUAUUAAGCAAUCACCUUGCCUCUGAGCAAUCCUAUCAAAUCUCCCUUUGCUUUCAGUUGUAGUAGGCUAAACUACGAUUGCUCUGAUUUUCUCAUUGCACGAUGAGAAUACAUAGGCACAAGGGUUCAAAUCCUCCGUGAGCAUACUUAUUUAUUACUCCUACCUUAGGGCAUUUCUCCAUCCAUCUCCAUGAUACAGUCAUAUACUACCUUUAUUCACUUCAUGUGAUAUACCCUAUUCUUUGAGCCAAAUACAUUAUACCUUUGUGCUCCAUCUUGUACCCCUUUGUGAACCAAGAGAUGUUUCUGUUGUGAAACCAAAAUUAAUUUCCUUUGUUUUCGGCUAUACCAUAUAGUGGCGAAUGUUCAGACAAUCCAUAUAUCGGUUUAUUCCAGUUUUACUCUUGGGUUCACGCUUUCACCCCUUGUUGGGGUUCAAAAUAUUAUCCUCUGGUUCAGGCCAUACCUUGAUCACAACUUCCUUUUCAUCUCCCACCACUAGUUCUUUGAACUACGAAGUUAUGAAUUCCUCAUUGCACUAUGAGUAUACAUAGGCAUGAGGGCCCUAAUCCUCACCGAGCACUCUAUCUAUUUCUUUUCAUUUUCCCCAUUCUUUUGCGAGUAAUCUUUAGAUACAACACUCAUUCGAGCGAGAACAAUCAAAACGGUUCCCAUGGAGUACCAUAGAUGUUAGGGAUGCUAAUACCUUCCCAUUGCAUAAUCAACUUCCUUACCCAACAUAUCUCUUUCCCCUGGGUUUUAUCGAUGUGUUCGGGUAUAUUUCCGCUAGCUGCAUCACCAACUCCAAAAUCUCAAAAAAGUGUUUUUAAAGGAACUCGCAUUAGCAAACCACCUCCUUCACCGUCUCUACCAAAAAUUUCAUUCAUUGACGAGAUGUUAUUUUUUUCAUAAAUACAUCGAACAAAUCGUCAAUGUUGAGGGUGACGGUAAUUGCGAUUUUCGAGCUAUUUCGAUUUUGCUGGGUAAAGGAGAAGAUGAUCACACACUUGUCUGCCAUCAACUUAUCCAUGGUUGAGGACCCAUAUAGAAUUAUACACACGACUUUACCGAAAGAAACAAAAUUUUGAUGCAAUUUAUGAGUCUUUUAUUCCUUGCAUUAGUGGUCCGAAACCAGAGGAAAAAUGAAUGUGCUUCCCUGAAAUGAGUCAUCUCAUAGCAAGUGCAUCUGAUAAAGUGUGUAUUGGUCUUACAAGAUACGAUUUUUUGGAAACUUUUUUUCCACUGCGCACCACCCAACCUCAAAAUCUAAAUGAUCGUAUUUUGUGUAUUAGAAUACCUUUAAAAUUACGACACUUUGUUCAAAUUUAUUUGAAACGGGAUGUCGUAUACCACUUACAUCAGUGGAGUGGACAACUCAUUCAACAAUAAAAUCCGGGACUUAGACGGGCCAAUUUAUGGAAAAGAUGCAAGAGUUUACCAAAUUGAGCGACAUUGAAAGUGAAUAUAAUGCACAAAAGUCAAAGGGGGAACCACUCAUACUUAUAAAUUUAGCCAUCGACAAAUAUUUCGAUUCGUUUUAGUUUUUCGUUAUCAAUUAAUUGUAUAUAAUUUUGUAUUAAUAGUAAGGGUUAAUAACAUUUUUAUAGAAACAUUCUAGUUGUACCUUGGGGGGAAUGACCCAUGAUUGAUGCUUACGUGUCAUGAUAAAUAUCAUGAUAUAUUUUAGUUUUUAGUUUUUUAAUUACAUAUAUGCUUACGUGGACUUACAGUUUUUUAUUUAUGAAUUAUUUCUAUUUUCAUGUGAAAAUUUAUUUUCUUUUUCAUUUAUUUUAAUCAUAACAAUUAUCAAAACUACUUUAAGAAAGUUCUAAAAUUUUGUCAACAAUGAAAUUCUCAUACGGAUUUGGCAAGGAACUUUGAAAGGAGAUUUGAAAGCGUGAACCACAACCAUAGAUAGGAAGAAGGAGAAUUAGGGUUCAACAUAGUUUGAACCGUGUUUAUGUUUAUGUUAGGGACCGAUUCGGGCUAGACCCAAUCUAGGUUCGGUUGAUCCACUAACCAUUAGUUUUUUUUUUAAAUUAUUUUGUGAGUAUACCAUUUGUUGUUUGGCCUUACCUAUUUGUGACUUGGGCAAACCCCACUUUAGGAGCCAUCUUGUCUUAUUUAUUUAUUUAUUUUUGUCUUUUCCUCAACCUUUUUUAUUGCAUUAAUAUUUUAGUAAAAGAAUAUAUAAAAAACAUAAACUUUUUCAUGAAAAAAAAGGUGGUUUACAAUUUUAUAAUAAUUGAUUUUUAUUGUUAUUUCAAUUUUUUUAUCAAUAAAUAAAUAAAAGUAGACAAAAUUUGUUUGAUGCGUGCCUUAGGGUUUCUUUUUCCUAUCAAGCUAUAUCUCAAAAGAAGAAUAUUUCUUUAAGAAUUAUUCCUUUUUUUAAAAAUAAAUUUGAUUCCAUUAUGGUUUGAUUUGUUUGAUCUUUAUUGAUUGUGUGAAUGCUUGUAUUGUUCAUACUUGAUCCAUGAUUUAUGUAACCUUUCACUUAGACCUUCGAUUGUUAGUAAGAUAAAAGUAAAUGUGCAAUAAAAUCAACCUUUUAAAAUAAGAUUCAAACACUCUAUCGAUAUGAAUUUGGUUUUAAAAAGAUCUCACUAUUUUCACCAUCCAUUCAAAGUUAAUUUCAAGUCAUCUCACAAAUUAUUUUCAUGCUAACACGAAUAAACCCUCGAUCAACAUCGAGUUUCUUUUUUGCUUAUUAAAAACUUGAAAAUCAUUUUCAUAAUAAAUCAGUUGAAAAAGGAAUGGGAGGCGCACACAUCUCUACUCCUCGAAUAAGUGAGUGAUUGGUAGACUCCAUAUUGCUCUAACUUUCAUCUUCCGAAUAAAAUAUCCUAAAUAAACAUGGAUGAAAAAGGAAGAGAGGCGCACACAUCUCUACUCCUCGAAUAAGCAAGUGGAAGACACACACCUCGCUACUGCGAAUAUUUUUUCUUCCGCAAAUAAUUUUCAAAAUAUUAAAAUCAAACAAAAAAGGAAUGGGAGGCGCACAACUUGUUGCUCCUCGAAUAAGUGAGUGAUUGGUGCGCGCCAUAUUGCUCGAGCUUUCAUCGUCUUCCUACAAAACACUAAACCAAUCAAACCUAUUUUCUCGCCCCCUUCGUUCAUCCCAAGACGAUGUAAACACGCUUCAUUUCUACCAUGCGCAAGAAGUUAUAACUCUUUUCGCUCGAAUGUGACGAGAACAAAUUUGUGAGAAUCUGGAUUAUGUUAUUCAUUCUAAUGUGAUGCCAAUGUUCACUUCUCCAUGUUUUUAGUAGCAAAUAAUGUUUUCGCUCGAAUGCGACUAAGUACCUUUCGUAAAAACUGAUCAACAAACAAAAAAUUUCUACCCAGAACUACGUAGCCUUGAGUUUUUCAUCGCACCUGAGAUAUGUAGAAGCGAGACCCGUAAUCUCGUCAGGCACAUUAAUAAAAGAAAACAUUUUGCGACCCAUUUUGUUUUCUCUUUACACUUUUGACCACUCGAAGAAAACAUAUGACAUAAGCUAAAAUUUCAACCACAAAUCUAACUAAAUGGUUCCCGUUGAGUGUAACAGAUGUGAGGGGUGUUAAUCCCUUCCCCUCGCAUAAUCGACUCCCAAACCUGAAUUUGAUUGUGACAAACAUUUUCUUUUUCUUUUAAGGAUUUUAUCAAUAUUUCCCCUCCUUUUUGGAAUAAAUCAAUUUUGAUGGUGACUCUGUUAUCUUGACCAUGCAAGCGCUCAUGGUCAUUUUUCGCGUCGCGACACUACUGUACAAUAGUUAUCUGUAUCAAAAACUAAAAUAUUUGUGUCUGUAUCUUGUUGUCUAGGAUUGUUGGAAACGAGAAGGAUGGAAAAAUAAAGUGUGUUUAUUUUUCUAUGUUGUAAAAUCACAAGGUGGUUUUUCUUGGUGAUUAAGUUAGAAUCUUGUGUAUAGAAUCUAGGUUUAGGCUUGUACAAAAUAAUAACAAUAUUGAAAUCUCUUAUAGUGUCUAAGGGGACUGACAUACUCUCAGAUUGUGAUGGGAACUAGUAUGAUUUUCGAUGUUAUUUACUUUAUGCACUUUACUGCUUUCACCACCUAACCAUAAACCAAAAAAUAAAGAAACAUUCAUCUCUAAAAACAAUGUACUUACAGCGAGAGCAUGAUAUUCCGCUUCAGUACAUGAACAAGACACAAAAUUUUGUUUCUUUAAGCGCUAUGAAAUCAAGGAGUUACCCCAUAACACAUAAAUGCUAGUGUAUAUUUCCUAGUAUCCAGACAACGUGCCCAGUCGAAGUCAGCAAAACCAUGCAGCUUUAAGGAAUUAUUGCUGGCAAAAAAAUGCCUCGAGUAGGAAAUGCCUUCAGAUACUUCAAAACUCGAGUGGCUUCCUAACGGUGAGGAACCAAGGGGUUAGCCACAUAUUGGCUAAGGUGACGGACAAUAAAAGAAAUACUUGGCCGUGUGUUUGUAAGGUAAAGUAGCCUGCUAAUUAAUUUACAAUAUGAAGAAGGGUCCUCUAAAGGAGUACCUUCACUAGAUGAGAGCUUCAUGUGAGGAUCAAUAGGUGUGGAGACAAGCUAAGCCCCAAGAAAACCAGUGUCCUCAAGCAGCUAGAGCAUGUAUGUUCUCUGGCUGAGAAAGAUACCAGAAGUAGAACGUGCAAUUUUGAGGCCCAAGAAGUACCUUAGUUGACUGAGAUCUUUAAUGCAAAAUUGUUGAUGCAGGAAAGACUUUACUUGUUUAUUCCACAAUCGAGUCGCUUGUCAAGACAAUAUCAUCAAUGCACACUGAUAAGGAAGUGAAACCAUGAGGUGUGAUCUUGGUGUAUAAUGAGUGACCAACAACAGAUUGAGAGUAGCCUAAUGAAAUGAGAGCUGAAGAAAGCUUAGAAUGCCAUUGUCGACUGACCUGUUUCAGUCCAUACAAUGAUUUUUUUAAGUGUACAAACCUUGUUGGAUUCAAGAUUACCAUAGCCAAGAGGAAGAGACAUAUAUACUUCUUUAUUUAGGUCUCCAUGAAGGAAGGAGUUUUUAACGUCCAGUUGCUCAAGGUGCCAGUGUUUGACAGCUGCAAGAGAUAAAAGAACACGAACAAUAGUAAUUUUGGCAAUUGGGAAAAAAGUAUCAAAGUAAACUACAUGUUCUAAUUGAGUGUAACCCUUGGCUACCAACCGGUCCUUGCAUAUAUCAAUAGAGCCAUUGGCAUGGUACUUGACUUUGUAUAUCCAUUUACAACCAACUGGAGUUUUGCCUAGAGGAAGGUCCACAAUGGUCCAAGUUUGAUUGUCCUUAAGAGAUGCAAUUUCAGUAUCCAUGGCCUACUUCCAACAGUCAUGUUUAGAGGUAUGAAGAUAGGUUUUUGGUUUAAAUAUGGAUGAAAUAGAGCAACAAAAGGAUUUGUAAGUUGGAGAGCAUUUUUUAUAUGAUAUAAAGUUGGAGAUAUGGAAGGUAGUGGAAGAGGAGUUAUUUAUAGAGGCAUAUCUAUUUGAUGAAAGAAAGAGAUUACAAUAAUAGUCUUUGAGAAAACUAUGAGGGUGUUUGGUUCUCAUUGAUUUUUGAGUUAGUAGUGUGGAUUGGUUUUGGGGAAUGUCUGAGGGAGGGUUAGAAUUAUGUGGAUACAUGUUAUCAACUAAGGUAUCAUGAAGGAUGUUGGGUUCAAAGUCAAUAACACUAGGAUCUUGGGUACUUGGUGAUGGAUUAAAAGUAGUUUGAUAUGGACUUGAGGUACUAGAGUCAAUCAAAGUAGGUUGAUUGAGACUUGGAAGGUUAGGGAUAAGUCCUGUUUCAGAAGUAAUAGGAUAAUCAUAAGAAUUUGUGACUGGUGUGACAACAGUAGAAGGAGUGGACAUAUGAGGCUCAGGGGUCAGAGUGAGGGCCUGAGGUGUAACAUAGUCAAUGUCAUAGGUGAUGUCCAUCAAGCUAUGAAUAUAAGUAGGGAGAUUUGUGGCAUUACUUUUGAAUGGAAAGGUGGUUUCAUAAAAGAAAACAUUUAGAGAUAUGAAUAAGUUAUGAGACUGAAGGUCAUAGAGAAUAUAACCUUUAGUACCAUCUUUGAAACCAAGGAGAAUGGCUUUUCUAGCCCUACCAUUGAAUUUUGUUAUGUGGGUCUGUAAAGUUGUUGAAAAACAUAAACAAACAAAGACUUUCAAAUGAACAAUAAUAUAUUAAGUUUUGAAAAAGCAACUCGUAUGGAGAUUUUGACUGAAGUUGAGGACUAGGGAUCCUAUUAGUCUUGUGGACAACAUGUUGAAUACUGAAGUUCCAUAGGUUUAAAGGAAUAUGUGUUAAUGUUUUCUCUCAACCACCCCAUUUUGCUGUUUUUGUUAUAGUGGUGGUGGUGGUGUGUGUGUGGCGGGGGGGGGGGUGUUCUACACAAGAUUUAUGGCGACUUAUGCCUUUGGAAGGGAAAAAGGAACUAAGAGUUAGGAACUUUGAACCCUUAUAUGACCUAAAGCAUUUAAGAGUGGUUUUGAAUUUAUUUCCUAUUGAGGCAAUAAAAUGUAUUACACUUUGUUUUGUUUCAGAUUUUUCCUUAAUAAAAUGACCCAUGUAAACCUUGAAAAUCCAUCAAUAAGAGUUAAGAAAUAUUUAUAGCCUAAAAUAGAAUCAGUAGAAAAGGGCCCCCAUAAAUCAACAUGUAAAAGUUCAAAUGGAGCAUGAGUAUGAGUAAGACUAUUUAGAAAGGGGAAUUUCUUUUGUUUUGCAAAAUGAAACGAAUCACAAGGGUUCAUGUUAUUUUUACAAGGGAUGGGGGGAAAAUGUUUAGCCAUAGUUUUCAUACUGAAAUUAGAAAGGUGGCCUAGUCUUAGAUGCCAAAGUUCAAAGGAAUUAGAAAUAACAUAAUUACUAGUGGAAUAAACAUCACUAAUAUCUAUCACAUAGAGGCCUCUGUGCCAUUUAGUUGUACCAAGCAUUUGCUUUGGAUGGUUCUGCAAAAUAUGACACAAGUUUGAAGAAAAUUUCAGAUAGCAAUCAAUAUUGCUAGUCAAUUUUGUGACUAAGAUUAAAUUAACAUGAAAGUUAGGAAUAUAGUGAAAAUUGUAAAGAGUUAAGGAAAGGGAAAUGACAAUGUUUCUAGAUAUGCAGGCAGUCAUGUGAGAUUCAUUUGGUAAGGAGAUUAAGCUAUUGAUUAACUUAACUCACAAAGAAAGAGUCGCCACAACGCUUUUAUUAUUUCCAAAGAAAAUAGAAAAAGAACGAACCAAACCCAAAGAAGUUUAAAAAAAACUAAUAAAAACAAAGAUAAGGGUCCAGGGGUUGGUUAUGUACAGGGAAGAUACUAGCACCCUAAGCAUCUAUAGUACUCUACAGGAACAUCUUUGAAAAUAUGUGCAUUUAGAUUUAAAAUGGUGUUGUUUACAAAAGAUUAGGGAGAUGAAAAGAGAUUUUUUUUUUAUAAUUUUUGUGUUUGCCAAGACUUUCUGAACCUCGUGCCUACGUACCCAUAAAGUGCAAUGGCGAAUCAAAACCUCGUAGUUCGUGGUAAAAAUAACAAAGAUGUUUGCUUUGAUUCAUUUUUAAUGAAUUUUUUUUUGUCAUUUUAAGAAGAACAUUCAACUAGCCAUCCACAAGUAUGGGAACUUUGCAUCACCAUGAGAAGGACUCUAACUUGGAUAAAUAUCAACUAGCUCUCUUAUAUAGAAAAGAAUUAUUAUCAAUACUAUGGGGAUAGAAAAAUUAUAUAUCAACUAUGGAAAUGACUCGUGUCUAAACUUUGAGAAAAAAGUUUUAAAAAGGAAAAAAAAAAGUGCACAAAGGGCACAAAAAGGUUUGAAUGAGUUAUGCAUUUUUAGUUUUUUGAAAUUGGUUUGAAUAUGAUUAAGAUGUAUUAGAAUUUAUUAAUAAAAGAUUUUGAAAAGAAAUCACUUGAAAAAAGUCAAGGUUUAUUGAGGAAGUAGUUCAAGUUUGAAAACAAGAAUGUUUUGAAAAAAAGAGAGAAGAUUUUGAAAAUCAAAGAAGGGGAGGAGAGGAAGAGAUUAUCCUAGAACAUAAAGUAAAAGCUAUGGAGGAAAGAUCCAACCAAGAGAUAACAACAAGAAUUCACUCCUUUGGAUUAAGCCUUAAGCAAGUCAAAUAAGCAAAGAAUAUUCCAUGUAUCAGAUGAAACCAAAGUAGCCAAGCAAAAUCUUCAAAAGAAUCUCAAAGUCAAAGGUAGCAGAUGAAUCUCAAGGUCUCAAAUCAGAAACUCCCAAAAGAUAAACAAGUAUGCCACUAGUUCUCUUAGAUGGAAAAUAAUUAUCAUCAAUACUAUGGGUAUAGAAUAAUUACAUCUCAACUAUGGAAAUGACUCAUGUCUAAACUUUGAGAAAAAGUUUUAAAAGAAAAAGUGCACAAAGGGCACAAAAUAGUUUGAAUGAGUAAUGUAUUUUUUAAGUCUUUUGAAAUUGGUUUAAAUGUGCUUAAUAUUUAUUAGCAUUUAUUAAGAAAAUAUUUUGAAAAUCACUUGACAAAAGUCAAGGUUUAUUGAGAAAGUGAUUCAAGUUUGAAAACAAGAAGGUUCUUGAAAAAAAAAGAGAAGAUUUUGAAAAUUAAAGAAGGGGAGGAGCUAAGAAGAUUAUCCUAAAACAUAAAGUAAAAGUUAGGGUGAAAAAUCUAACUAAGAGAUAGCAAGCUUUAUGACAUGUGUUAAGUAAGAACACUCUCCUUUGGAUUAAGCUUCAAGCAAGUCAAACAAGCAAAGAAAAAUCCAUGUGUCAGAUGAAACCAAAGUAACCAAGGAAAUUAUUUAAAGUAAUCCCAAAGUCAAAGGUACCAGAUGAAUCCCAAGGUCUCAAACUAUAAACUCCCAAACAAGGGUCAAAAUUCUAGUUCUAACUCCGUAACUCCAUAAUAAUCCCAAUGAUAGUAACCUCAAGUCCAUGAAUUAAGAGAACCAAUUUUUAGGGGUUUUUUCCUUUAUUAAUGUAUUUAAAAGAAAAAGAAGUCUAAAUGGACAAAGAAAAAAAGGCAUAAACAUAAACAAAGGUCCAAGUGGACAAAUAGAAAAUAGCAUAAAUACAAACAAUAUGAUAUGCGAUGCUAAAAUAAAAUCAUAAAGUUAAUAACAAGAAAUAAAUGGCAAAAAAAUAAAGAGCAUAAGAUAAAUGGCAUUAAAGUAAAUUUAAUAUAAUAAUAUGUUAGUAAGUUGUGUUAGUAAUAAAAAAUUGAAAGAUAAUUUAUCAUUUUUGGGAGAAUACUCAACUAUUCGCCCACAAGUAUGAAAAUGUGGACCUCUACAUCACCAUGAGAAAGACUCCAACUUGGAUAAAAUCAAUAAGUAUGCCACUAGUUUUAUUAGGUGAAAAGGAAACAAUAUUUUUCACACAAUACCAUGGGGAGUAGGAGACUUACAAUCUCACUUAUGAAAAUGACUUACUUUCGGAUUCAGGAUAAAUUUAACGUUAUGUUAAGCAAUCGUAAUUGGACUCAUGUUGAAGUCACAACUAUCUGAGCCCGGUCAAUAAUAAUAUUUAUGUUAAUACAUGCUAGAGAAAUUAUAUGUAAAUCAUUCUCCUAAAGAUAUGCCACACAAAAAAAGGAUGGAUCAAGCACAAAUGUUAAGAGAGUUGUUCAUUACAUCAAUCAAUACUUCAUGAUACUUAGGACAAGCUUAUGCAUCAAUCUAAAGUACCUUAAAUAUUCUAUGAUCAAUUAGGAGGUAGAUUUGAAGUGAUGAAAGUUCAUCAAGUACCAAUUCAUACAUCAUAAACAAGAUGAACACAAACCAUCCAAUUGAUCAAGAGAAAAAAGGAAGCGAAAGAGAUUAAGAAGAAGAAGAAGACGAGAGAAACCAAACUCAAAUUGGAUCAAAGGAUUGAUCAAGUCAUCAUCAAAAUCAAUCAUCCAUCUUGGUAGAUUUGGGUUUUCACCCCAUCAACACCGAAGAUCCAUUGAAUUUGAUGAGAUUUAUGAUCAAAAUAGCCAAGAUCCAAGGUCAACAGAAGUCAACAAAGGUCAAACAAGCAUAAAAUGAAAGAAAAUAAAAUAAAAUGCAUCAAAAAUAUUUUUUAAAUGAAUUUUAAAAGGCAAAUAAAACAAAAAAUUCCAUAAAACCCUUUAAAAUACCAAAUAAAUGGCCAAGAAAAUUAUGGAAGGUUGAAGAUAAAAUAAGGAACAUAAAAUAAAUUUUUCAAAUAUUUUUAAUGCAUAAAAGUAUUUUUAAACUAAUUAAAAAAAGGGGAAAAAGAGGAAAUCCAAGAAAAUAAAAUAUGGAAAAAUAAAAAUCAGAUGAAGAAAAAAAAAAGAAAAUUUUAGAAAAUAUUUUGGGAUUUUUUGGAUAAAAAAUGAAUUUUCUAUAAAUUUUUAAAGAAAAUGCAAUUUAAAAUAAAAAAUAAAAAGAAAUAAAAAACAGAAAAAAAUAGAGGCAUUGGAUCUGACCUCAUUAAUUGACGUGGCAAAUCCAACAACUAUCAGGCUAGGGCGCAUGGUGGAAAAUAGUUAGAAUAAAACAUGGAAUCACAUUCAAAAUGGACCAAUCAAAACAUUUCAAAAUGCCAACGUGGAUAGCCAACUCAGAUGGCCUGAAACAAAUCCAUUCAUCUUCUUCGGUAAUCCCUCAUCGGAGUUUCAUCAUUUGACAAAGUAAGAACAUGAGACUACCACCAAUGUGAUCGUCUCCUCAUCACGAAUUCAACCUAAUGCUCAAAAUUAAUUUAUCUAAAUUGAGUAUGGAGAAUUUCAGAGAAGUUUUAGAAACAAGCAAGUCACAAAAAGUAAAAUUAAAUGAUGAACAUUAUCACUCAACACCAGAUAAGUUAGGGGAAAGCAUAAGAGGGUGAAGGACUACAUUGUGGUAACUCGUUUGAGUUCAAAUGAUGCUCAAAACUACCUUGUCCAAAUGUAGAUCGGAGGUUGAAGAAGCUUGAUCUGGUCAGGGCACUUCAGAAGGUCUUACAGAUUGAGAAUUAUUGCAAAAUCUUCAUAGGAGACUGAAAGUUUUAAUUGAAUCAAGAAAUUGAACUGAAACAAGCUAGAAAUCAAACACGAUAGCUCAAUUUUCUAGAAAUGUUUAAUAGUGGAGCAGGGGUUUUUUAGCUCUCCAAAGCUUGGGAAUAAGGCAAAUAUAUUGCUCUAUUUAUAGGGAAGUGAUUGGUGAUCUCAUACGUGCCAAAUGAUGCUUAAUUCGUGCAAAACAAAUUUGCUCAUGAUGUGAGAAAAGUGUGACUUGUAAAACCAUCAAAACUCAGCCAAAUUAUGCAUUAAAUGAUUCAUUUAACUUUUGAAGACUUGAUUAAUCAUGUUUAGGUCCAAAACGUGUGGUAAAUUGGCUUGUAAUUAAGGAUUAGUGAAGUUCAAAAUUCUGAACAUGGUGAUUUCUUCAGUUCCAAGUUACCAUGUUUAAUUCAAUGGGGCAUCUUGCCUAGGAGGCUUUUUGAUCUCAUUUUUCUUGCAAUUUUUGGACAUCAUAUCAAAGAUUACAAUGUGCCAAGAAAGGUUGCAUUUGGAUGCUUGAGCAGAAGUUUAUGGCAUGUUAAAGUUGGCACAAAAAUUUGGUUAUGCAACUUGGAAAAUUCUAAGUCCCAGAUGGCUAAAAAUGACCCAUAAUGUCUCAAAGAAUUCCAUGGUCUUCCAAGCAUAAUUUGACUUUGAUCCUUGAAGAAAACUUGUAGAGGGCAUCACAAAUGAUAUUAUUCAAAAAGAAUCAGCGUCAAAUGUUGGAAAUUGAAGAAGUUAUAAUCCUUGAAAGUUGAGAAAAAGUCACUUGAAAAUAGGUCAAAUUUCACUAGGUCCACAAAUGACCUAUAAUGUCUUCAAACUUUUGAUGAUCCUCCAUGCAUAAUUGGAUCUUGUAAUGUAAAGAGAAGUUAUAGAGGAUAUUUAGAAGAGUCAUAUGCAAAAAGAAACAUUCAAAAAUAUUGAGGAUUGAAGGAAUUGUGAACCUUGGAACUUUGACUUCAAAUGUUGAAUUUUUGGUCAAACCUCUUGGAAUAAACUUGUGUACUUGGACUUUUAUUGCAUUUCAAGGUACAUGGAUGAUCAUAUGAACUAAAAAUAAGGUGUCCUUAAAUUUAUUUUUAUUAAAUUUCUUAAAGUUUGAGGUAACAUAUUGAAGAAGGCAUGGAAAUAAACACAUGAACCUUUGCCUUUUCUUGAGACCGAUUAUCCACUUUUGUGUAACCGAUUACAAGCGCAAUAUUUUGAUUUUUCCUGCUAUUUUACUUGGUCAAUUCAGUUCCCAAUUGUGUUGUAUCUCUUGUAUAAGUGUUUAGAAUGCACACUCAUCUAAGGUUAAUGCAAUAAUAAUCUCUCACCCUUAAUUCUCCUCUUUCACACUCUACAUCCAAAGUAUCUCCACCAUUGUUCAUCAAACUUGUUGUGUCUUGUUCCAACAUUUGACAUCAAGAGUCUGGUUCAGAUCCACAAACACCUAGUGUGCAACAUGAAUUAUGUUUCCAAUGAAAGAAUCCCUGCAAACCUACAUAUCCUUGAUGCGAAGAAUUAUGAUAAAUGGUGCAAGAAAAUGAAGAUGUUGUUUGGCUACCAAAAUGUUCUUAAAGUAAUCAAGAAUGGUGUUAGCCCUCUUGUUCAAAAUGCAACAGAGGUGCAAAAAGAAACACAUAAGAAAGAGAAGAAGAAAUACUUCAAAGUGUUAUUCUUGAUCCAUCAAUGUGUUGAUGGCGACAAUUUUAAGAAAGUUGGUGAUUGCGAAUCGUCAAAGCAAGUGUGAGAGAUCUUAGAAAAGACAUGUGGAUGGGUUGACAAGGAAAAGGUGGCGAGGUUACAAACUUACAAACACCAGUUUGAAUUGAUUCAAAUGGAGGAAAAGGAGACAAUAAACUAUUUUGCAAUGAGAAUCACCCGGUUGGUGAAUCAAGUGAAGGCAUGCAAAGAAACUGUUACAAAGCAGUAUGUUGUCGCUAAAUCUUGCAUUCUUUAACACUAAGAUUUGACAAUAUAGUUGUGGCGAUUGAGGAGUCAAAGGAUCUCACGAUGAUGAGUAAAGAGAAGCUGCAAAGUUCUCUCGAGGCUCAUGAUAAAAGGAUGGAAGAGAGGAAUAACGUUAAGGCAAAGGCGGAGAUCGCUUUGCAAGCUCGUUUCAAUGAGAAGGACAAGAGAUCGAAAGGAAAAUGGCCCAAGAAAAGAAAAGGGAAUUUUCAUAAUUUUGGUGGAAGAGAGUCCUAAAAUUCAAAUAAUUUUACUUGUCAAAGGGGUGAGAGCAUCUUCAACAAACAUGGUGGUCAAGGCAACUUUAGAGGUAGAAGGAAGAGGUUUGACAAGAGCAAGGAGUAGUGCUAUAAGUAUCAAUGGUUUGGCCAGUUUGCAAAAGAAUGCAAUUUGAACAAGAAGGAAUCUCAAGGGGAUGAAGCCAAGGUUGCAAGAUAAGAGUUUGAUAAAGAGAAUACAUUUUUGGUCAUGAUCAAAGAAGGGAAUUGUAGCAGCAAACAACUGCGGGACAACAACUACAACAACUCAACGAAUGCUGAAUAGGUUGGUUGAAUGAUACGAUUAACCAAUUGCAUGAAGAGGAAGACGCCAUGAUGAGUUUGAAAGGAGUUCAAUGCAGUGAGGAGUGGUAUUUGGACUUGGUUUGUUCAACUCAUAUAACGGGAAUAAAGGAUUGGUGUGCCAAAAUCAAUUGUGCCAUGAAGAACAAAGUAAAGUUCGCGGAUGACACCACUCUAAUAUUCAAUGGGAUCAGUGAUGUUUUAAUCAUGAGAAGGGAUAAUGGACAUUCCUUGACCAUAAAUUCUUGUACAUUUAGGGAAUCAAAUGUAACCUUCUGAGUAUUGGCCAAUUUCUUGAGAAGGGUUAUAAGAUUCACAUGGAAGACAAGGGGUUGCGGGUUAUGGAUGUAAGAUGAGUCUUGGUCCUUAAAGCGCAUAUGGAUGCCAAUAAAACCUUUAAGGUUGAGUUGAAGGUUAUAGAGCAUAAAUAUCUUGCUACUGUAACAAGUAGACAAUAUUGGAUUUGGCACUAUCGUCUUAGGUAUCUCAACUUUAGAGAUUUCAAAGACUUUCAAAAGAACAGAAUGGUAACGGGGCUGCCAUCGAUCAACAUACUAGCUGAAAUUUAUGAAGAAUGUAUGCAAGCGAAGCAACAUAUGGGAAAAUUAAGAAAGUAGAUUCUAUUGGUGGCAAUAUGUAUUUUUUCACAUUUAUCGAUGAUCAUAGUACGAAGCUAUGGACAUACCUAAUCAAGAGAAAUGACGAUGUAUUUGAUGAUUGUUUGUCAUUGCAUAUAUUUAAUCGAAGAAUCAAAGAAAAAUAAGUGAAAUUUGAGAUAAAAUGAAGAAGAAUGAGGAAAAAAUAGCUAAGUGUGAAAAUUGUGGACUUAUUGAAAAUUUGAGUGAAAAGGGGAGCAAAACCGUGCAACCACGGGAAUAAUCACGCGCACCAUCACAUAGCAUCGUGCACGCGAUGGGGUCUUUAAAGCAGCAUUACACGCGCGAUACAAGGAAUCACGCGCGUGAUAAGUACUUUUUAUGGGCUUUUUAGACACGUUCUAGUCCAUUCUAACGCCUUUAAAAGAGGAUUUUCUGCACUUUCACAAGGGUUACAAAAUUGGGAGAUCUAGGCACGAUUUUGAGAGCACAAGUGGUGAUUUUUAUAGCAUUGGAAGCUAUUGGAGGCCAUUACUUCAACGUAUUUCACAUGUUAUUUUCAUCUAUCAAUUAUGGCAUUUUUAAUUGCAUUAUGAGUAGCUAAGCUCUUUUAUAUUAGGUUGUGUUAUGAUGAACCUAUUUCUAUAUUGUUGGAAUCUAUGUUGAUUUAACCAUUCUAAGAACCGUUUGAACUAUAAUUCCAUUCAAUUGCUUUUUGUUCAUAAUUCCUUUUAUGUGAGAUACUCUUUUAAUCUGAUUUUGGGCACAUAGGGAAUAUUGACUAUUAGUCUAUGUGUUGGACCUAGGGAAAUUGUUGUACUUACGCUGGUUGAAUAGGAAUAGGAGACCCUGAGUAGUGGCAUAGAGAAUUAAUGUUUUAUACAUCACCUAACCUUGCUUACGCUGGCAGACUAGGGAUAGAAAGCUCUGAGUAGUGGUUAGUGAGUUAUUUCGCGAGGGAUCAGCUAUAACGGUUUUGUUAAUUCGAUGUGGUGUUAUAGUGAUAAGACCAUUCGUAAAAGAUAUAAAACAUCAACAAUAGAGGAAUAGGGGAUUCUAGAACACAAUAUGCUCGUUUUCGUGAUAUUGUUUAAUUGUUUAUUUACUUUUCGCACUGAAACUCGAAAACCCCCCUUUUUACUAGUUUUCUAUAAAUUGCACACAUUUUGUCUUGCCUGAAGGAAAUUCAUGUGGAUUCGAUCUUUUUAUUACUUCGACAAUAUCAAUACACUUAUCGAGAAAUCAUUAAGUUUUUGGCGUCGUUGCCAGGGACUGUUGAUUUUUCAACAAGGCGAUGUUUGUGCAAUUUUUAUUUUUAUUUUUUUAGUCUUUUAGUUUUUUUUUUCUUUUUCUUGUUUAUCAUAGUGCUAUUGAGGUAUUUUUUGUUUGUGUAUGCACAAUUUAGGAUCAACAUUAAUACCAUUGGUUCUAGAAAUUGAAAGAACUACACGUGCUCUCAGAAAAGCAGUUAGAGAAGCAGCUCUGAAAGGAGGAAUACUAGAAGAAGAGCAACUAUCAAAUUCUUCUGACUCUGAAGAAGAAGCUGUAAUGGAAGCUGCACAACCCCUAACUAUGGGGCAUUAUUAUAAAUUAACCGAUGAAGGACACUUAUCAAGAGGGUUUGUGCUGGUAGACCCUGCUAACUUUGAUAUUAAAAAUUAUGUGCUUUAAGGUUUGAGAGAAAAUUCGUUUGAUGGGAACACGAUUAGAGACCCAUGGGUGCAUCUUACACACUUUUAUGAAAUAACUUAAAUGUGCAAACCAACUGAUGCCACUGAAGAGCAGGUUAAAUUGAGGUUGUUUGGGUUCUCACUAAUUGGAAGGGAGAAAGAUUGGUUACUUUGCCUUCCGAAUAAAACGAUACAUACUUGGAAGGAAUUAAAGGAUAAAUUCCUCGAAAUAUUUUUCAUUACUACUCAGUUUACCGAGCGCUAAGCAGAAAUUGUGAAUUUUGUGCAGCAGGAAACUGAGUCACUUUAUGACUCUUGAGAAAGAUUCAAAUUUUUGUUACGCAGAUGCCUGAAUCACAACAUGAAUAAUAUGGUGCAGAUGUAAAACUUCAUUAAAGGUCUCAAGAGUCAAACUCACAUGUUAUUGGAUGCUUCUACGAGAGGUACUAUCUGAAAAAUGAAUGAACCACGGGUAAAAGAUCUCAUUAAGAAGAUGUGUAUGAAGGAGUACCGAUCCAAGAAUGAAAGGUCGGUCAAGAUGGGAAUUGUGGGCACGCCUAAAGGUAUGUUACCUAUUGAUACCCACACUGCUCUUUUAGCUCAGAUUGAAUUAUUAAAUAAAAAUCUAGUUGGAAGCAGCUUAGUUAAAGCUAAUGUAGGCUAGGUACAAGCACUUGGGUGCGAUUUAUGUAGAAGAGAACAUGCGAAUGAAAGGUGUUCAUUGGAAGAGACAAGUGAGGAGGUCCAAUUUGCUAAUUUUUUAAAAAAUAACUUGUAUUCAAACACAUACAAUCUGGGUUGAAAAGACCAUCCAAAAUUCCGUUGGAAUAAUAAUCAAAAUUCAAAUGCUAACUAAGGGAUGCAACAAAGUCAACAAGCUCUGUUUCAAAGGAAUCCCAUCACAGUUGGUAGAGACCUCACAAAAUUUCAUUAAGGUCACUCAAAGUAGAUUUGAUAGGGUAAAGAAGACCCAUGAAUAAAUGAGUAGAAACUAGGAUGCGUCUAUCAAAAUUUUGGAGAUGAAGAUUGGUUAAUUAUCUAGAAAAGUAGCUACUUUGUCAAGCUCAAGUGGAGGAUUCACCAGUAACACCGUUGAUAACCAUAAGAAUGAUAACCCUAAAUAUAGGUUUAAGGGCAAUUACUGAAAAGGAUAAGGAUGAGAUAGUUAAACAAUGUGUGGUUAAGGCAUAUGAGGGUACCUGUAGCACCUCAAAUUUGCACCCCCCAUUCAUGCAUUCAUUUCAUUUUUUAGGUCAUUUAUCAUUCCAUAUUGCAUUGCAUUUUGGCAGUCAGCAUUGGCAUCAAGAGAUUCAUCAGUACAAAAGAGAAAGUUUUUUCUUGAGAUGAAGGCCAAAUGAUUAUACUAAAGAGCUUAUAUGAGCCCAGGUUCAUUUUGAAGCAAAGUUACCAAGUGGUAGAGGCCCAAACUCAUCAGUGCACUUCCAGGUCAUCUGAGGCCCAUACAAGUCAACUAUGCAGUCAACUAAGGGCUUUGAGUUGGGGAAAUGGUUUGAGACACUUCAUUCAUGUCCAAAAGAGGCUUUUUCAUCAUGUCAAACAUCUACCUUGAAGAUUUUGAAGUCAAAUCAAAAGUUUCCAAAAAUGGAAAGUGACCUGUAAUUCAAAGUUUCCAAAAAUGGCAAGUUUUUAGACCACAUUCAACUUGACUUUCCAACAUCAAAUAAGCUUCAAAUGAAUUUUUGGUCAACAUGAAAGUUGAAGAUAUUUCUCUCCUAUUUCCAAAAAGUCCAAGAGUAUGAGUAUCUGAUGAAUGGUUGAGAAGUUAUGAACAAAUGAUUGCAAAGUAUGCAUGGAACUUCAAAGUGCCAUAACUUUUGAUCCAAAACUCCAAAUUGAGCCACUCUUUUUGCAAAAUGCUUGUAUUGACCAAUAUUUUCCAAAUCAAACAUUGCAUUGCAUGAAAUUAACUCACAUGAUCAUUUGUCCAUGCAUGUAUAUUUUGGAGGGAAAAUGGAUAAUUCAAAUUCUAUUGAUCAUACAUGAAAAAUUCCUAUGCCAUUGUGAUCUUUGGAUGAUUUUAAGUGACUUUUAACCAUGCAUGUGCACUGUUCACGUGUAAAAUCUCCAUGCACCACACAUUUACCAUUUUUGCAUUACACCUCAUUUCUCAUUAAGUUUCCAUUAGCCAAGCCUAAUUGUGAUUAGCAUGAUAAUUAACAUGUGAUAUAAAUAGAUAAUCCUAACUGAAUUGGAUGAGAUUACACAUUCUAGAUCUAGAAAUUGGAUUUCCCUCCAAAAAUUCUCUCAAUUCAAACAUCAAAUUUCUACACAUAACUCAUGAAUUUUCUUGCAUAAUUGUGUUCAUCUUGCAUCAUUGAGUAAGAAUCAAGGCCUGGACUGAAGGAUUUGGUGCAGAGUCGAGCUCCACGAAUGCAUGAAAAUGAAGAAGGUUUUCUGAAUUUGAGCUUCAUUUAGGUAGUUUCAAUUGCUAUUCCUUCCAUAAAGCUUCACCUCAAGGUUGAUAGAGGAGACCUGGAGCUGGAGGAGGCUUGAAUCCACGAAAUCAUCGCACUGUUCUUCAAGAAGGUUAAAAUUUGAAUCUCAUUAUUUGCCAUUUUAUGCACAUGAUCUUGUAGGUCGUGCUCCACUGAUGAUUCUGAUAUGAAUAUUAUUGAUUUUGGCUGGAUAUUGAGUGAGUUAUGAUGAAUUAAAGUUUGUAUGCUAAAUUUGUUCUUGCUCGAUCCAUGAGAUAUGUGAUGAUUUAGAGUGAAUUAGGCAUGGAUUUGGAAUGUACGUUAUGCAAGCUUUCGAUCCAUAUCAUUUUUGCAUGAUUCUAGAAUUUUUUUGAUGCACCUUCAUCGGCGUACCACCGGAGAAGAUGACCGAAAGUACUAUUCCGGUCAUCUGGUUCAUGAGCUAGGGUUUUAAUGUGCGCACCUGUAACCAUGCAAGCCCCAGUUCGAUCCUUGGCAACUGUUAUUUUAAAAUCCAUUUAUUUUCUCCCUAUGAUCCAAACGUUGCGUUUUGCUCUAGCGCCCUUGUGAACAAGCCUUGCCUCUGUUCGAUUCUUGGCCUGGCAAUUAUCCCAAUUGAUUUUAUUGAGCGCGCCUAUGACCCUAUAGUCCUCAGUUCGAUUCAGGCGCUUUGCAUUUUUUCUUUUAUUUUCAAUUGAAGCGCUGCCUUGGACCUUUGUGUCCUGAGUUCAAUCCCUGACCAAGUAUUUUUCAUCUUUUAAUUCACAUUUCAUUUUUUCACAUGAUUGUUGUGAUGUCUAUUAUUUUUUGAUGUGAUUUUCCUAAUUUUUGUAUUUCUGGAAUUUUAAAUGUGUUUGUGUGAUUGAACAUGAUGCAAAUAUGACAUGUUAUGCUAAAUGUUUUAUGAAAUGCUCAUAUUUUAUCCAAUUGCCUUGAAAUUUGACAUGCUUGAUCUAUACAUGUGACAUGAUUUUUGAGCUUUUGUUUGGCAUUUUUAGCACAUUCCAUCACUGUUUGGGACACAUGAACAUAUGAUGUAGCAUUUGGUGUCACAUUCUUGACCUUGCUUGUGUUCAUUUUCAUUUGCAUGUCAUUUGAUAUCUUCUGGACCUAAUUCUUUGCAUGAUGCUUGUGUUUAAAAUUUUGAUCUCACAUAAAAAAUUUCAUGAUCAUUGGAUGCAUUUCUGUUUUAAUGUGGAUUUUCUACCUUUUUCUUGCCUUGUGUAGAUGAUGAAUAAGCACCACUGUUGAUUGACUGUUUGGUUUGUCUGAAUGUGAUAUUGACUGUUUGACUUUUGUACAGGUACAUUAGUCGCUUUUAGCUCUCGCUUGAGCUUUGCUUUGGUUGUGGUUGAUAUACCACCUAGGUAAUCACUCUAACUCCAUGUAGUCUGGAAGCCCUGUCGUUUCUUUUGGCAUGCAUUUGGUUGAAGUCCUCCUUAAGAGGCAAUGACUGUGUUUAUUUAUAUUUAUGCCAAAGACCUCCUUGUCGAGGCAUGUUACUUGUUAAGUCCUCCUAAGUGAAGAGGCAAUUGACAGAUGGAAAGGAUUAGCAAUCAAUCCCCUGUUAUUCGUUGAAUCGUUCAUUAUGCUCGCACUAUAUGCUGAUGCUCUUGAACCUAACCCAAGAUCCUUGUAUAUAGAGUCAGUCAAGUGGAAUAGGGUCCCUCUUUCUGGAUCCCCAGGUUUUCAUUGAUUUGAGCUCACCCAGGCCAGGGUUAAGAGCAUGAGGUCUUAUCCUCAUUACCUUUCAUCAGCUUCACCCUAACUCUCAAUGUUAGUGGUUAAGAGCUUCAGCACACCCCUACAGUUUUGGCUUGUUUGUCGAGGUUGAUAUGACCCCUUGACUAAAGCCUUACCCUCAGAUGUUUGAGCCCCUUGUUGGCGUGUUUACUUCAUGUAUAUGUUUUUGUGUGGUGUGAUUGUAUCCCCAUAGGAUUGCUAGACUUCGUAUAGUCUCUCGUUUGCAUGUCAAUUAAGGUAGCAUGGUUCCUUCGUCUAGGACUUCCUUUCUUGCGUGAGCAUUCCUAAAACACAAACAAACUUUAUCUUCUCUUAAGGACACGUUGACUCCUUCUACUACAGGUGAGUAAGUCUCCAAAGGUCGAGCAUCCAUCUAGGACUUCCUUUCUUGCGUGAGCAUUCCUAAAACACAAACAAACUUUAUCUUCUCUUAAGGACACGUUGACUCCUUCUACUACAGGUGAGUAAGUCUCCAAAGGUCGAGCAUCCGGUAGAUUGCAUAGUAACGUUGUUCACCUAAAAAACACAACAAACAGAAAUAGUUUAGCCGAACUACGACAACUCUGAUUCUCAUGUUCAGAUGAGAUACGUAGGCAUGAGAUGCGAUGUCUUGUCGAGUUUGACUGACGACUAACAUUAAUCCUUGCUAGUUUUCAUCCUCGUUGCGAUUCUUUUCUCUCGCCCUCGUUGCGAUUGAGACCUUCCUUUUCUCUUGCCCUAGUUGCAAUCGAGACCCUUCUUCUUUUCGUGUGUGUUUGUUAGGAGUCGGAUAUAAGUCCAUCUAUUGGCAUUCUGUUUCCUGUUUGCGUGUGUGUUUGUUAGGAGUUGGAUGUAAGUCCAUUUAUUGGCAUUCUGUUUCCUUGUGUGUUUGUUCGGAGUCGGAUGUAAGUCCAUCUAUUGGCACUCUGUUUCCUGUUUGUAUUUCCUUGUUAGGAGUUGGAUGUAAGUCCAUUUAUUGGCAUUCCGUUUCCUUUGAGUGUUCUUUUGACGUCUCAGCGUCUCUUUUCAGUGUUUUGUUUCGGCGUGCGUUAGCCGAGCUACGAGUGCUCUGAUUCUUCCUCUGGUUAGAGAAGAUACGUAUGCAUAGGAUGCGAUGUCCUAGCGAGCACGUCUCCCAUUUCCCCGAACUACGUCGACUCUGAUGUUUGUUUCUGACAAACUACGUAGGCCCAGGAUGCGACAUCCUGCCGAGUCUGCUUUCUCCGUCUCCUCUUCCGCCUGUUUAUUAUUCCAUUGCGUGCAGUCUUUGAGCAGUUUUAUUAGCAACCUUAUUCUUUCCUUCUGAGCGUGGAUCCCAUCGAGUACGACGGACGUGAGGGGUGCUAAUACCUUCCCCUUGCGUAACCGACUCCCGUACCUAGCAAUCUUUGUUCGUAAGACCAUUCCUUUCCCUUUUUCAGGUUUACUUCGAGGGUUUCCUUUCCCUCCUUUGGGAUAAAUAACGCACGGUGGCGGCUCUGUGUCUUUUCCCGCCGGUUGUUUUUCGCGAUGCGACAGUACCAAUCAAGGUGACCAAGAGGAAAGAGGAGUCACCAUUGAUCAACUUAUAGACAAAAAUUCUCCUUGGAGGAGAACAAAGAGGCAUAUCUUGACUGAACCAAAUCCUCCUUUACCAGAUUACGUAAAACCACCGUAGCCGAUAAUUAAAAAGAAAUUGGUUCAAGAUGAUGAAGCGGGAAUGUUUGCAAAGUUCAAGGAAGUUCUAGCUACUCUCCAGGAAAGUAUUUCAUUCCAUGAAAUUUUAGAACUAAUGCCUAAGUUUGUUAAAUUUAUGAAGGCGUUUCUAAAUGGGACGGAAGAGAAAUGAAUCAAGGAACAUGUAAACAUGACCGAAAAUGAUGAUAUGGUAAAACCUCAAUCCUUACAACCUAAACUAAAAGACUCAGGUAAGUUUAUUAUUUCUUGUAAUAUCAGUGGAUUCAAUAUUCUGCAUGCUCUAUGUGAUCUGGGGUUUAACAUAAAUGUCAUGCCACUGAAAACUGUCAAAGAAUUAAAAAUGGGUGAGAUCACACUGAAUAACAUGACUCUCACUCUAGUUGAAUCGUCUAUUACUCAAUCGAUUGUUACUUUACGCAACAUAUUAGUAUCUGUGGACGACUUAUUGUUUCCUAUAGAUGUUGUAGUGCAUGAUACAAAAGGAGAUUAAGGAGGAUCUGUUAUUCUUGGACGUCCAUUCUUGGCAACCGAGAAAGCAAAGAUUGAUGUGGACACUGGUCAACUUAUCUUGAAGUCAAAUAAAAGGAAUGUGGUUUUCAAGGUAUUUGACUGGGCAUCUUAUGUGGAUAAUUUGGAUACUUUAUACCAUCCGGAGGAAAAAGGUAGAAAAGUAGACAAAGGAACAAUGAGAAAGGAAGUGACAGGCGUGAGGGUAUCCCUUGCACCUGACGUACCUUAGACAUGGAUUGUCAAGCUAGUUACGUAAAAAAAGCGUCUGAUGGGAGGCAACCCAUCCGUAAGAAAUUAUUUUUAUGUCAUAGUGAAUUUUUAUUUUUCUAACCUUGUUAAUUUUUGUGUUAUGUUGUUCGAAGAGAAAAUAGGUAAAAGAAGAAAAGAAAGAAAAAGAAAAAGGGAAGAAAAUAGAAAAAGAAAAGAGAUAGGAAAGUUUCAGCCCCUGGAAUCAUCACGCAUGAUAAUAUAAACUAGUUAUUUACAAUAAAUUUUUUUGAUAUUUAUUUAAAGAAGCACAAUUAAUAUAAAGACAAUAACACACCAAUCACACAUAAUAAUUUUAGAAUAAUUAUACUCUAAGAUUUUGAGAGUCGUGAUAUCUCCUCUUCUUAAAUGUUUAAGAAUUGGAUCUCUCUCACUAAUCUCUAUCCCCUUAUUUAUUUUAAGAAUAAACAUAUUGAAUUAAUAAAACAUAAUUGCACAUUUCUUAUAGCGAUUAUACAAACAACUAUCAAAGUUGAAAAAACUAAAGAGAGGUCAACUCAAUCUUUAUCAAAUUAAAUUAAAGUUUAUUUUAAAACACAAACAACUAGUUCAUUAAAAAGAUAACUUGUUUAGUACACAAAUGAGAUCUUACUUAAUACAUAGAAAUAAGAUCUUACAAAACAUAGAUAUUAAAAACAUAGGAACAACAUGAAAAGUUUUCAAAAUGACAUAGACAUUGAUUAACAAAGACAUGAAUUAGUUUCGGGUAUUUUUUAACCAUCCAUCAAGGUAAACUUGUUUGGAGUCAGGGGUGAAUUUUUCUUUCUCGGCUCGGAUAUCUUUCAACCAUCCAUCAAGGUAAACCUGAUUGUUGUCUGAGGUGGAUUUUGUUGUCUCGGCUCGGAUAUCUUUCAACCAUCCAUCAAGGUAAACUUGGUUGGAGUCAGAGGGCAAUUUUAUUUUUUCAGCUCGAGUGUCUUUCAACCAACCAUCAAGAUAAACUUGUUUGGAAUCAGAGGUGGAUUUUGUUUUCUCUGCUCGGGUAUCUUUCAACCAUCCAUCAAGGUAUACUUGGUUGGAGUCAGGGGUGGAUUUUGUUCUCUCAUUUCGAGUAUCUUUCAACCAUCCAUCAAGGUAAACUUGGUUGGAGUCAGACAUGGUUUCUGUUUGCUUAGCUCGAGUAUUUUUUAACCAUCCAUCAAGGUAAACUUGGUUGGAGUCAGGGGUAGAUUUUUCUUUCUCAGCUCGGGUAUCUUUUAACCAUCCAUCAAGGUAAACUUGUUUGGAGUCAGAGGUGGGUUUUGUUUUCUCUGCUCGGGUAUCUUUCAACCAUCCAUCAAGGUAAACUUGAUUGGAGUUAGGCAUGGACUUUUCUUUCUCGGCUCUGGUAUCUUUCAACCAUCCAUCAAGGUAAACUUGGUUGGAUUCAGAGGUGGAUUUUGCUUUCUUUGCUCUGGUAUCUUUCAACCAUCCAUCAAGGUAAACUUGGUUGGAGUUAGGUAUUGACUUUUCUUUCUCAGCUCUGAUAUCUUUCAACCAUCCAUCAAGAUAAACUUGGUUGGUGUCACCUGUAGAUUUUGCUUUCUCAUCUCGAGUAUCUUUCAACCAUCCAUCAAGAUAAACUUGGUUGGAUUCAGAGGUGUCUUUUGCUUUCUUUGCUCUGGUAUCUUUCAACCAUCCAUCAAGAUAAACUUGAUCAGAGUCUUGGGAGGAUUUGGUUUUCUCUGCUCGUGUAUCUUUCAACCAUCCAUCAAGAUAAACUUGGUUAGAAUUAGCAAUUUGUUUUUGACUCUUCAAUGGAUUUUUGAGCCAACCAUCAAGGUAAGGUUGAUCAGCUUGUAUUUCUUCUACAUUCUCUUGCUGAAGUUUGAUAUAUCGGGCAAAGCUUCCUUGUCCAUUCUACGAUACAAUUGAAUAAAUGGAUAUUAGUGAGUUAUUUUUGGAUGGUAUAUAUGACUAUAAAAACAAAAUUAUGUGUUUUAUGAGACACAUUAUGUUGCACAGGUAAGACACAUUCAUUAUAUAUUUCAUAUGAAUACAAAAUGUGAAAUAAAAAUGAAAGAAAAACAAUUUUUUUUAAUUUCAUUACCGCAUAGAAAAUAUUAUUUUAUCAAAUCAAAUAGAACAACUUGAUUGUAAGUGAAUGAUGAAAUCAAAUCAAAUAAAGAUGAGAAAUGAUAGAUUGUGAUAAAUAAAUGAUGAAAAAUAUAAGCGUAAAAGAUACAAGAAUGGAUGCAAAGUUAGUAAUUUACAAUCAACAAGAGCAUGAUAAAAGGAAGGAGAGACAAAAUAUCUUUUUGUGUCAUUUCUUUAUGUUAUGAUUUUGUGGGGAAAUUAUUUUAAUGUGAAAAGAUGUAUUGAAAUGGAAGUGAAUUGGGCUAUUUAUAAGUGAAUGAAAAGAAAAACUACAUUAAGGACAUUCAGACUUUGGUUGGCCAAAUUACUUUUUAAAUAUUUAGUUUAAUUUAUUUUUUAAAUGUUUAGUUUAAUUUAUAAGUUUAUGUGUCUAAAAAGGAUCAAUUUACUAAGAUUUAUUUUUUCCAAGAUCUAUUAGGUAUUAGGUGAGUUGUUUUGAGUUAUUAAAAAAAUUUAAAAAAUUGUUUGUUUGACAUCAUUUUUUUAAUUAGAAGUUCCUAACUAAAUUCUUUUAGUUUAAAAUAAAUAAAUUUUAGAAAAGCUACUGCAAUUAGUUUUUUAUUUUAAAAUUAAAAUUGAUUUUCUAAAAAUCUUUAAUAAAAAUAUAUUAAAAUGACAAAGGUGAUUUUUUAAAUGUUAAACAAACAUUUGUUUUAAUAAGAUAUUUCAAUUAAUUUAAAAUUUCAUAAAUUUAUUUUAAUUUAUAGUUGAAGUGGUAAUUAUCAUAAUCUCGCCUCUUGAGUUCUAAUAUUUGAGCUAAUAGUAUAAAUAUAUUUUAGUUGAAUUAAAAUUUGCAGUAAUGAUAGUGUCAAUUUUACAAUUAAUUAAACUAAUUUAAUAAUUAAUUUUAUUAAAGGUAAUAAAUGUAAUGAAUUAAUUUAACAACAUCCCUUUGAUUCGGGAUGGGUGCAGGAAUUCCCAGACAUUCAAAUUUAUAGACUAAAAUCUGAAGACUAGUAUAUAGACUAAAAUAUUUAUGUUUUCGUCUUAUAUGUUUUUUAUUAAUAUUUUAAUACAAAUAUUUAUUAAUUUAUUUAAUAGUAAUUAUAUAUUAUAAACUUUAAUUUUUGGAAAUAACUAUUAUUUAAUAUUUUAUAUUUUUUUAAUAAUUAUUAUUUUAUAAAAUUAAUUAUAAAAAAUAUAAUAUUUUAAUUUUAUUAUCAUCAAAUAUACACGAUAUCAAAAUUAUCGAAACUUGUAACAAGUCAGAUGAGUAUACAUCGUGAAUCAUGAAUCUUCUGCUACCAACUCCUAGGGUCUCACUACAUAGCCAACAAUGAAUCCAAAAUAGUCUCACAAGAAACUUGUAAAAAGUCAGAUGAGUAUACUGUGUUGACCAUUACAUGUUUAAGAUGUUCACAUGUAGCUAGGGUUUGCUUGCUUAUGUGCUUAUGUAGUAAGUUAAAAGUUUGUAGUUAUCUAAAAAGCACUACAUUAUUAUAUUGCUAUUAUAAUAAAAUAUUAUCUAAAAAAGCAAUAAAUUAUAAUGAAUAUAUUUUCAUUGUUUUUAUUUUUAUUUAAAGAAUAUAAAUAUCUUUUAAAUUAAUGAUAAAUAAUUGAUUUUAAAUGUGAUGACGGUUUAUAUCCUAAUCUAAAAAAAUAAAUGAUAAAAUGUGAAUAUUUAUAUAUAAAAUUAAAUAUUUAUCUAAAUAUGUAGGUCAGUCCACAUUUAUUGUAAAUUUUUUAACUAAGAUUUUAAUAAUAAAAAUUAGAAUAAUGGUAUUCCUACGACCCUAUUUAAAUGAUCAAAUAUAUUUUUAAUUUUUAAUAAAAAAUAUUUAUAUAAAAAUAUUUUUAUUUUUAAUAUUAUUUUUAUAAUAAAAAUAUAAAAUCUGGCACAAAACAAUUUUAUAUUAAUAUAAAAAUAUAGAUUAUAAAUCACAUAUUUCACUUAUAAUUUAUUAACUAAUAAAAUACGUAAUAUUAAUCAAGUUAUGAUAUUAAAAUAUGAAAUACAUAAUUUGCUUAAUUAUUAAUUAUUACAUUUUAUAUUUUAAUGUCGGAAUUUGGUUAUAUUAUGUGUUUUAUUAAUUAAUGGAUACAAUAAUAAGUAAAAUAUAUGGUUAAUCACCUGUAUUUUUUAAUUAAUAUAAUAGUAAAAUUGGUUAAUAAAAUUGGUUAAUGAUAAACUUUAUACUUAUAUUAUAAAAAUAAAUCAAAAAUGAGUUUAAACAACAUAGGAAAAAGGGAACCGAUACUUGAAUAUAGUAUCUCAAAGACCGUUGAAUUAUUGUUAACCUACUGGAAUCAAAUUGGGGGUUUAUAUUUGAUUCAGAAUAAUUGAUUAUAAAAUAAACUGAUCUACUGAUUUGAUUCCUACCUAUUAUUGAUUAUUAUAGCACGAAUGAAAUUGUAAGAAUUAUGUUUCCUAUUUGUUGAAUUAAGCAAUCAGUUAAGAUUAAAGUGAAUUAUCGGAUGGUAACACGCAAUUAAAAUUGGGGAACAAUAAAUCAAUCCAAUUACACUAAACUACUAAAUUUUGGAUAUAAAAUUUGGUGUAGGAAUAUAAAUGUUCUAAAAAUUAUGAGUGCAAUAUUUAAAAUUAAAAAAAAAUUGAGCUUUAUAAGAUGUAAAAUUAUUUAUUAAACUCUCUUAAUAAAUUUACUAUUAUGAUAAUUUAUUAUGAUAAAUAAUAUUUCAAAUAAGAAGAAAUUGAGAUUUUUAAGAUGUAUAAGUAUUUAUUAAAUUAUUAUAAACCAAUUCAAUUGAUAGUUGUUCAGGAAGAUAUAUGUACUGCAACAGAUACUGAUUCGAACCUGUGAUAUCUCACUUAUUUUCUUUUAAAGGAUGAAAUUCUAGUCAUUAGAUUAAAGAAAACAACAACAAAAUCUUAUUUCACCAUAUGAAAUUGACUACAUAUAUCAACUUUCACACUAAUAUUUUAUCAAUCACCCUAUUUUAUAGCCAUUAGAUUAUUUAAUCAAAAUUAUUCAUAAUAAAUUUCAUUUGAUAUUUAUUUUUUAAUAGAUAAUAAAGUAGAUAUAUUUAAUUUUUAUUAAAACAUUAUUAUUGAAACAUUAUUGAUAUUAAAUAUGACUUUAUUAAUUUUAAUUUUGAUAUAAUUAAUGGAUAUAAGUAUCGGCUCAAGAGAUAUCAAAGCCUUGGCAAAUUUUUAACAAAGAUUUUAAUAAUAAAAUUAUGAGUGUAAUAUUUAAAAUAAAAAUUUGAGCUUUUUAAGAUGUAAAACUAUUUAUAAAAUUAUUAUAAUAGUUUAUUAUUAUAAUAAAAAUAUCUAAAAUAAAAAAUUAAGUUUUUUAAAAUAUAAAAUUAUUGAUUGAAUUAUCAUAAAUCGAUUCAGUUUCUAUUUAUGCAAGAUGGGACAUCCAAUUGUUGGGGCACGAAUUCGACCCACAGCAUCUCACUUUUUUAUCUCGGGAAAUUCCAAUCAAUAAAUUACUUGAUCUAAAAAAAAUCAUAAUAAAUCUUAUUUGUAUUUAUUUUCAAUCAAAUAUAUUAAUCCUUAAUGAAACCUUAAACAUUAUUGAUUUUAAAAAAAAUUAUUAACUUUAAUUUUAUACCAUUAAUAGAAGGACUAUAUACUGGAACGAAUUAAUAUAUUUUCAUUAUUCUUAUUUUUAUUUAAAAAAUUUAAAUAUUUUUUAAAUUAAUAAUAAAUAAUUGGUUUUAAAUGUGAUGGAGUUUAUAUCUUUACCCGAAAAAAUAAAUGAUAAAAUGUGAAUAUUCAUAUUAAAAAUUAUGAGUGUAACAUUUAAAAUAAAAAAAGUUGAUCUUAAAAGAUAUUAAACUCUUUAUAAAAUUAUUAUAAUAGCUUUAGAUUAAUUAAUAUGCACCGUUAAUAUCGUAUUAUUAAUAUGCUCGUCUGUCCGCUUUUUUUAAUGUGCACAGCGUAGAGGAAAAUAAAUAUUUGUUUUCUUUUUAUGAGGUUUUUACUCUAGGUCGCAUUAAAAAUAAUAUUAAUACAUUUUGAAAACGGUAAAUAAAGAUAUUCAAAAUUAUAUCGAAACAUGCAAAGUAAUAUUGAUACCGAACAUGAAAUCUCUAUUCGAAGUAUUUUCUUUAAGAGGAAUGCCGAACAUGAAAUCUCUAUUCGAAGUAUUUUCUUUUUCCCUGCAAUUGUUUUCCGUAGUAAAGAAAAAAUGUAAGACUCUUAAAUUAGACUUUUUUUAAAGAAAAAGAUAGUAAAAAUAAUAGUAAGUAGUGUAAUAUAGCUUUUGCUUACCUUAUAAAGAUUCGAAUCAAUUCUUCGUACAUCCCUUUAUCAAUGCGCUCUUGAGAUUUAAAAAACUACAAAUACAUGAUGAAAUGUCAUAUUAUAAAAGAAAUACAUUCAGAACACUUGACUCGUUUAAAUAUAAUAUGGUUUAUUGCGACUCAAAUAAUACCUGGAGAAUGAAGAUACUUUGUUUUAGUCUAGAUUUCGUAGAACAACAAUUAUGACUUGUUUCUGAAUUACCUGGAUUUCUGGUAAAUAAGGAAAACAAUGGAGUUAGUAAAUAUAUAUGGUUUUAUUUAUAUAAACCACAAAUAGCAGUUAAAUUCAUGCAUUCAAAAAUAAUCUAGAGUAAAUAUAUUCUUAAAUGAAUUAAAUAAAAACCUCUCCAUCCUUUGAGAUAUUAUUUCUCUUUUCACCAUUUUCCAAAGUUGUGUUUUAUCUGUUAUCACCGUGGAGCUCCAACCGAUGGAGUAAAUUUUCAAACGUUUGACCUGUUUCAAUGAGGAUGAUAAAAAUGUUAGUGAAAGAGUGAUGAAAGUGCAAGAAUUUUUUCCAUACGUAUUACGGAAAAGAUAAAUACACCUUAUUGUCGAGUUUGCCGAUGGAUGAAAUACUUUGUUCAUCCUUCCACGUGUUCCAUUUAUCUUCAAAGUCUGUUAUCUAAAAUUUAUUGCAUAAGAAUAGUGAGAAUAACUAUCACCCCAUUUAUAUCUAACAUAAAAGCAUAAAAUAAAUGAUUAAGUAUAACUUACUUUCAUGUCGAAGCAAGUUUCAACAUUCUUUCGUCUCAACUCCCUACAUAAUUGGAAGAUUUCAUCGUGUUCUAGUUUGGCUGUAUAUUAAAGCAAAAGAAAAUUAUAUUUAGUUAUUAUGUAUCUAUUCUAUGAUAUAAAUAAUACAAUAUAAGCUUGGUAUGUCAUGUAACCAAAAUGGGAAUCAACGUGUGAGCAAUUUUUUCAAUGUACUUAAUAAAUACCUGCGGGUGCGAUAAAAGAAUUUGUUUGUAGACUAUAUUUUUUGUGUAGUCACCAUCUUCUCCUUUCAAUUUUCCUUUCCUGGUUAAAACUCUUGUUGUAGUCUGUGAAACACCCCUGGAUAAAGCCACAUAUAACUGUCCAUGACUAAAAACAUGUCGUGGAAGAAUAUUCCAACAUUUGGAAUGGUUUGUCCUUGUGAUUUAUUUAUUGUAAUUGCAAAACUUAGUCGCACAGGAAACUGCUUUCUACUAAGGACAAAAGGCAGUCCAUCACUUGCAGAUGUUUUUAUUUUAAUUCUAGGCAAAAAAGCACGUUUUCCUGCGUUGCUUCCUGUCAGGAUUUCCACAUCCAACAUAUUCAUAAAUAAACCACGACAUAAUAACCGGGUCCCAUUACACAAUCCAUAUCUAGGAUCUAGAUUUCGUAACAACAUCAAUGGUGCACCCUUUUUUAUCUUUAGAAUAUGAGGUGGCAAAUUACCUUGUGCAAUUGAGUUUAAGAAUUCUUGCUGGUAUAAAUUAUGAUUAUCUCCUUCAACCUCGUCAAACGAUAACAAAUUAUGUUCUUCUUCUGGAAACUGAUCGAUAAUCAUAUCAUUCAAUUUCUGGACAUCAUCAUUUGUUGGUGUCAAAAUAGCUCUUUGUAUCAUAUAUGGGGCAUCCCAACCAUGCAAUUAUAGAUCAGGAAAAAUAUGUUGGAUAAGUACUUGUAUGGAAUGUUCACCUUCCCAUGGGAUUGCAAUAUGUAAAGGUAACCUCACCAUGUCAUCUGGUUUGGUAGGUUCUACACCAUCACCAAUGCGAAUAAGAAAUUCUGCAAACUCUUGAUCAUGCAAUGAUCGCAUAUUUUGACGCAAAUGCAAAAUCUUGGUAUGAUUCCAUAAAUGAGACUGAACAAUACACGCUGAAAUCAUUUGUGCCUUAGUACCUUUUCUUACAACAGGAAGAACUUGACGAAAAUCCCCCCCCAUGAUCAGAACUUUUCCACCAAAUGGAGCACUGUUGCUACAAAUGUCUUGUAAUGAUCGAUCUAAGGCUUCCAAACAAUUUUUGUUUGUCAUUGGUGCUUCAUCCCAAAUUAUUGCGGCAACAACUCUAAUGAGAUUUGCAAGAUCCUUUUGCUUUUGAAUACCACAAAUGGAACUCGGUUGAAUAUCAAUAGGUAUCUUAAAUCGAGAGUGUGCAGUCUUACCACCGGGUAACAAUGUUGCAGCUAUACCAGAUGAUGCAGUUGCUAAGACAAUUUCUCCUCUACUUCUUAAACUUGCCAUUAAUGUUCUAUAAAGGAAUGUUUUACCUGUUCCUCCUGGACCAUCAACAAAAAAUACCCCACCGUGUUUUUGAACAAUUACAUUCAUAAUGGUGUUGAAUGCAAUCAUUUGAUCAUUAUUUAACUUAGCAAUAUAUUCAAUAUCUUCAUUGGGGAUAUCGAUCGCUAACUCCUCUUGUAUGAUACUUGGAACUGCACCUCUGUAUAUUGUAUCAGGGGGUAAAGAUGGGAGAUCAUAAUCUUCAAUCUUUUUACCGUGCAGGUUUAAGAGUUCAUUCAAGUCCUUCAACAACAUAUUAGUUAAGUUUGAUUCCACAACAUUGUUAGCUAUUUGAUAAUCCUCUACCAUAUAUGUAAAAAACUCAUUCCAAAGGCCUCUAACAUCAGUAGGUUCACAAAAUAUUAAAAUCGUCACGAAUAACCUUCGUAAAGCAUAUGGCAUUCGGAGACUCGUAGCCUCAACCAAACAAUCACGAAUACUAUGAUCAGUCUCUAGAAAUCCCCUAUCCUCGGCUGAUUUUUUGAAUGUACUGAAAGUCAUGCCAUUAUUUGUAAGAAGAUAUUCCCAACUGGUUGGACCUAUGACAUGCGAUAACAACAGUCGCAAGUAAAACUUAUCUCCCUCCGAAGGUGAUACCGUAUAGAUUCUCCCGAUAACUUUUCUUGUUGAUCGCCUACGAUGCCAUUCCAUAUCCCGCUUGUUCCAACAAUAAUGCUCUGGAAUCUCUCUAUACAGAUACUUUCUUGCUUGUGGAUCUCGUAGAUUCAAUGCAAAGAAUUGUGUGAGCAUUGUUUUGGAGUUGCGUUCAUUAUUUAACACAUCUGCAAUUUGCUGAUAAUCAUAAAAGCGCACUUGAUGGCGGUUCGACAAGUGGAUCUGCAAUCUUUCAACCGAAGGAUAUAAUCGGUAAAGACUGAAUCGAAAUAUUUUCCAUAAUGCCUCGUGUCACAUUACGCGAAAAACCGGUGGGAAAAUGAAACAACAGAGCCGCCACUGUGCGUUAUUUAUCCCAAAAGAGGGAAAGGAAACGCUCGAAGUAAACCUGGAAAAGACAUGGUCUCGCGACUAGAGAGAGAUGGGAUCGGGAGUCGGUUAUACGAAGGGAAGGUAUUAGCACCCCUACGUAUCCGUCGUACUCGACGGGAUCCACGCACAAAAGGAAGGAUAAGGUUGCUAAAACCUGAUCACAAACUGCACACACAAGGCUGAAAAGAGACACAGAAAGACAAAAGAAACUAACUCGGCAGGAUAUCGCAUCCUGGGCCUACGUAGCCUGUCAGACACAGACAUCAGAGUCGACGUAGUUCGGGACGGGGAAAACGUGCUCGCUAGGAUGUCGCACCCUAUGCAUACGUAUCUUCUCUAACCAGAGAAGAAUCAGAGCACUCGUAGCUCGGCUAACGCACGCCAAACAAAACACAAACAGGAAACCGACUGCCAAUCGCUGGACUUACGUCAGACUCCACACAAACAGACAAACAUGGAAACCGAAGGCCAAUCGCUGGACUUACAUCAGACUCCGAACCAAUAAACACACACAGGAAACCAACUGCCAAUCGUUGGACUUAUGUCAGACUCCAAGCACACGACAAACAAACACACAGGAAACCGACUGCCAAUCGCUGGACUUAUGUCAGACUCCUACACAACACAAAGGGGUUGAAAAAGAAAAAGGGCGCCCGGAGAGAUCAGCUCAUGUCCUGCCUACGUACCUUAUCUGGUAUGAGGAUCAGGGCGACGUAGUUCCCCUACGCAGGGAAAGAACUUCUAACCUAACCAGAGACUUGGAAAUGACAAACUAGAAGGGAGACUGACUCGAGCCUAAUAGUUAUCAUGUAAAUUCACCAUGGUCCUAGGUUGAGGUUUCUAUCUAACUUGCACAGGGAUCAAGCUAUCCUAAACAGCACAGGUAAAUACAUACAAGCACAAAAAGCAAGCACACACACUAUAUGCACACAAUUGGGCUCAUACAAGGUUAGGCUGUGAAACACAAGCCAACUGGAAUCGGGUGUAGUUAGCUCUUAACCCUAACAUUGAGAGUUAGGGUGAAGCAGAUGAAAUGGGAAGUGAGGGUAAGACCUCACAGCUCUUAUCCCUGGCCUGGGAGAGCUUCAGACAAAUGAAAGUGUGGGAGUUCAGAAAGUAGGAACUCUUCUCCACAUAUGACUGACACAACAAAGAUCUUGGGCUAUUAUCCACAAUGCAUCAACACAAGGUGUGUGAGCAAAGUGAAUGACACACUGAAUAGCAGGAGAUGGAUUACACAUCUCUUUUAUCUGCCAAUUGCCUCAUAAGAGGACUUUUCCUGCUUGGCACAAAAAUAAACAAACACAAGCAUUGCCUCUUAAGGAGGGCUUCAGACAGGUGCCUGCCCACAUAACAGGACAGGUCUUCCAGACUACAUGAAGUCAGUGAGUUAUACCUCAAUGGUUAAGCAACCAAGCAAAGCAAAAGCAAGUUCAAAAGAACUCAAAGCAACUUAGGUACCUGAAAAAAAUCUAACCCAAUCAGUAUACAAGUCAAACAAACAAACAGACAGUCAAUCACACAAUCAGACAGAUAAGGCAUUAAGCAACAAUGUGCAAGCCACAAGCCAAUGGGCACAACACAAAUAACUUGGCAUCAACCUACAAAACAACUCAAGGUUAGUCAACAUUUAAAGCAAACAUCAAUGCUCAAGUGAGUGAACCACUUCAAUCAUAGCAAUGUGCUUCUUAACCUGAAAUGCACAACCCAAACAGUGAGUCCAAACCACUAGGUCAAGGCCUAGGGUCAAAGAUGGAGAAAAAAUUCAAAACAGAACAUGAAAUUUAACAUGAAUCAACUUCAAUCACAUCUUGACACAAUCCAAAAGGUCUCAUAUCAAUAUCAUUAACCAAAAGCAUUUCAUGAAUCAAACAUGGCAAGGUAUGCAAAUUGUGACCACAUUGUGACAUCAGAAUGAAUAAAUGCACAUUAAAUAAAAAAUGAUUCAAAUAAUUUUGGAAAAAUUCAUGAGUAAACAGGACAUACAACAUGAUCAUCACACAAAAAAUUAGGAGCAUUGGACAACAUUAGGCAUGGUAAUCACAUUGCAUAAGUCAAGGCAAGCAUAACAAGCACAUGUGUGACACAAAAUGUCAUACCAACUUAGCAUAGGCCUAAAACAGAGAUGGAUUAUGGUAAAAACCUCAAACCAAAGUCAAAACACCACUCAAAAUGUCUAGAACUAGUGUGCAAAGUUUCACAUUCAUUGGAUAAGGAACAGGCAUUUCACGAUCAAAUGAAGUUCAAGGCAUUUUGAAAACUCAAAUAUGACCGUCCAGAAGGAAAAAUCUCAAUUAAAUCAGAAAUGAUCCCAAAAAUUCCAACCAAAAUCAUGAGCAAUCACAACAUCCAUAAUGUGCAUCAUACAAAAAAUCAGGACAAUUGGAUAUCAUUUAGCAAGGCAAACACAUCACGUAAGAUGAACAAGCAAAGGUGUGACACAAAUUGUCACACCUACCUUAACAUGAUCAUAAAACAGCAAUGACACAUGAUAAAAAUACCAAAUCAACACCAUAAUUUCAAGCAAAGUGUCAAGUUUAAGCAUGCAAAAUUUCAUGAGCACUGGACAAGAAUCAAGCAUUUCACAAAUGAUAUGGCAAGGCAAUGUCAUGAAUGGACAUGUAUUCAAUCUCCUUAGGCAAAAUAAUUUUCAGGCCAGGCACAAUUUAUGGAAAAAUGAUGAUAAAAUAGUAGACAAAAAAUGCAACAUGAUGCAAAAAACCUCAUAAUUUUUGGAUGAUUUUUCAAUUAUAUAUGAAUUUUUAAAGAUGGAGAAAAAUUAAAAAAAUGAUGAAGCAUAGCAUAUGAAUGAAUGGAGGGAAAUGAGAAAAUCAGCAUGGCAUUUGAAAUAAUUGCAUUGGCACGGAAUCGAACUGAGUAGCAUUUUGAAUGUGGCGCGCUCAAAAAUUAAUGAAACUCAGCGUUUCAUUUAAUACGUGGCCGGUCAAAGGUGAUUGUGCAAGGUCAAAGGUUUCUGAGCGAACCAAAACGCCAUGCGUGCAAUGAGGUGGACCAAUACAUGCGCAUCUCUUAACAAACACAUGCAAAGCAUAAAAAUUCGCAGGAAAUCAUGAACGUUGCAAGAAAAUUCGCAGGUAACUGGAAAAACUGAAGAACAUAUGAAGAACAUAUGAAGAACACGAUGAAGAUCAUGAAGAUCUUCAUCCAAUUUUUUCCAGAAAAUUCCAAAAGUUCCAGAAAUUAACAUUGAGCAUAUCAACAUGUAGAUCUUGCAUCAUACAUCAACAAUCAACAAACAUUUCAUCAAGAAAUCAACAAACACGCAUGGAUCGAAGAUAAAGAGUUUCAUCAUCAAAAUUUUAAACAAUCGUAUCUCACUCAAUUAUGCAUGGAAUUCAAUGAUUUAAAGCUCAGAUUAACCAGCAUUAAGAGAUCAACAACAAUAGCAUAAGAAUUUUGAGAAAGGAGAGAAUCAAUUCAUGACCUCUUGAAGAGCAGCUUUGGAAUUCGCUUGAUUCAGGCUUUGGCAAUGCUCAAAAGUUCUUCUAUAACACUUGUAUGGAUGAUUGGAUGAAGAAUUGAAGCUUAAUUGUGCACGAUCUCUCCAAAAUCAGAUUUCACCAUUGAUGCUUCCAAGCUUCGAGCAUGCUUCAAACUGCACUGAUUCUCUUGAUUCUUCCUUCAAUCUUGCUCAAAGUUGCUUCCAGAUGAUGAAUCAAGUAAUGGAUUAUGAUUUGUUUGAAGAAAUUGAGGGAAAGUUUUGAGAGAAAAUUUGAGAAUUGUAGAUCUAGAUCUGAAAUUUGUGAGUGUUGUUAGUGCAAAACAGUUAGGGUUUUCCUCUUAUACCUCUCCCUAAUCACUCUUUUAAUCAUGCUUAAGAAAAUGGUUAAGUGGAAUAGCAAUUUGGAGUGUAAAUGCAAAAUUUGUUUUUCACCCUAUGCAUGAAAAUCAUGAAUGAACAGUGCACGAAUUUAUUUGAUUUUCACUCAAAAUAUCAUUUUGGAGCCAAUGGUAAUGGUAGAAUGUGUGAAUAAUGCACCAAAUUUAAACUUUAAUUUUUCCCUCCAAAAAACAAGUGAAUUACCAAAUGUUCAUGUGAUGAUAAUGCAUGGCAUGUAAUGCAAGAUUUGGAAACUAGAGGUCAAAAUAAGAGCAAUGCAAAAAGAGCCAUCCAAUUUGGAGUUUUGGUUUGAGAGUUAUGCCCAUUUGAAGUUCAAACCAUACUUUGCCAUGAUUUGAUCAUAUCUCCUUAACCACACAUGAGAAAUUCUUGAUCUUGGACUUUUUGGAAAUGGGAGAGAAAUAUCUACAACUUUCAUGUUGGACAAAAUUUCAUUUGAAGCUUCCUUGAUGAUGUAAUCUUGAGUUGAAAACCUUUCCAUUUUUGGCAAAUUCAAAUUAUAGGUCACCUGCUAUUUUGGGAAAGUUUUGAUCUGACCUCAAAUCCUUCAAUGUUGAUGUUUGAAAUGUCAAAUAAGACUUGUUCCCACAUGAAUGAGACAUCUCUAACCAUCUCCCACCUCCAAAUCCACAAUUGAACUAACAGUUGACUUCUGUUGACUUUUUAGGGUUUCAGAUGAUUUGCACAUUGACUGAUGAUCUCUGAACCUCCAAUUCUUGGCCAAAUCACUUCAAAAUGAUCCUUAGGUCACAUGAACCCAUUGUACCAACCCUAGGGCUUUGAUUCCAUAAAAAAUGCACUUGCUUGCUUGCACAGUUAAAUCUCUUGACCAGUCUUGCCUGAUGACUUGAUGGACUAUGCAAUAAACAAUGCAAUGUUUAUGACCUAAAAUGAAAAUGCAUAUACAAAUGGGAGGUGCAAAUUUGAGGUGCUACAGCUGCCCCUAUUCAAUCAACUGGGAACCCGAACGGAUGAGAGCAACGGCUGUCAGACCUUUAGGGUAAACAGGGAUUGAAUACCAAAGAACCGUAGAAAUUUGCACUCUGCGGGGUAUGAUACAGGAUACUUACAACAGUAACCAGACAAGACGUUUACCGACGACUCUACUGGGGAUUUUGAUUUUUCAUCAAGGGAAAGAUACAACCAAACGUCAACGGACGAAUGGGAAAAACUCAACGUUUGUCGACACCAACGGAGAGGUGACCAGACAUUAACGAAUGACUGGGAAGGACUCGACCAUACGUCAACGGACGAACGGGAGAAGCUCGACGUUUAUCGACACCAACGGAGAGGUGACCAGACAUUAACGAAUGACUGGGAAGGACUCGACCAGACGUCAACGGACGAAAGGGAGAAACUCGACGUUUAUCGACACCAACGGAGAGGUGAACACUUCACUGGGGAAGAAAAACAGAUACUAGCAGCUGGAAACCAAAUAGGACGUUUACCGACGACUCUACUGGGAAUCUUUGGCUGGGGAAUUACCAGACAUUUACCGAUGACUGGGAUGAGACUCGAUGUUUAUCGACAUCGAAAGAUGAUGUUUACCGACAUCAAACAAAGACUACCAGACAUUUACCGAUGACUGGGGAAUAGUAUGUGCAACCAGACGUCAACGGACGACCAGGCAAAAACUCAACGUUUAUCGACACCAACGGAGAGGUGAACUUACUGGGGAAAAGGCUAAACACAACCAAACGUCAACGGACGAUCGGGAAAAACUCAACGUUUAUCGACACCAACGGAGAGGUGAACAAACAUCAACGAAUGACCUGUGGGGAAGAUACAACUAGACGUCAACGGACGAAUAGGAAAAACUCAUCGUUUAUCGACACCAACGGAGAGGUGAACACUGCACUAAGAGAAAGAUGUUACGAACAUCGAAAGAUGAUGUUUACCGACAUCAACAAAGAAGACCAGACAUUAACGAAUGACUGGGGAUGGACUCGAUGUUUACCGACACCGAAAGAAUGGUGUUUACCGACACCAAAGAAAGAACACACGCGGGUGUUGACAUGACACUUACCGGUAUCACAUAUGUCGAGACAAGGCUAAACACUUGCUGGGGGAUCUCACUGGGGAGAAUCAAGCUUUCCUUUCACGGACGGUUGGAGAAAUAAACCUCUCUGGGAAGUCAUCAAUCCUGAAUGCUGUCAGGAGCAACUGUAGCAAACAUGCUGUACAGGUGUUGAACAAUGAUCCGGCUCUGCCGGGGAUAUGGUCCAAUCGGGUUUGACAUAUGAAUGCAUAUGUUUGAAUUUUUCUAUGGCGUAAUGCUCCAUAUUGAAUGGAAAUGCUACGCGUUUUGAGGAUGCAAUGAUCACUACAUGCAAAAUGCAAAUGAUGGACUCCUGCUGGGGGAGACUCUGAUAAGAUACUCCAACUCUGUGGGGAGACUCUGUCUGAGGAAUACUCUACGGGGAGUAGCAUCGACUUCUCACUCCUGCUGGAGAAUAGCAUCGCUGCUGGGGAAAGGAUCCCAAUCCACUCGGGGACUCUGCUAGGGAAACAAACAAAGCGACUUCGCUGGGGAUAGCUGCCAAUCCAAUCCACAGGUAGGGGAAAGGAUCCCAAUCCACUCGGGGACUCUGCUAGGGAAACAAACAAAGCGACUUCGCUGGGGAUAGCUGCCAAUCCAAUCCACAGGUAAGAUAAACUCUGCUGAAGAUAAUUUUCUGGACCUGAUCCACUCGGGGAACCUGCUGGGGAAAACCAUCAACACAAACCUCUACUAAGGGAACACAUCACAACCCUGAUGGGGACAGGCAUUCACCACUCUGCUGAGGAAAAGCAUACUGUUGGGAAAAAAUAUACCAGACCACGCUGGGGAUAGACAUCCACGACCCUGCCGGGGACAAGCGUUCACGACCACGCUGGGGAUAGCAGUACUUCAAGCCAGACUGCUGGGGAUAAAACCACUCUACUGACACCUCCGCUGGGGAUACAACAUCCUUCCAAUCCGGUGGGGAUUAACAAUCUCUAGCUCUGUGGGGAAAUGCCAGCUUUCAGACUAGCUGGGGACUUAACAAUUUUUAGCUCUGCUGGGGAUAGAAGGCACUAUCCACAGACGUCUCUGCAGGGGAGAAAAAUAGUUCUGAUAGCCUCCACACUUGCUCGGGGAAACAGCCACCUCCAAGUCUGCUGGGGAAUCAACCGUGGCUUAACCGCUUCAGCCAGGAAAUCAAAAAGUAACAACCUGCAAAAUAGCACGACAAACAUGCCCCAUGGGUUGCAUAGACAAGAUACGCUCAAGUGUCCUCAACAUUCAAAAUGAUUUUCAAAUUUUUUAUCUUUCUGCACAUUAUUGUCUAGCCUUCAUGUUUUCAUAUGCAAUGUUUAUCAAAAAUUCGGACGUUUUUGCAAACAAAACAGUAAAAUAAAAAACAAGAGAGCAAUUUAUCUGAAUAACGACUUUUAUUGAUUGAAAAUGGGCCUGAAAAGGCGAAUACAUCGGGAGGCAAUUCCUAGAAAGAGGUAAUUGCGCACAAAAGGAAAAACCUAUCCUAAUGGCAAUGUGAACACGACAUCCACUAUUUCCCAAUUCUGUUAUAACUCACAGAUCAUCAGUUUCCUCCCAAGUUCCUUGCUUUCUGAGAAGAAUGAUUGGACCGAUCACAUCUUUGGAGAUGGUAGAUGCUGAAGCACGAUGAAGUACAGAUAACUCAGACUGUAGUCUUUGCUUUAAUCCCUCUUUUGCCUGGAUCGCCCUUUCGGGUUUUCAAUCCACCGGGAUACCCAUUUUUGCCUAAGCCGCCCUUGCGGGUUUUCGACUUACCGGGUGUACAAAUUCUUUUCAUUCUUUUAUCCCUAACUUUUGCCCGAACCUUUUUUUUUUUUGGUUCGCCGGGAUGCCCUUUUUUGCCUGGACUCUUUUAUUCUUUUUGUCCAGCGGGUCAAUUUAUGCGAAGUAUUUUUUGACUACAUCUGAGUUAACAGGGGACGGGAAAUCUUCACCAUCCAUAGUUGUAAGCAUCAAGGCUCCACCGGAGAAAACCUUCUUCACAAUAUAUGGACCUUCGUAAUUAGGAGCCCACUUGCCCCUGUUAUCUAUACCGGGAGGCAGGAUCCUUUUCAAAACCAGAUCACCAGUUUGAUAGCUUCGAGGACGCACUUUCUGAUCAAAGGCUCUCUUCAUCCUUCUCUGAUACAACUGCCCAUGGCAUACAGCUGCUAAUCGUCUCUCUUCGAUAAGGCUCAACUCGUUAAACCUUGUUCGAAUCCACUCGGCUUCAUCAAGCUUGACAUCUAACAAGACUCUCAGAGAAGGGAUCUCCACUUCAACAGGUAGGACAACUUCCAUACCAUACACAAGGGAGUAAUGGGUUGCCCCGGUCGACGUACGUACUGAAGUACGGUACCCAUGCAAAGCAAAAGGUAGCAUCUCAUGCCAAUCCUUGUACGUCACGACCAUCUUCUGCACAAUCUUCUUAAUAUUCUUGUUUGCCGCCUCUACAGCACCAUUCAUCUUCGGUCUAUAAGGAGAAGAAUUGUGAUGUUCAAUCUUGAAAUCUCUACAAAGUUCUUUCAUCAUCUUGUUAUUAAGAUUCGAGCCAUUAUCAGUAAUGAUCCUCUCAGGAACUCCAUAACGACAAAUGAUUUCCUUCUUGAUGAACCGGGCAACCACUUGUUUGGUAGCAUUAGCAUAGGAAGCUGCUUCCACCCAUUUGGUGAAGUAAUCAAUAACAACCAGGAUGAAGCGAUGUCCAUUAGAAGCAGUGGGCUCAAUCUUCCCAAUCAUAUCAAUGCCCCACAUGACGAACGACCAAGGCGAAUUCAUGACAUUCAGAGGGCUUGAUGGUACAUGCACCUUAUCAGCAUAAAUUUGACACUUAUGGCACUUCCGAGCAUACUUGAAACAAUCGGAUUCCAUAGUCAUCCAGUAAUAACCGGCUCUCAACAAUUUUUUAGACAUUGCAUGACCACCAGCAUGGGUACCAAAAGAUCCUUCAUGCACGUCUUGCAUCAACAUGUCUGCUUCGUGUCUAUCCACGCAUCUGAGCAGGACCAUGUCAAAGUUCCUCUUAUACAGCAUGUCAUCCUGAUUCAAAUAAAAGCUUCCAGCUAGCCUUCUCAGGGUUUUCUUAUCAUUCUUUGACGCACCUUCAGGAUACUCCUGGCUCUUGAGGAAGUUCUUGAUAUCAUAGUACCACGACUUUUCAUCAACAGCAGACUCGGCUGCAAACACAUACGCAGGCCUCUCGAGUCGAUUCACCGCAACAUGUGGCACAUGAUUCCACCAAUGAACUUUGAUCAUCGAAGACAAAGUAGCCAAAGCAUCAGCCAUCUGAUUCUCGUCUCGGGGGACAUGAUACAACUUCACCUUCUUGAAGAACGUCAGUAUUCUUCUGGUGUAAUCUCUAUAAGGAAUCAAAUGCAGCUGGUUGGUAUUCCAAUCUCCAUUGACCUGAUUGAUCACUAGAGCGGAAUCUCCAUAAAUGUCCAGAGUUUUGAUCCUCAGAUCAAUGGCUUCUUCUAUCCCCAUGAUACAAGCCUCAUACUCAGCCUCAUUGUUGGUGAUGUCAAAAGUCAAUCUGGCAGAUAAAGGUAUAUGAGCACCUUUAGGAUUGAUAAGCACUGCACCAACACCGUUACCGUUCAUAUUCACAGCCCCAUCGAACAUCAAUGUCCACUUUUCAUCAGGAUCCGGUCCUUCCUCGACAAGAGGCUCUUCACAAUCUUUCAUCUUAAGAUACAUGAUGUCUUCAUCAGGGAAUUCAAACAUCAUCGGCUGAUAAUCCUCGAUCGGUUGCUCGGCAAGGUAGUCUGACAGAAUACUACCUUUGAUGGCCUUCUGCGACGUGUACUGAAUAUCGUACUCAGUUAGAAUCAUCUGCCAACGGGCAACACGUCCGGUGAGAGCCGGCUUCUCAAAGAUGUAUUUCACUGGAUCCAUCUUAGAAAUCAAUAAGGUAGUAUGGUUCAACAUAUACUGCCUCAGUCGGCGAGCAGCCCAGGCCAAAGCACAACAAGUUUUCUCAAGCUGUGAAUAUUUGAUUUCACAGUCGGUAAACUUUUUGCUAAGGUAGUAUAUGGCAUGCUCUUUUCGACCAGACUCGUCAUGCUGUCCCAAUACACACCCCAUCGAGUUCUCAGUCACUGACAGGUACAUUAUCAGAGGUCUCCCUGGAACUGGAGGUAUAAGGAUUGGAGGUUUCUGUAAAUACUCUUUAAUCUUGUCAAAAGCUUUCUGACAAUCAUCAUUCCACUUGAUCGCCUGAUUCUUUCUGAGCAGUUUGAAAAUUGGUUCACAUGUGGCAGUUAGGUGAGAUAUGAACCUUGCAAUGUAGUUCAACCUCCCUAAAAACCCACGGACUUGCUUCUCCGUUUUCGGUUCAGGCAUCUCUUGAAUAGCUUUUACUUUUGCUGGAUCAACCUCAAUCCCUUUCUCACUGACAAUGAAGCCUAAAAGCUUCCCAGAUCUCACCCCAAACGUACACUUGUUUGGAUUCAGCCUCAGUUUGAACUUGACCAAUCUGUCAAACAACUUCUGCAAAUUAACCAGGUGCUCCUCUUCUGUCUGCGACUUCGCAAUCAUAUCAUCCACGUACACUUCAAUCUCUUUGUGCAUCAUGUCAUGAAAGAGAGUCGUCAUUGCCCUCUGAUAGGUAGCACCAGCAUUCUUCAGCCCAAAUGGCAUCACCUUAUAGCAGAACGUGCCCCAAGGUGUAAUGAAUGUCGUCUUUUCCAUGUCCUCUGGCGCCAUCUUAAUCUGAUUAUAGCCAGAAAAACCGUCCAUGAAAGAGAAAACCGAGGAUUGAGCCGUAUUAUCAACCAAUACAUCAAUGUGAGGUAAUGGGAAAUCAUCUUUCGGACUCGCUCUAUUCAAGUCCCGGUAAUCGACACACAUUCUAACUUUGCCAUCCUUCUUCGGCACGGGAACAAUGUUGGCCACCCACGGGGGAUAAGUGGUAACUGAUAGGAAACCCGCAUCGAACUGCUUCUAAACUUCUUCCCUGAUUUUAACAGCCAUAUCAGGACUCGCUCUGCGAAGCUUCUGCUUGACCGAAGGACACUCUUCUCUGAGAGGUAAUCUAUGCACCACAAUAUCGGUAUCCAACCCAGGCAUAUCUUGAUACGACCAGGCGAAUAUCUCCACAUAUUCUCUCAGCAUCUCAAUCAACCUGCUCUUGACAUCUUCCUUCAAAGCAACCCCGAUCUUAAUAUCUUUUCUGGCGUCCUCAGUACCAAGAUUAACAAUCUCCAACUCCUCCUGAUGAGGUUGGAUGACUCUCUCCUCCUGCUUCAACAAUCUGACCAAUUCUUUGGGGAGUUCACAGUCUUCCUCACUCUCCUCUUCAGCUUAGUAGAUGGGAUUAUUGAAAUCAUACUGAGCCAUAACAGAAUUGUUCAUAGUGGAUUCCGUGAGAUCACUUCUGCAUGUUUAAUGCUUUGUUUUAGAAAAAAGAAUUCAAGAAAGUCACAAAAAACAAAAACAUUGCCAUUUUUAUUGUUUUGAAAAAUGAAAACAAAAAUAGAAAGACAGGGAUCACAAAAUUGUUUGCAAAACGUCCUUUAUUAAUGAUAUCAUUGAAAAAACAUGAUGAGGCCCUACAAUGAACCACUACGCCUUGGGCAGAAAAUAGAAAGACAGGGAUCACAAAAUUGUUUGCAAAACGUCCUUUAUUAAUGAUAUCAUUGAAAAAACAUGAUGAGGCCCUACAAUGAACCACUACGCCUUGGGCAGAACGUAGGGUUUUGUGCAAAAUAAAAAACAAAAGAAAAUUACUCUGUUUGAAGAGUAACUUGGACCACAUCUUCUGCUGUCCAAUUGUUGAUCAACUCCCCUGGUGCACACGGGCGAACCCAGUUGUCUAGAUCACAAUCAUUGUCCCCGUCUUCACUACUGGUUGCAAAGACAUCACCGUGAUUCAUCAGCCCAGCGCUGGUAAAGGUACCCGGACCUGUCUGCACACCCUGCUCCGCCUGCAGAGGUUGAUAGCCAAUUCCGAACUUAUCUUCUUUGAUAGGAAAAUCCACCAUCUUGCCCCAGCCUUCAGCAUUACCAGAGUUGACAACCUCCAUUGCCUGCUUGUACGACACAUUUGAGGCACUUGGCUUCUUCUGCUCAGCAAAAGCCACCCUCUCAAGAGCAACGAUCUCAAAUGCCUGGCAUAAGGUUUCAUGGAUCUCGCCAUCCACCUCUACAUACUUGAAAGAGGAUAGGUGACUCACCAGAAUAUCUUCUUCACCGCAUACAGUCACAAUCUGACCGUUCCAGACAUAAACUUGAAAGAGGAUAGGUGACUCACCAGAAUAUCUUCUUCACCGCAUACAGUCACAAUCUGACCGUUCCAGACAUACUUCAACUUCUGGUGGAGAGUUGACGAAACUGCCCCAGCUGCGUGAAUCCAAGGACGCCCCAACAAACAACUGUAUGCAGGCUGUAUGUCCAUCACAUAGAAGACAAUACUGAACACCUCUGGGCCGAUCUUCACCGGCAAUGUGACUUCACCAAAAACAGACCGUUUGGAUCCGUCAAAUGCACGCACAAUCAGAUCACUCGGAGUGAGGAUAACCCCUUCAACAUCAAUCUUACCCAGAAUCUUCUUAGGCAACACGUUCAACGAGGAGCCAGUGUUUACCAACACGUGAGACAACACUGCCCCCUUGCACUCCAUGGUGAUAUGCAAGGCCUUGUUAUGGUUACGUCCUUCAGACGUCAGGUCCAAAUCUGUGAACCCCAAACCAUGCCUGGUAUUCACGUUAGCAAUCACACCCUCCAGUUGGUUGACAGAUAUCUCCUGAGGCACGUAAGCCAGAUUCAACAUUUUCAGCAAGGCGUUACGGUGUGCCUCAGAGCAUAUCAACAAUGAGAGUAUAGAAAUCUUGGACGUAGUCUGAUUCAACUGAUCUACAAUCUUGUAGUCGCUCUUCUUAAUUAUUUUCAUGAACUCCUCCACGUCUUUCUCAAACGAACCCUCAGGCGCCUCUUUCUGAGGUGGUUCUUCAUCAACCACAGCCUGUUUACCCUUAGCUUUGGCGAGAGCCUCAGCGUUAUUGUCUCUCAAAGGUUGCGGAGCAAACAAGCGACCACUUCUGGUAAAACCUCAGGGUCCCCCAACAUUAUCCACAACUGGACUUGCAAUCAUAGGAGUCCUACCAGUCACACCAAUUGUCACAGGAGACUGAUUCACUGGCCUGACCUGAUUUUCAGCCUUUCGGUUGCUGCGGUAAGCGUUGUCAUAUUUCCACGGCACAACCCUACUAUCAACAGCCCUUCUGCCCGAAGCAACGAUUGUAGUUGGAGUAUUGACGGUUAUAGGAACGGAAAUGGUAACAGGAGUACCACUAACUGUAGGCGCACUAACAACCCUCUGGCCACGUCCCUCAGACGGCUUGAAGUAAAUGGUGACGGUUGACACCACCCCACGAUCUUUAACAGCCCGACUGAACUGCAAGCAGCCCUCGUCAAUCAAAUCCUGUAUACCAGCCCUCAACUGUUCACAACCAUUUGCUGACCCGACACAAUCUACACAGCCCUCAUAAUAGCCCGGGAAUACGCCCCCAUUCAAUAGACGGUCCUUCACAACAAACAGCGAUGUUUGGACAUCCUCAACACUGACUACCAAGUCCUCAGCUUUACCAUCUUCCAAAUUGUUCACUCUGUGUGCAUCAUGCGCAGGCAUAGGAUUGUUCACAACAUUCGGCACAGGAGCAAAAUUGAUAGUUUUAGCAUCAAUUAGGUCCUGGACCUUAUGAUGAAAAGCCCUACAGUUCUCAAUGUGGUGCCCCGAUGCACCAGAGUGGAAAUCACAACGCACGUUGGCAUCAUACCCAGGUGGUAUUUUUGUCAACGGAGCCAUGGUACGUAAUUCCACGAAUCCUAAUCUGAGCAACUCAGGCAACAACUCAGCAUAGGUCAUUGGUAACGGAUCAAAACGUCGAUCAGGCAUCCUCUGUCUUGGCUGAUAAGGACGUUGCUGUUGUUGUUGUUGUUGUUGUGGCGGUUGUUGAACUCUCUGUUGUUGCUGUUGACGAGGUUGAGGCGCCGGAAUGGUCACGGCAGCAACCUGGCGAUACUGAUUUAUGUUGUUGUUGUUGUUGUGGCGGUUGUUGAACUCUCUGUUGUUGCUGUUGACGAGGUUGAGGCGCCGGAAUGGUCACGGCAGCAACCUGGCGAUACUGAUUUCUGUUUACAUUUCUUCUACCGUGUUGCACAACAUUGGUUUCACCCUCUCUCCGGCGAGGUGCCCCAGCAAAAGGUUUCUUGGAAGACGAGGAACCCACAUCCCGAAUCUUUCCAGCUUUGAUCAGGCUUUUUGUCCUCUCCCCACAGAUCACAACGUCUGAGAAACUACCGAAUGGGCAACUCCCCAUUCGGUCCAUGAAAACUCCCUGUAAUGUACCGAUGAACAUAUCAGUCAACUCCCUCUCCAGCAUAGGGGGUUGUACUCUUGCAGCCAAUUCACGCCACCUCUGGGCGUACUCCUUGAAGCUCUCUCCAGAUUUUUGACAAAGACUCUCCAACUGAGUCCGGCUCGGCGCCAUGUCCAUAUUAUGUUUAUACGUCCUUAAGAAGGCCUCACCCAGAUCUCUCCAGCAUCGGAUAGAAUCUCUCUUCAGUUCCAUAUACCAAUCCAAGGAAGCCCCGGACAAGCUAUCCUGGAAAAAGUACAUCCACAUUUUCUCGUCAUCUGUGUAAGUAGAGAUCUUUCUGUAAUAGGCCUGCACGUGGGUGCGAGGACAAGAAGUAUCGUUGUAUUUAUCAAAUGAGGGUGCUUUAAAUUUGUAAGGGAUCCUCAAACCUUCCACCAAACCCAUGUUGGUCACAUCAAACCCAAGGGAGUUCUGACAUUCCAUAGCUCGGAUUUUCUCAGCAAGGGUAUCAACUCUCCGAUCCCUCUCUUCGACUCUCACAACAUCAUCGUCUUCACUAAGCAGAGUGAACAUAUCUUCCUGCCUGUCAACAAGCGGAGCAGGAUGACGAAUCGGAGCCCGGGUAGCUCUGGCAUUAACAGUCUCUGCAGCAAGAGGCUGUCCAUUGAUUCUGAUACCCCUCAAUUCAUCCCCUACAGCGUAGUCAUUGGCGGGAGCAGCAGCAACAUUGUCAUGAACCGGGACACCCACUGGUGAAGCACGGUUGGACGGCGGAAUCACGGCUUCUUGUCUCUGGGCUAAGGCACGCAACUUCUCUUACCCUUGAACGACCCCUUGCAUCAUAGUCAUGAAUUGGGCCAUGUUAGCCCUCAUCUCAACCAAUUCUGCUUGAACCUGGUCCAUGUUCCUCUGAUGAUUCAAUCUGGUUGAGUAGCGUUGCGGUCGUUGAUCAGCUAUCCUGCCUGACACAGGAACCAGAGUGAGAAGUCACGAACAAGAACACCUGUUAUGCAAAAUGAUAUGUGUAUGAUGCGUGUGAUGCGUAUGCAGGUUAACUUCUCUUUUUCUAUGCAUUAUUAUUAUUAUUAUUAUUAUUAUUGAAAAUAAACAUGCUAUGAUGCAAAUGAUGGAGCCAUGACUGGUUGGCUGAGUAUCACGCGGCACGGGAUCAAAGCUUCGGCCUGAAUUCGGAACCGCAAAGUCAUCUGAGACCCAAAAUCAUCUGAGCAAGUACCCUCAAAUUCAGCCCAGGGAUCCGAAAUAAACGGAACCCUCUGAUCAAUACCAGGGUCAAACCUCCGGCGUCCAGAAAUAAAGAUCCAUAAAUCCAGCUUAAGGCCACCAACACAACAUCACUGGCAGAAACCUGUACUUGCAAGAAUCAAACCCUCCCCUCACAGGUGAAUUCUAACAAGGUCAUCCUAAGGCGGACAAUGGUCUCGAUAAUCGGGCAAAGAUACUCAAUGGGUUUGCCCUUUCGGGUGUGCCGUUGUAGCUCUCUUAAGAUCGUCUAAACCAAAGAUCCGGGAAAGAUCGGUCACAAAAGUCAAUAGCUCAGAUGAGAUAACCCAACCUGAGUGGAAUAACUCCAAACGGAAGGACUCUCUCAAAUGAACCUCGUCCGGCUGUGGUAUGUCACGUCGCAACAACAUGCUGAUACAGCAAGUGAGGAGACGUGAGACCACGCUAAUCCUAGGUGUAUACUCGGGCCUGGGUUUUAGCCCCACUCAGAACACCCACCCCAAAUCAGAGGAACCACCUGUACAGAAGACAGCACAAUGAUAGUAUGAUGCAUGCAAACAUUUAUGCAAAUAUAUACACAACAUAAUAACCAUAAAUGCAAUAAAUNNNNNNNNNNNNNNNNNNNNNNNNNNNNNNNNNNNNNNNNNNNNNNNNNNNNNNNNNNNNNNNNNNNNNNNNNNNNNNNNNNNNNNNNNNNNNNNNNNNNNNNNNNNNNNNNNNNNNNNNNNNNNNNNNNNNNNNNNNNNNNNNNNNNNNNNNNNNNNNNNNNNNNNNNNNNNNNNNNNNNNNNNNNNNNNNNNNNNNNNNNNNNNNNNNNNNNNNNNNNNNNNNNNNNNNNNNNNNNNNNNNNNNNNNNNNNNNNNNNNNNNNNNNNNNNNNNNNNNNNNNNNNNNNNNNNNNNNNNNNNNNNNNNNNNNNNNNNNNNNNNNNNNNNNNNNNNNNNNNNNNNNNNNNNNNNNNNNNNNNNNNNNNNNNNNNNNNNNNNNNNNNNNNNNNNNNNNNNNNNNNNNNNNNNNNNNNNNNNNNNNNNNNNNNNNNNNNNNNNNNNNNNNNNNNNNNNNNNNNNNNNNNNNNNNNNNNNNNNNNNNNNNNNNNNNNNNNNNNNNNNNNNNNNNNNNNNNNNNNNNNNNNNNNNNNNNNNNNNNNNNNNNNNNNNNNNNNNNNNNNNNNNNNNNNNNNNNNNNNNNNNNNNNNNNNNNNNNNNNNNNNNNNNNNNNNNNNNNNNNNNNNNNNNNNNNNNNNNNNNNNNNNNNNNNNNNNNNNNNNNNNNNNNNNNNNNNNNNNNNNNNNNNNNNNNNNNNNNNNNNNNNNNNNNNNNNNNNNNNNNNNNNNNNNNNNNNNNNNNNNNNNNNNNNNNNNNNNNNNNNNNNNNNNNNNNNNNNNNNNNNNNNNNNNNNNNNNNNNNNNNNNNNNNNNNNNNNNNNNNNNNNNNNNNNNNNNNNNNNNNNNNNNNNNNNNNNNNNNNNNNNNNNNNNNNNNNNNNNNNNNNNNNNNNNNNNNNNNNNNNNNNNNNNNNNNNNNNNNNNNNNNNNNNNNNNNNNNNNNNNNNNNNNNNNNNNNNNNNNNNNNNNNNNNNNNNNNNNNNNNNNNNNNNNNNNNNNNNNNNNNNNNNNNNNNNNNNNNNNNNNNNNNNNNNNNNNNNNNNNNNNNNNNNNNNNNNNNNNNNNNNNNNNNNNNNNNNNNNNNNNNNNNNNNNNNNNNNNNNNNNNNNNAGAAACUAACUCGGCAGGAUAUCGCAUCCUGGGCCUACGUAGCCUGUCAGACACAGACAUCAGAGUCGACGUAGUUCGGGACGGGGAAAACGUGCUCGCUAGGAUGUCGCACCCUAUGCAUACGUAUCUUCUCUAACCAGAGAAGAAUCAGAGCACUCGUAGCUCGGCUAACGCACGCCAAACAAAACACAAACAGGAAACCGACUGCCAAUCCCUGGACUUACGUCAGACUCCACACAAACAGGCAAACAUGGAAACCGAAGGCCAAUCGCUGAACUUACAUCAGACUCCGAACCAACAAACACACACAGGAAACCAACUGCCAAUCGCUGGACUUAUGUCAGACUCCAAGCACACGACAAACAAACACACAGGAAACCGACUGUCAAUCGCUGGACUUAUGUCAGAUUCCAAGCACACGACAAACAAACACACAGGAAACCGACUGCCAAUCGCUGGACUUAUGUCAGACUCCUACACAACACAAAGGGGUUGAAAAAGAAAAAGGGCGCCUGGAGAGAUCAGUUCAUCUCCUGCCUACGUACCUCAUCUGGUAUGAGGAUCAGGGCGACGUAGUUCCCCUACGCAGGGAAAGAACUUCUAACCUAACCAGAGACUGGGAAAUAACAAACUAGAAGGGAGACUGACUCGAGCCUAAUAGUUAUCAUGUAAAUUCACCAUGGUCCUAGGUUGAGGUUUCUAUCUAACUUGCACAGGGAUCAAGCUAUCCUAAACAGCACAGGCAAAUACAUACAAGCACAAAAAGCAAGCACACACACUAUAUGCACACAAUUGGGCUCAUACAAGGUUAGGCUGUGAAACACAAGCCAACUGGAAUCGGGUGUAGUUAGCUCUUAACCCUAACAUUGAGAGUUAGGGUGAAGCAGAUGAAAUGGGAAGUGAGGGUAAGACCUCACAGCUCUUAUCCCUGGCCUGGGAGAGCUUCAGACAAAUGAAAGUGUGGGAGUUCAGAAAGUNNNNNNNNNNNNNNNNNNNNNNNNNNNNNNNNNNNNNNNNNNNNNNNNNNNNNNNNNNNNNNNNNNNNNNNNNNNNNNNNNNNNNNNNNNNNNNNNNNNNNNNNNNNNNNNNNNNNNNNNNNNNNNNNNNNNNNNNNNNNNNNNNNNNNNNNNNNNNNNNNNNNNNNNNNNNNNNNNNNNNNNNNNNNNNNNNNNNNNNNNNNNNNNNNNNNNNNNNNNNNNNNNNNNNNNNNNNNNNNNNNNNNNNNNNNNNNNNNNNNNNNNNNNNNNNNNNNNNNNNNNNNNNNNNNNNNNNNNNNNNNNNNNNNNNNNNNNNNNNNNNNNNNNNNNNNNNNNNNNNNNNNNNNNNNNNNNNNNNNNNNNNNNNNNNNNNNNNNNNNNNNNNNNNNNNNNNNNNNNNNNNNNNNNNNNNNNNNNNNNNNNNNNNNNNNNNNNNNNNNNNNNNNNNNNNNNNNNNNNNNNNNNNNNNNNNNNNNNNNNNNNNNNNNNNNNNNNNNNNNNNNNNNNNNNNNNNNNNNNNNNNNNNNNNNNNNNNNNNNNNNNNNNNNNNNNNNNNNNNNNNNNNNNNNNNNNNNNNNNNNNNNNNNNNNNNNNNNNNNNNNNNNNNNNNNNNNNNNNNNNNNNNNNNNNNNNNNNNNNNNNNNNNNNNNNNNNNNNNNNNNNNNNNNNNNNNNNNNNNNNNNNNNNNNNNNNNNNNNNNNNNNNNNNNNNNNNNNNNNNNNNNNNNNNNNNNNNNNNNNNNNNNNNNNNNNNNNNNNNNNNNNNNNNNNNNNNNNNNNNNNNNNNNNNNNNNNNNNNNNNNNNNNNNNNNNNNNNNNNNNNNNNNNNNNNNNNNNNNNNNNNNNNNNNNNNNNNNNNNNNNNNNNNNNNNNNNNNNNNNNNNNNNNNNNNNNNNNNNNNNNNNNNNNNNNNNNNNNNNNNNNNNNNNNNNNNNNNNNNNNNNNNNNNNNNNNNNNNNNNNNNNNNNNNNNNNNNNNNNNNNNNNNNNNNNNNNNNNNNNNNNNNNNNNNNNNNNNNNNNNNNNNNNNNNNNNNNNNNNNNNNNNNNNNNNNNNNNNNNNNNNNNNNNNNNNNNNNNNNNNNNNNNNNNNNNNNNNNNNNNNNNNNNNNNNNNNNNNNNNNNNNNNNNNNNNNNNNNNNNNNNNNNNNNNNNNNNNNNNNNNNNNNNNNNNNNNNNNNNNNNNNNNNNNNNNNNNNNNNNNNNNNNNNNNNNNNNNNNNNNNNNNNNNNNNNNNNNNNNNNNNNNNNNNNNNNNNNNNNNNNNNNNNNNNNNNNNNNNNNNNNNNNNNNNNNNNNNNNNNNNNNNNNNNNNNNNNNNNNNNNNNNNNNNNNNNNNNNNNNNNNNNNNNNNNNNNNNNNNNNNNNNNNNNNNNNNNNNNNNNNNNNNNNNNNNNNNNNNNNNNNNNNNNNNNNNNNNNNNNNNNNNNNNNNNNNNNNNNNNNNNNNNNNNNNNNNNNNNNNNNNNNNNNNNNNNNNNNNNNNNNNNNNNNNNNNNNNNNNNNNNNNNNNNNNNNNNNNNNNNNNNNNNNNNNNNNNNNNNNNNNNNNNNNNNNNNNNNNNNNNNNNNNNNNNNNNNNNNNNNNNNNNNNNNNNNNNNNNNNNNNNNNNNNNNNNNNNNNNNNNNNNNNNNNNNNNNNNNNNNNNNNNNNNNNNNNNNNNNNNNNNNNNNNNNNNNNNNNNNNNNNNNNNNNNNNNNNNNNNNNNNNNNNNNNNNNNNNNNNNNNNNNNNNNNNNNNNNNNNNNNNNNNNNNNNNNNNNNNNNNNNNNNNNNNNNNNNNNNNNNNNNNNNNNNNNNNNNNNNNNNNNNNNNNNNNNNNNNNNNNNNNNNNNNNNNNNNNNNNNNNNNNNNNNNNNNNNNNNNNNNNNNNNNNNNNNNNNNNNNNNNNNNNNNNNNNNNNNNNNNNNNNNNNNNNNNNNNNNNNNNNNNNNNNNNNNNNNNNNNNNNNNNNNNNNNNNNNNNNNNNNNNNNNNNNNNNNNNNNNNNNNNNNNNNNNNNNNNNNNNNNNNNNNNNNNNNNNNNNNNNNNNNNNNNNNNNNNNNNNNNNNNNNNNNNNNNNNNNNNNNNNNNNNNNNNNNNNNNACAAACACAUGCAAAGCAUAAAAAUUCGCAGGAAAUCAUGAACGUUGCAAGAAAAUUCGCAGGUAACUGGAAAAAUUGAAGAACAUAUGAAGAACACGAUGAAGAUCAUGAAGAUCUUCAUCCAAUUUUUUCCAGAAAAUUCCAAAAGUUCCAGAAAUUAACAUUGAGCAUAUCAACAUGUAGAUCUUGCAUCAUACAUCAACAAUCAACAAACAUUUCAUCAAGAAAUCAACAAACACGCAUGGAUCGAAGAUAAAGAGUUUCAUCAUCAAAAUUUUAAACAAUCGUAUCUCACUCAAUUAUGCAUGGAAUUCAAUGAUUUAAAGCUCAGAUUAACCAGCAUUAAGAGAUCAACAACAAUAGCAUAAGAAUUUUGAGAAAGGAGAGAAUCAAUUCAUGACCUCUUGAAGAGCAGCUUUGGAAUUCGCUUGAUUCAGGCUUUGGCAAUGCUCAAAAGUUCUUCUAUAACACUUGUAUGGAUGAUUGGAUGAAGAAUUGAAGCUUAAUUGUGCACGAUCUCUCCAAAAUCAGAUUUCACCAUUGAUGCUUCCAAGCUUCGAGCAUGCUUCAAACUGCACUGAUUCUCUUGAUUCUUCCUUCAAUCUUGCUCAAAGUUGCUUCCAGAUGAUGAAUCAAGUAAUGGAUUAUGAUUUGUUUGAAGAAAUUGAGGGAAAGUUUUGAGAGAAAAUUUGAGAAUUGUAGAUCUAGAUCUGAAAUUUGUGAGUGUUGUUAGUGCAAAACAGUUAGGGUUUUCCUCUUAUACCUCUCCCUAAUCACUCUUUUAAUCAUGCUUAAGAAAAUGGUUAAGUGGAAUAGCAAUUUGGAGUGUAAAUGCAAAAUUUGUUUUUCACCCUAUGCAUGAAAAUCAUGAAUGAACAGUGCACGAAUUUAUUUGAUUUUCACUCAAAAUAUCAUUUUGGAGCCAAUGGUAAUGGUAGAAUGUGUGAAUAAUGCACCAAAUUUAAACUUUAAUUUUUCCCUCCAAAAAACAAGUGAAUUACCAAAUGUUCAUGUGAUGAUAAUGCAUGGCAUGUAAUGCAAGAUUUGGAAACUAGAUGUCAAAAUAAGAGCAAUGCAAAAAGAGCCAUCCAAUUUGGAGUUUUGGUUUGAGAGUUAUGCCCAUUUGAAGUUCAAACCAUACUUUGCCAUGAUUUGAUCAUAUCUCCUUAACCACACAUGAGAAAUUCUUAAUCUUGGACUUUUUGGAAAUGGGAGAGAAAGAUCUACAACUUUCAUGUUGGACAAAAUUUCAUUUGAAGCUUCCUUGAUGAUGUAAUCUUGAGUUGAAAACCUUUCCAUUUUUGGCAAAUUCAAAUUACAGGUCACCUGCUAUUUUGGGAAAGUUUUGAUCUGACCUCAAAUCCUUUAAUGUUGAUGUUUGAAAUGUCAAAUAAGACUUGUUCCCACAUGAAUGAGGCAUCUCUAACCAUCUCCCACCUCCAAAUCCACAGUUGAACUGACAGUUGACUUCUGUUGACUUUUUAGGGUUUCAGAUGAUUUGCACAUUGACUGAUGAUCUUUGAACCUCCAAUUCUUGGCCAAAUCACUUCAAAAUGAUCCUUAGGUCACAUGAACCCAUUGUACCAACCCUAGGGCUUUGAUUCCAUAAAAAUGCACUUGCUUGCUUGCACAGUUAAAUCUCUUGACCAGUCUUGCCUGAUGACUUGAUGGACUAUGCAAUGAACAAUGCAAUGUUUAUGACCUAAAAUGAAAAUGCAUAUACAAAUGGGAGGUGCAAAUUUGAGGUGUUACACCUCGGGAGCACAAAUCCAUCUUGCAUCAACAUAUUGCUGAACUUCAUCCAUGUAUGAUCCUUUAUGAACCUCCAUAGCCACACGAUCAGGGCCCUUGUACACAUAUUUGUAUAGAUACUUGAUACUUUUAAUGCUACUGCAAAUCUCUACAUUGAUGUGACAGUCAUGCUUUAACAGUAACCAAGGUUUAUAAGGAACCACCCAUCUAUUAUCGACAGACCUAUCUUUACCUAACGAUACAGACUCAUCAAACCUUCUCCUAUACUCGGGAUAUGAGUCAGUGCCUUGACGUGUUUCAUCCAAGAACUGUUUGGGAUACCUUUUUUUACAAUGUCCGUCUUUCAUACAUGGAGACUUUCGGUUGAUUAUGCCGCAAGGUCCGUGGAUCAUAUGUCUUACAACAGCUUCAUGCAACUGUGGUUCACAUUCUAAUUUAGGUAUUUCUGCUCUUACCAUACUAUCAUAAUCUUUUGGGUCACGCAACUUAUCGUUACUUUCUAAGACCAAUAACAUAUGCACAUGCGGCAAUCCUCGCUUUUGAAAUUCAGUGACAUACAUGUAGCUUUUAACUUUACCCAAGACUCCUUUAUUAAUAACAUCAUCCUUCAAUUUCUCAAAUUUCGAACGAAAUAUUCUUGUUAGCAAAUCUGGACGAUCUUGUGGUGUUUGAAAAGGCAAAAGUUCUGAUGUUAUCUCCCCCCAAGAAGGAUUGCAUGUCAUUGUUAGAAAAAUAUCUGGUUUACCGCCAUUAAGAACAAUAGCCAUGCCAUCUUCACAACGUUGUGUCAUGUCUCGACGACUGCCAAUAAUUGAUGAUGACAAUAUUUGUCUUUUUUCAAUGUUUUCUACGGCGAUUCAUGAAAUGCAUUAGUAUUAGGAUACAUGAAUGAUUAGCAUUAUAAGUACAACUAAUUAUUAAUCUAAAACUAUAUAUUUAUGCUACAUGAAUUUGUACUUGCAUUAGUUUUACCAACAUGCAAAGCAUCCUGUAAACCUUUGUACAAUUCAGCACGAUAUCACUUUGGUGCUCUUUAAUCCACCUUAACUUCCCUGAUUCAAUUUUGACAUAAUUGUCUACAACAUAUUAUUGCAAUAGUCGACCCGCAUUUAACAACAUUGAUUGAUCCUUUGGGCGAAUCAACAGUUGAUUGGAAAAAAAUGUCGGUGCUAAAUGUAAAGUUUUUUAAACAAUGCUUAGCUAAGUAUACCAUCUACUAAAAUUAAUCUAAAUUUACCUGAAGCAUGUAACUGUAAUAUGCUCGACAUGACACUCUUCGUCCAUUAUAAUUUAUUGUGUUGACGUCCUAACCAUGCUCCCAAAUAGAAACAAUAUAGGGUAUUGCAAAGGAUCAUAAUAUCUCUUUGUCCCUUGAACUUUCUUGAGAUUUCCAUCAUGACGAAUGUCAUUAAUAUCCCUUCCAUAUUCCAUAGAAUUUGCAUCACAUCCAACAAUAAUUGCCGCAACUUGUUAUGUAAUACGAAGAUUGUAUUGAUGGUGAUUACUUGGAUGCUCCUUAAGUAUGAGGCUAUAUUCACUGAUAUUUGAAACUAGUGACAAUUGCUUAAACCUAAUCACAAAAAGACUAAACUGAUGAAGCAUUUUCUAUAAUUUGUGAACUACAUUUUGGUGCAGCGUGGAUUUUCCUGCAUUCUAUUAUGUAGCUCAUUAUCGGUGUCGUAGAUGUAUAGUUGUAAGAAACGUGGCCUGACACCAUCAUUUGGAUAGAAACCUCAUAUGUUAUGGUAAAAAGCACCUUGAGCACGAAAUGUGUAUAUACCACGACCAUAUGCAAGAAUAUUCUCAUCAACCUGAACACUAAUUGAAGUGAAUGAGAGCACAUGGUUAUAACUUUGAAUAUGUUGCCUAACAUGUUUUCCUUCAGCUGAACCAUCCAAAAGUAAUUGUUGCAAUUCUAUAAGAGCAUUAACUCGUGAAAAUGAUACCCUCCCACCAGUACAGAACGUGUCACAUGAUUCAUGAUGAAAUAAUCUUGCAUUGCAGUGUCCACAGGUAAUUGGAUGAGGCAACCGGGAUUUUGCCAUCAUCGUGUUAUUUUUGAAAUUUCGAGCAAUAUUGUGCUUUGCUCGAAAAGCAUGUUCUGAUUCUACAGACAAAAGUUUGAUAUUGAUUACUAAAUAAUAUCUAAAAUCUAAAAUACAAAUAAUAAUUAAGAUGUGGGUUUGAAAUUGGUAAAAAAACUAAAAUGACAUAAGAAUAUUUUAAGAUGCCUCAAUUAAAAUAUUUUAAUAUUGCAUGAUUUUAAAUUUUAUGUCACUUGAGUAAAAGCUACAUUUAUUUGACAUAAAAUGUUUUUGAACAUACCUUGAGGACGACAUGAUGAUGCACCAUUUUCUCUGGCAUCCAUGUUAACAUAUGAUAUUACUGCAUCCUUCAAAGCUUCAUCAACAUCCAUAUCAUCUAAUACAAAAAUGACAAUUAAUAUAUAUACAUGUGUAAAAAUUACUACUCGCAUACUUAGAACAAUAUCUCUUAUACAUGUAUCAGAUUGACUCAUGUUGUUUUGUUGAUUAAGUGAUGUGCAAUUACGAUCUGUGAGUUUAAAUACAUAAAAUGAAAUAUGACGAAUAAACAAAAUUAUACAAUGUAAUAUAUAAUGUCUAUAUUGAUCAUCACCAACCAAGUACAACAUCAUUAACAUGUGUAAUUCUACUUGGGUCGGCUUCACUAUCAUGAGUUCCUUGAAAGUGUGAACUUGAAAAAAUCAUAUUUGUAAAAUUUUGAAAUGGAACUCUCGACUGACUGUUUAUAAUGCGAGAUGUUUGAACUUGUUUCUCUUGCUCUUUCUGCCACCUAUAAUUUUCACAUCGUCUCGACAAAUGGUGUUCUCUUUGCUCGUUGUUCAUAUUUUGUCUCCUCUUUCUUUCAUUUUUAAUCCUUCUUGCCAUUUGUUGUUGACUUGAUAUUUGACGGGUAUUAAUUUCCAUUUUAUUAAUGUAACUGUCAAACACAUAUGUAAUUUAUAAGCAACAUAAUCUCAUUAAUUAUGUUGAAAAAUAGUAGUAAAUAUAUAUUUUCUUUAAAAUAAAUAUAUAUUUUUUUAAAAAGUUACUCCAAAAAUAAUAUUUGUAAAACAUAUGUUAAAAAUAUAAAUCUAAACUAAAAAAUGAAAAAUACAAAGAAGAAAGUAUGCAAAAUAAAUUAAAAAUGGAUAAUCAAUAAAAAGAAACAUGUUGAAAAAAUAAAUAAAAAUAUUUCAUAUUAACUAAGCAUUGAAAUGUAAAAUGGUGUGAGAAAUUNNNNNNNNNNNNNNNNNNNNNNNNNNNNNNNNNNNNNNNNNNNNNNNNNNNNNNNNNNNNNNNNNNNNNNNNNNNNNNNNNNNNNNNNNNNNNNNNNNNNNNNNNNNNNNNNNNNNNNNNNNNNNNNNNNNNNNNNNNNNNNNNNNNNNNNNNNNNNNNNNNNNNNNNNNNNNNNNNNNNNNNNNNNNNNNNNNNNNNNNNNNNNNNNNNNNNNNNNNNNNNNNNNNNNNNNNNNNNNNNNNNNNNNNNNNNNNNNNNNNNNNNNNNNNNNNNNNNNNNNNNNNNNNNNNNNNNNNNNNNNNNNNNNNNNNNNNNNNNNNNNNNNNNNNNNNNNNNNNNNNNNNNNNNNNNNNNNNNNNNNNNNNNNNNNNNNNNNNNNNNNNNNNNNNNNNNNNNNNNNNNNNNNNNNNNNNNNNNNNNNNNNNNNNNNNNNNNNNNNNNNNNNNNNNNNNNNNNNNNNNNNNNNNNNNNNNNNNNNNNNNNNNNNNNNNNNNNNNNNNNNNNNNNNNNNNNNNNNNNNNNNNNNNNNNNNNNNNNNNNNNNNNNNNNNNNNNNNNNNNNNNNNNNNNNNNNNNNNNNNNNNNNNNNNNNNNNNNNNNNNNNNNNNNNNNNNNNNNNNNNNNNNNNNNNNNNNNNNNNNNNNNNNNNNNNNNNNNNNNNNNNNNNNNNNNNNNNNNNNNNNNNNNNNNNNNNNNNNNNNNNNNNNNNNNNNNNNNNNNNNNNNNNNNNNNNNNNNNNNNNNNNNNNNNNNNNNNNNNNNNNNNNNNNNNNNNNNNNNNNNNNNNNNNNNNNNNNNNNNNNNNNNNNNNNNNNNNNNNNNNNNNNNNNNNNNNNNNNNNNNNNNNNNNNNNNNNNNNNNNNNNNNNNNNNNNNNNNNNNNNNNNNNNNNNNNNNNNNNNNNNNNNNNNNNNNNNNNNNNNNNNNNNNNNNNNNNNNNNNNNNNNNNNNNNNNNNNNNNNNNNNNNNNNNNNNNNNNNNNNNNNNNNNNNNNNNNNNNNNNNNNNNNNNNNNNNNNNNNNNNNNNNNNNNNNNNNNNNNNNNNNNNNNNNNNNNNNNNNNNNNNNNNNNNNNNNNNNNNNNNNNNNNNNNNNNNNNNNNNNNNNNNNNNNNNNNNNNNNNNNNNNNNNNNNNNNNNNNNNNNNNNNNNNNNNNNNNNNNNNNNNNNNNNNNNNNNNNNNNNNNNNNNNNNNNNNNNNNNNNNNNNNNNNNNNNNNNNNNNNNNNNNNNNNNNNNNNNNNNNNNNNNNNNNNNNNNNNNNNNNNNNNNNNNNNNNNNNNNNNNNNNNNNNNNNNNNNNNNNNNNNNNNNNNNNNNNNNNNNNNNNNNNNNNNNNNNNNNNNNNNNNNNNNNNNNNNNNNNNNNNNNNNNNNNNNNNNNNNNNNNNNNNNNNNNNNNNNNNNNNNNNNNNNNNNNNNNNNNNNNNNNNNNNNNNNNNNNNNNNNNNNNNNNNNNNNNNNNNNNNNNNNNNNNNNNNNNNNNNNNNNNNNNNNNNNNNNNNNNNNNNNNNNNNNNNNNNNNNNNNNNNNNNNNNNNNNNNNNNNNNNNNNNNNNNNNNNNNNNNNNNNNNNNNNNNNNNNNNNNNNNNNNNNNNNNNNNNNNNNNNNNNNNNNNNNNNNNNNNNNNNNNNNNNNNNNNNNNNNNNNNNNNNNNNNNNNNNNNNNNNNNNNNNNNNNNNNNNNNNNNNNNNNNNNNNNNNNNNNNNNNNNNNNNNNNNNNNNNNNNNNNNNNNNNNNNNNNNNNNNNNNNNNNNNNNNNNNNNNNNNNNNNNNNNNNNNNNNNNNNNNNNNNNNNNNNNNNNNNNNNNNNNNNNNNNNNNNNNNNNNNNNNNNNNNNNNNNNNNNNNNNNNNNNNNNNNNNNNNNNNNNNNNNNNNNNNNNNNNNNNNNNNNNNNNNNNNNNNNNNNNNNNNNNNNNNNNNNNNNNNNNNNNNNNNNNNNNNNNNNNNNNNNNNNNNNNNNNNNNNNNNNNNNNNNNNNNNNNNNNNNNNNNNNNNNNNNNNNNNNNNNNNNNNNNNNNNNNNNNNNNNNNNNNNNNNNNNNNNNNNNNNNNNNNNNNNNNNNNNNNNNNNNNNNNNNNNNNNNNNNNNNNNNNNNNNNNNNNNNNNNNNNNNNNNNNNNNNNNNNNNNNNNNNNNNNNNNNNNNNNNNNNNNNNNNNNNNNNNNNNNNNNNNNNNNNNNNNNNNNNNNNNNNNNNNNNNNNNNNNNNNNNNNNNNNNNNNNNNNNNNNNNNNNNNNNNNNNNNNNNNNNNNNNNNNNNNNNNNNNNNNNNNNNNNNNNNNNNNNNNNNNNNNNNNNNNNNNNNNNNNNNNNNNNNNNNNNNNNNNNNNNNNNNNNNNNNNNNNNNNNNNNNNNNNNNNNNNNNNNNNNNNNNNNNNNNNNNNNNNNNNNNNNNNNNNNNNNNNNNNNNNNNNNNNNNNNNNNNNNNNNNNNNNNNNNNNNNNNNNNNNNNNNNNNNNNNNNNNNNNNNNNNNNNNNNNNNNNNNNNNNNNNNNNNNNUUUUUAAGAAUAUCGUGUCUAUUCAAUGUACUGAACUUAUAAUAUUCUUUUAUUUAUAAUUCUUAAUCCGUCGUGGGACACCGGUUAAUAUGACCCAUAAAGUAUUAUUUGUCUUUACUAAUAAUACGUUAAUUUUAAUUGUAUUAUAAAUAUUUUAAAUUGAAUAAAAUGUUUUAAUUACAAUUUAACAUAUAUUUAUCAAUUCUACGAAAAAAAAUUGAAAAAAUAAUUUAUCAGGUAUUGCAAAGGAUAUCCAUUUUAUAUAUAGGUAUAGAUUUACAUUUUUCUUUAUUACAGACUUGUCAAUAUCAAUGUGAUGUUAUAUGAUUGCAGACACAUAGUAACAAUUUCAUUAUGGAUACAAGAGCGAGAGAAUUGGACUCAGGAGGAACAUGAGACGCUGCAUCUAGAGGAGUGGGAGAUGAUGUUGCAGGAGGAGCGGGAGAGAAUAUUGCAAGAGGUGUGGGAGGAGCGAGAGAGGUUGGCUGAGGUUGACAGAGAGAAGUGUACUCGCGAUGUGAUUGAAGUAUAAUUUAAAAUAUUUGUAUUGUACGUCGUUGUUAUAGUUUGUGUAUUUUAAUUUUUGUAUUGUAUUUCAGUUGUUUUAAUUAUGCAGAAAUUGAAAUCAAUGGGUGUACUCAACCACCCAAUUCCAAAUCAGUUAGGUUAGUAAUAGAAAAUUUUGAGAAAGUAAAACGGUAGUAUUUGGAAUCACAUGUUCACAAAUACAAUAUGAUUUCCUGGAAGUUAUGUGUGACAGUGAUUCUCCAUUUGAAAUUUAAAAUUUGAAAAUGAAAAUGAAAUACAAACCACUAUUCUUAUGUAGUUACCAUUUUUAUGUUUGGCUCUUUCUUUUUGUAACUUCCCGAUGGAUAUUUGUGGUGAAGUAAAAAUUAUGGUUUGACGUGUGAAAAAGAAAAUUAAUGAAGGGUAAUAAUGGAAUAGGAAAUAUGUCACUCCAAAAUCAUGUAUUCCUUUUAUAUAUAGGUAUAGAUGUAGGCUAACAGGAACUUUGCAUCAAAAGGAAGAUAGAGGCGAUUCUGUAUGCUGUUAUAGGUUUUGACUAUUUUUUGCGUUAUUAUUAUGUUUUCUUUUAAAAGAAAAUAUGUAGUGGCAGUCAUUUGAUCUCUUGUUUUCCUUUACAUUUUUCAUAAAAUAUAACAACCAAUAUGGAUUUCUAGAAAGGUUGUGACAUGACAAUCCAUAAAUCAAUAAAAUAUAAUUAAUAAAUAAUUAAAGAGUGAUUUCCAUUAACUAACUACCCUUCCAACAUGGUGGUAACCAAUCGACGGGUAAAUAUUUCCAAGCAAUAUCUUCAUUAAAAAUUCCUUUUUCUUUAAAUUGAUUAAAGAUCAUGAUUAACAUGUGAAACUGACCACAGAGAUAGGUGAAUUUUCAAUGCGGUCAACGCGAAGCACUUCCCAAGAUUUUCUUCACUAUCUUGUAUUUUUUUGGUGCAGGAUAAGAAGUGAAUAAUAUGAGUAUGGAGUUGGGUUUUUAUUGAUGUUAAUUUGUUUACUUUCACUUUCAAAACAUCUCCCUGCAACAGAUAAAUAUUGAGCAAGUCAAUAAGGACAUAAGAAAUAGACCUACAAUAAUCCUUAUAAUUUAUAAUCAGAUCAAGAUUAUGACAAAAAGAUAUCACAUUUUACACAAUCCAUGACAUUUUUUACAACAAAAUAUCCAUAGUAUAACUUCAGUCCUUAUAAAAAGCUACAUGAAUAUUCAAUUGAUUUCUGCGUGCUUUCACAAUUACCAUUAAUUAAGUCAAAAAUUCAACAAUGGAAGUUGAUCUGAUGACAUAUCCUCAUAUUUAGAAAUACAUCACCGUGUUUCACCUUAGACAAUAAGAACAAACUAUCUCUAACCUCACACAUCUUACUAUAACACCCAUCACUCAAUCCAUCCAUUCAAACAGACACUGCAAUCCGUUUUAGGCCAAAUUAAGUAAGUGAAUAAAAUACAGAAAAAGAGUAAUAGAAAUCAAAACCUAAACCACAUAAUCCUCCAUAUAUCAAAAAGUUAAAUCAAUGAACAAUUUUCGUAGAAGCGACACUGAAUUUGAGAAAAUGAUUUGGUUAUGGAAGAGAAGAUAUAGUAAAAGAGGAAGGAGCAAAUGUGGGUUGGUAUGGUUAUGAAUUUUUCUCCUAACUUUGCGUGGAGAAGAGAAAGAAAGAGAGAGAAAGAAAGAAAUUUUUUAUUUUUGAAUAUGCAGUUAUUAUAUAUAGUGGUGUAGGAGGAAGUUAUUUAGUAUAGUUGAUGUGUUGGAGGAAGUUAUUUGAUGUGUUCAUGGAGGUUACAUAAUUAAAAAAUGAGUUUUUUUUGUAUUUUUUUUUAAUUUAAUAAUUGAUAGUAAUUGUAACAAUUGAUAAAGGAUAAAAUUGGAAGAAAAAAUACAAUAAAUAUUUUCUCUUUUAAUAUUUUUUCUCCUCUUUUAAUUAGUAUAAAUAAAAAUUUUUCUCAAUAAUAUUAAAUAAAAUACAUAACCAUACCAGUACAAAUAAAUAUUUUUAAUUGGAAGAAAAUAUUAUUUAGUCUAAACAUUUAUUAAUUGGGAAGAAAAAAUACAAUAAAUAAUUUUUGGAAAUAUUAGACUAAAUAAUAUUUUAUACUAAUAAUAAAUGUUUAGACUAAAUAGUUAAUAAAUAUUUAGACAAAUAAUAAUAAUCAGUACAAAAAAUAUAUUAGUUACAAAAAGUUAUAUAUAAAUUACAAUAACCGAAAAAAUUGAAAUGUAAAUAGGAAUUAGGAAGUUAUUUGAGUUCACCGCCGCCUACGGCCAUUAUGUGUUAAUUCUUUUUAUUUUAAUUAUUAUUAUUUUUAAAUAAAUAAACAAAUAUAAAAAAGAAGUUACUUUUUAAAAUAAUAAACAAAUAUAAAAGAAGAAGUUAAGUGAGGGUAUUUGUGGAAGAAAUAAAGGCCUACCAAAAUCACCUAUCCCCUUUAUAUAUAGUUAUAGAUAUAAAAGAAGAAGUUAAGUGAGGGUAUUUGUGGAAGAAAUAAAGGCCAUACCAAAAUCACCUAUCCCUUUAUAUAUAGUUAUAGAUGAUUUAAUUAGUAUAAAUAAAAAAAAAUUCUCAAUAUAUUAAAUAAAAUACAUAACUAACCAGUACAAUAAAUAUUUUAAUUGGAAGAAAAUAUUAUUUAGUCUAAACAUUUAUUAAUUGGAAAAAAAUACAAUAAAUAAUUUUGGAAAUAUUAAACUAAAUAAUAUUUAUACUAAUUAAUAAUGUUUAGAUAUAAAUAGUUAAUAAAUGUUUAGACUAAAUAAUAAUAAUCAGUACAAAAAAAUAUAUUAGUUUACAAAAAAGUUAUAUAAAAUACAAUAACCGAAAAAAUUGAAAUGUAAUAGGAAUUAGGAAGUUAUUGAGGUUUACAACCGCCCUACAGCCAUUAUGUGUUAAUUCUUUUUAUUUUAAUUAUUAUUAUUUUUAAAUAAUAAACAAAUAUAAAAAAGAAGUUACUUUUUAAAAUAAUAAACAAAUAUAAAAGAAGAAGUUAAGUGAGGGUAUUUGUGGAAGAAAUAAAUGUCAUACCAAAAUCACAUAUCCCCUUUAUAUAUAGUUAUAGAUGCACCGGUGUACAACACAUAAAAGGAGGCGCCAAUUCAGUUGGCUACAGUGUACAAGAGAGAGUGCGUAACUCUGUCUCAUAUAUAUCGGUACACUAUCGUCAAUUGGAUUGACACCUCCUCUUAUGUAUUAUACGCCGACACCAAUUGGAUUGACGUCUUCUUUAUUUUAAAAAUAGGUUACUUUGAGAAAUAGUUGAAAAAAUGAAUUAUUUUGAGUAUUUAUUUUAAAAAAUAAGUUAUUUAGAUAAAAAAAAUCCCUUAGUGAAAUCUUAAAUAUUAUUGAUUUUAAAUAAGAUUUUAUUAAUUUAAAUUUUAAUACCAUUAAUAGAAGGACUAUAUUCUGGUAUCAACGAAAAGGAUUAUAUUAUUGGACUAUUUUAAAUUUUCUAUUAUAUUGUUGUGGUCUACUAGGGAUGUUCAAAACCAAAUCAACCCAAUAAAAAACGGUAAACAAAACUAAACCAAAUUGAAACCGCAAAAAACCGCAUUUGAUUCGGAUGCAUUUGAGUCAUUUUUUAACAAAAUCGCACGAUUUGGUUUGGUUUGCGGUUUGUAUUUUACAAACCAAACUAAACUAAACCAAAUCGCAUUAUGUUACAAUCCAAACUUCACUUAUCCCACAUCCAAUCUAAAACUCAAACCUAGUAUGCCUUAACCUUAUAAUUACAAAUGAUUUUCUCUUACUCACAUUUAGGGUUUCAAUUUCAACAUUCUUAAAUCUCUCCUAGUAGUAUUGCGCAUUCUUCUCGCCUUCUUUGCCAUAUACAUUUCGUGUUUUCUACUAUAAUAUGUCCUCUCUUAUGUUCUUUCUUUUUCAUCUUUUAUCUUACUGUUUUCUCUUCCAAUUACAUUUUUAUCGCACAUUUCUUCUCAAUCUCGCAUCUCUUAUGUUCUUUUUUUCAUCUUCUCUAAUUUCUCAUCUAAUAUAUAUUUUUUUAUAUUUUAUUAUAAUGUAUUUGAUAUUAUUUUAUGCUAGUAUUUUAUAUAUGUUUUUUAUUCCAUUUUUUUAUAAUCUAAGUUUUUGUAUAUUGAAUGAGAAGUUUUUGUCUAAAUAUGGUGAAUUUUGAUGUUAUUUAGUAAUGUAUGAAAGACUAAACACAAAGUUAUGUUGAUAUCUAUAGGGUAUGUUAGAUUAAUUACUAUAUUUUUCUAUAUUUUUCUCACGAAAAUUCUUUUCUCGCUCUCAGUGAAAACCUCCUGCUUACAUGAAAACGCAACCCGCACCCCAAAAGGACAAAAACACGCAUUAUGUUUCUUGGAUAAAACCCUUAGAAACCUUAUUCAGAUUUCAUUCACAAUUCUUCUUUCAAUUUCUAUCUCAAUCGAAAAUUCUAUUAUGCCUUAAAAACCCUAUUGAACAUUUUCAAAAUCGUUCCAAUCCCUAUCUCGAUUAAAGAUUCUCAAUUUUUUCCGCUCUCAAUCAAAGUUUCAGAUCAAUUCCAAUCUUCCUUCAUAUUUUCAUAUCAAUUUGAAUACCGAUCCAUAAUCGCUCAUAAUCUCUCAUUCGAUACCCGCUCUCAGAACAUGUAUUUCCUUUUUUGAAAUGUAGUUCACAGGUGUUCAUUAAAAUAAAGUUUCACUCUCGACAUGGUACGAGCAAUUGAUUAUUAUUUUGAGAUUUUCCCUUCUAUAUUCCCCUAAAUCCAUAUUCUGAUUUUGUUAAAUUUUGUACCCUGUAUUUUCCUUCGAGAUGAAAUUGUGUGUCACUAAGAUUUUAUCUCACAUGGUGGUUUUGGGUAAACAUGACAUUUAGUGUGGCUAUUUAUGUUCUGGUGUGGCUGAUUAUAUCCUAUUCAUGUUUUUUGUUUAUUGUUUUAGGUGGUUGCUAUAUAAUCUUGUAGUUUUUUGGUUAUGAGAUAUAUGUUGGAAAUCCCCAAAAAUCUAUGGAGAAUUUCAAUCAAUCUUGAUGAACAAGAUUGUUAUUACCCACACAAUAGCAAUGAAAAGAGAAGAAUAAUGGAGAAAGAAAGAGUGUAUAGAACGAUGAAGGAGAAGAAGAAUUAAAUUCUACAAAGUUUCUCUCUGCCCACAAACUGUGGAAAACUUCUUAUUCAUUUUGCAACUGCAAAAUACUGUGAAUACAAUGUUAUGAAUACUUUAUUCAGUUCAUUACAAAAAUAAGGGUUACUCCCUCUAUUUAUAUAUUUAGGUUAACUUGGACCUCAAGCCAAAGCCCAAAACUAUAAAAGCCCAAAAUAGCUAACACUACUAAAAUAGGCAUAUGUGGUUCGACACUUCCUUACACUGUCGAGCAACCUGCUUCGACAUAAGGAAUUACAAUUCAACACAUCACCUAAUUCAUUGUGUCUAAGCUAUCUACAUUCAUCAUAGCUCUUAGUCUUCUGAACACUUCGACAUGCACUCCCUUCAUCAUGAUGUCUGUAAUCUGAUUUUCAGUUCUGCAGUGUUCCACAUUCAUCUUCCCACCCGCUACAUGCUCUUGAAGAUAAUGGAACCUCAUUCUGAUGUGCUUGCUUCGACCAUGUGCUAUCGGAUUCUUCGCCAAAUUGAUAGCUGACAUGUUGUCGAUCUUCAUGGUAAUUGCUCUAUGAAUCUUCGCUGUUAUCUCUUCGACCAGAUUCACCAUCCACGUUGCUUGACAUGCACAAAGAGAAGCAGCUAUAUAUUCCGCUUUGCACGAUGAUAAUGCCACUACUGGCUCUUUUCUUGAACUCCAAGCAACUGGUGCACCACCUUGCAUAAACACAUAACCAGUUGUGGAUUUUCGAUCCUCAGCAUCACUACACCAACUUGAGUCGGUGUAUCCCACUAAUUUGCAUUCUUUUUAUUCAUCAGCUGCAGGAAACAAAAUGCCAUAGUUGAGAGUUCCUUUCAGAUACCUUAGUAUCCUCUUCGUCGCUGCUAGAUGUGAUCCCUUUGGCUUCUGCAUGAACCUACUCAUCAUACCUACACUGUAUGCUAAGUCAGGUCUUAUAUGACCAAGGUAUCAAAGUGACCCAAUAAGUCUUCUAUAUUGGGUUGGGUCGACAUCAUCUUCAUAUGAAUCUUUCGACAGUUAUAAUCUGGGCUCAGCUGGAGUCGAAGUUGGGUUGCAAUCUUGCAUCUCAAAUCUCUUGAGUAUUUUGCCUGCAUACCUUCUUUGAUGCAUCAUCAAACCUCUACCACUCUUGUAGAAUUCGAUGCCAAGGAAAUAUGAAAUGCCACCCAAAUCUGACAUUUCGAAUUCCUUGUUGAGAUCACCUUUGAAGUCUUCGAUCUCCUUCUUGCAACUACAUGUUAUCAAUAGGUCAUCGACAUAGAAGCAUAGUAUAAGCAAUUCACUAUUGAUUCUUCUUACAUAUACUCCAUAUUCAGAUUUUCACUUUACAAAUUCCUUCUCCCUUAGAAAUCCAUCUAUCUUCUUGUUCCAAGCUCUUGGAGCUUGUUUAAGUUUGUACAGGGCUUUAUGCAGCCUGUACACCUUUCUUUCUUCACUUUGCUUCACAAACCCAGCUGGUUGUGCAACAUAAACUUCUUCUUCUAAGGGGCCAUUAAGGAAUUCACAUUUCACAUCCAUCUGACACAUCUGCCAGUUGUUCAUGUUUGCUAGACCAACAACCAACCUAAUUGUUUCGAUCCUAGCAACAGGUGCAAAAACUUCAUCGAAGUCGAUUCCUUCUUUCUGAAGAAAUCAUUUUUCCCCAAGUCUCACCUUGUGUCAAGUCACUUCUCCUUUGGGAUUCAACUUCACCUUGUAUAUCCACUUCACAUCGAUUGCCUUCUUGUCUUGGGGAAAUUCGACAAGUGACCAAGUGUUGUUGACUUCGAUUGACUUCAGUUCUUCGUCCAUUGCUUUCAUCCACUUUGAAUCUUUCAAUGCCUCAACUACAUUAAAAGGUUCGACAUCUGCGUAGAAAGAAUGAUGUACCAGCUCACCUUCUUCAUCGACCAUAUCAUCUGAUGUAAUCACACAUUAUUGCAACCUUGCAAGCAUGUGUCUUGUUCUUUGAGGCCUGCUUGGGCCUGCUUCACCUCUGACUUCUUCCUGUCAAGCUUCUCUUUCGACUUCACUAGCUGGUUCAUCAUAAAAGAUUCUCACUGAAUCUUUCUUGACAUUCUCAGUCCAAUCUCACUCCUUAAUCUCAUUUAUGAUCACAUCCCUACUGAUCACUACUUGCUUACUCUCUGGGUCGAACAACUUGUAUCCUCCAGUCGAAUGAUAUCCUAUUAGGAUCAUCUGACUCGACUUGUCAUCAAGUUUUCUUCUCAACUGAUAUGGAACAUGUCUAUAUGCUAUAGAUCCAAACACUCUCAGAUGACUCAAGCUAGGCUUGACCAAACCAACAUUCUUCUGGCGUGAUUCCUCCUAGCUUCUUCGUCAGACAUCUGUUCAGGAUAUAUGUCGCAAUCGAUACAACUUCUCCCCAUAAUUCUUUAGGUAGAUGCUUGCCUUUCAACAUACUUCUAACAAUAUUCAUGAUGGUUCUAUUCUUCCUUUCUGCGACUCCAUUCUGUUGUGGAGUGUAGGCCGACACCACCUCAUGCACAAUCCCUUCUUUCAUACAUAAUGCGUCGAUGUCUUUCGACACAUAUUCUCCACCACCAUCAGUCCUCAAAAUCUUGAUCUUUCGACCACUUUGUCUUUCGACCAUAGAUUUAAACUUGGAAAAUACCUCGAUCACUUCACUUUUCUUCUGGAUCAGGUAAGACCACAAUUUUCGACUGAAAUCAUCUAUGAAUGUAACAAAGUAUUUGUUACCUCCAAUCGAAUCCACCCAGAGAGGACCACAUACAUCAGAGUAUAUGACUUCAAGAAUUGCCUUCGACCCGCUUCCUGCAUCCUUACUGAAGUUGUUCUUAUGCUGCUUCGCUUGCACGCAUUCUUCACACACUUCAUUUGGAAUGUCGAUUUCUGGUAAUCCUGAAACCAUAUUUCUUCUCUUCAAAUCUCUGAUGUCUUUGAAAUCGAGAUGACCAAGUCUGUAAUGACAUAUCCAUUCAUCUCUAUUGGCUGCUGUUACAAGGCACUUAUGCUCCAUCACAUUUAGUUCAAUCUUGAAGGUUCUAUUCUGAGACAUUGUAGCCUUCAAGAUCAACCUUCCAUUUGAGUCGAGAACUCUCAUCAUCUUGUCUUUGAUCGACACCUUGUAGUUAUUUUCGACCAACUUCCCUAUGCUGAGCAAAUUACUCUUCAUGCCUGGUAUGUACAACACAUUUGAAAUUAUUGACCUCUUGCCAUCUUUCCUCGUAAUCAGAACAUCACCAACACCUUCAGCUGCUAGAUUGUUGUCAUUUGCAAAUUUCACCAUGUUCUUAAUUGAGGAUUUUAUGUUGACAACCUAAUAUUUUCUUCCAGACAUGUGUGAUGAGCAUUCUGAAUCCAAGUACGACUGGUCCUUGAAUCUCUCUUCAUCUCUUGUUGUAACCAUCAUCAACGUCUCUUCUUCUUCAUGUUUCGCCAGUUUUGCGUAAGUUUCUUGAUUCUUCUGCUUUUUUGGACAAUCACUAGAAUAGUUACCAUACCUUUGACAAUUGUAACACUGAAUGUGACUCUUGUCUGCCUUUUGACCACCACCUCUUCCUCUACCUGCAGCACCACCUCUUUGGUUACCUUAGUUCUAGGGUUUUCUCUGAUUCGACCAGUUUCCUUCUUCCUGAUUUUGACCAGUCGAAUUAUUGUAACCUCUUAUGCUUUGUUGCCAUUCCAGCUUCCUUUUCCUUUUCUUUCUUUUGCUGAUUGAUCCUGCAAAGCCAUAUCACUCUUCGACUUUCCUGCAGCUCUUUCAGUCAUUCUUUGUUCAUGAGAUUCAAGCAUCCCUUGAAGCUCUUCCUUUGUCAAUUUUGACAAAUCUUUCGACUCUUCUAUGGAUACUGCCACGUGGUCAAACUUUGGAGACAAGGACCUCAAGAUCUUUCCAACAACAGAUCUUGAUGUCAACACUUCUCCACAUACCUUGAUUUGAUUCAUCAGUUUCGUAACCUUGGCGAAGAAAUCAAUUAUGCUUUCAUUGUCUUUCAUCUGAAGCAAUUCAUACUUUCUUUUGUGAAUUUGUAACCUCACCUCUUUCACCUUCUCCACGCCUCCAAACGAUUUCUCCAGAAUUUCCCAUGCUUCUUUCGCUGACUCUGCAUCACUAACCUUUUCAAAGUUAUCUGCAUCAACAUAUUGAUGGAUUAUAAAGAGAGCUUUAUAAUCUUUCUUCUUAUUCUUUCGCUGACUCUGCAUCACUAACCUUUUCAAAGUUAUCUGCAUCAACAUAUUGAUGGAUUAUAAAGAGAGCUUUAUAAUCUUUCUUCUUCAAUUCUUUAUGUGCAGCCUUUUCUUGAUCCGUCACGCCUUCUGCAAGCGUUGCUACUCCUUCCUUCACAAGAUCCCAAAGAUCUUGAUAACAGAACACAAUAUUUAUCAGCUUGCACCAAUUCUCAUAAUUGUUUUUCUUGAGAAUCAGAAGAUUUGCUGGAAAACGCCCGUUUGAAUGAUUCGUUGUCAUGGUGAUUUUCUUCCCACGAACCGUUUAAAUCGGAGCUCUUGAUACCAGAUGUUGGCAAUCCCCUAAAACCUAUGGAGAACACAAUAGCAAUGAAAAGAGAAGAACAAUGGAUAAAGAAAGAGUGUAUAGAACGAUGAACGAGAAGAAGAAUUAAAUUCUGCAGAGUUUCUCUCUGCCCACAAACUAUGGAAAACUUCUUAUUCACUUUGCAACUGCAAAAUACUGUGAAUACAAUGUUAUGAAUACUCUAUUUACUUCAUUACAAAAAUAAGGGUUACUCCAUCUAUUUAAAGAUUUUGGUUAACUUGGACCUCAAGGCAAAACCCAAAACUAUAAAAGUCCAAAAUAGCUAACACUACUAAAAUAGACAUAGGUGAUUCGACACUUCCUUACAGUGUCGAGCAACCUACUGUGACACAAGGAAUUACAACUCAAUAAUAUCUCCAUGUACUUCUUGCUAGAUUUUAAGAAUAUAUAAGGGUUCCUUAUUGAUGAAGUUGUUGUUUUAUAAAAGAUUAUAAUCUUGAGCAGAUCAUAGACUACAUUAGGGGCAAGCAUUAUUUACAUGACAUGUUGUGACUAUGAAGUGUAAUAUUAAUCUUCAUGCUAUAAAGAUAUGUAAUAUUCUCAUCAUAUAUAUAUAUAUAUAUAUGUGUGUGUGAGAUUUAAUUUUUUUUUUUUGAUAAAUAGUUGAUGCUCUAUUUUUCUUUGAUUCCUUAAAUAUUUUGGUGAAGGGAGUACUCUAUUUUUCUGUUGUUUGUACUUUAAUGAUUAUGCAUUGUGUGAAUUGGAUAUUAUUCUGUUGCAAUUUAAAUUGAUUCUCUGUGCAAAUUGAAUUGUUGUUGUAGGUACUUUGAGGCUGCUUCACCGUGUGGAUUAAAAUUAAUGUUGUUUGUUCAUUAAUAAUAGUAUUUUCUUAGAAACUAAUAUCUCUAUCUUUGUAACAGUGGGAAUACGUUUUUGGUUUGGUUUAAUUCUUAUAACUAAAUUCAAUGAAAAAUUCAGUAAAAGGUCUGCUGCUCACUAUUUUAGAUUCCUAUAAUUUUAGCAGUUAAUCAUGCUAGAUUGAUUUAUUUUUUUACGUUGGAUUGGAGCUACAUUUAAGUUUGAUUGUAAUUUCAUGUCUUAUGUAACUAUGUAUUUCAAAAUCUACUCUACCAUUCUCUCUAAUCUAAUAUUCUGGAACUACUUCUAAUGAAUGGAAACAUAUUAGUGUGAUAAAAAUUAUAUCUAUUCUUUAAAUUAAUUUAAAAAAAAAAAAUUAAACUUGCUUCCAAGUAUUCGUUUUUACUGUCACACAUCUAGCUAUUUUAUACAUGAUUUGUAUUCUAAAGAGUAUUAAUCUUUGUCGAUAUCAAUGUUGUUGUAUUGUUAAUCUUUUCUUCCUAAAUGGUGUGAUAGCAGUUGUUAGGUGGAAUCAUAUUAAUAUAUCAUCUUAAUUUGAGUAGAAAAUGAAUAAUUUUACAAGAGUCCUUGGCCCUUGCUUCCGUCUUAUUGUUAAUGAUUUUGUUUCAUUCCUCGUAAUCUAAUAAAUUAUGUUCUUGUUAUAGGUAAUAUUUGGGACUAGUUCUUGUUGGGAGUUCACCCUCUAAUCCAAACAGAUCUUCUAAUUUCCUUUCUCUUAUAUAUUUUUUAUUUUCUUUUCCUUUUGCACAUUUAGUUCCUUUGUCUAUCUAUAUAGGAUCCUUUCACUUGUUGUAUCGAAUGAAAUCCACCAUUUUUAACGUCGAUUAUUACUAUUAAUGGAUGUUAAAUAAUGAUCUCCAGUUUUGGUUGUUAAACCUAAAUUGACAUUUAACACCUAUUUUAGGUCAUAAACAAGUGUUGGAUAUUAAUAUUUAACACCGUUUUUUUUAUUAAUAAUAGGUAUUAAUUUUUAUUUCGUAGUGCAAAAAUAAGAUAUUACACUUAACAUUAUAGAUUUAAUACCGGUUCAAAAUUGAUAUCAAAUGGAUUUGAAAUACCGAUUUUAAAAACCGGUGUAAGAUACUCCACUUACAAUAUCGGUAGCAAUAACACCGGAAAAAAGAAGGUGUGAAAUAUCAAAUAAUUAGGUAUUAUAGCCUCCGUUUACNAAAUUUAAAUACCUAUCACCACCGUUAUUUAUUUUAACCAUUGUGAAAGGAAUUAUAUUUAAUCUACAAAUUCAAGUUACCAAAUUGCAUCUUAUUUCAAUCAUCUAGAAGUUAAAAUCAAGUUAGUCUUAAUUAAACACCCACAAGUCAAUGUCCAAGCCGAAUGCUCCAACAAAGUUAUCCUCUAUGAGGUCAAGAAAAAUAUUGACAAAUUAAAAGGAGUAUGGCGUGAACACCUAUGUGAGGUAUCCCUAUUCUUAAUUUUCCACUAAAAAUACUAAAUUUCAAUCAUUUAUUUUAAAUCUCACACCUAUUUAUUAAGAUAUAUUUAAAGAUCUCGUUUAUGGAAAUCACGGGUAUUAUGGUCAUAUCAUAUGGUACCACACUCUUCUAUAAAUGAAUCAUUAUUUAAGAUAGUGUAUGGUUCAAGAGCCAUGCUACCCGUAAAAAUAUACACAUCCACCUACCGAUGAGAAUAUUUCAAUAAAUAAGGUGUAACACUCAUGGAGUUAGUUUGCCAUUUUCUCUUACCAACAUGUUUUCUAACCCCAUAUUUUGUUACUAGUAUCUGUGAGUAAUGCAACUUAUUGUGUUUAAUUGUUUUUUAUGAAUCUGUUAAAGAGAAAGAUACAUGUCUUAAAUGCGUGCCAAAUCUACUUGUAAAGCCCGCGAAAUAGCCCACAUCCAAGAGUUCACAUCAAAAGAAAGAUCUCUAAGGAGAUACAAUUCUCAAGUUAUACGCCAUGAGAAAUGAAGUAGAGCGUCUUAGUGAUCAAACAAGUGGUAGAACAUAAUAGGAUUGGUAAACUCUUUCCUAUAUGGUAAUUUCCUUACAGAGUACGUGAGAAGCUAUCACUUGUAGCCUAUAAACUAGAAGACUUGAAUGAAGAUGUUGUUCCUAUGUCUUGGAACUAAGUGAAUUUAAGACAUUAUUACAAUUAAUGAUUACAUUAGAAGCUAAUAAAGUGAAGAUAUAAACCGACAUGACUUAAUUUUUUGUACAUAUGGAAGUGCGAGAGAUUUUAAUGAGGCAUCCUAUUUAAUAAAUUCGCUUUAUCGCUUAUUCAUGAAAAAGUAAUACAUAUAAUAUUAUUGUUCCCUCUAAAGUAUGAUUGCAUCUUUCGAAAUAUCAUUACACUCUCUGGGAUAUUAUAGUCCCCAAAAGUAUUAAUUGAAUCUUAAAGUAGAUCAUCUUCUCCAUAAUGAUAUCGUUAUUCCUAAUUGGAGGCUAAAUGUUUUUUUUAAUGACUAAACUCAACGCCAUGCUUGAAAAACAAUUUACUAAAGCUUAGAAAAGUACAUGAGUUUAGUUGUUAUUUGAUAAUGUUUUGAAUGACUAAACACAAAAUUAUGUUGUCCUAUAUAGGUGUAUGAAUGACUCAAUAGAAAUCUUGUAAAAAAUCGAACUAACUAAACAAAUUCAAACUACGUUGUUUUGUUUUGAUUUGGUUUAGUUUUAUUUCUAAAAACCAACCAAACAAAACCAAACCACACUUUUUUUCUCUUGCGGGUCAGAUGACUUUUAGAAUACAAAUAUCUUAACCCGCACCGUGAACACCCAUAUGUAUAAUAAAAACUCAAAUAACUGAUACCACUCUUGAAAGCGUUAAGCAAAAGUAAGAACUUUUUAAUGUAACAUGUGAUCAAACUGAGGAGUACAUGGAGUAUUUGAAACAAAGGAUCAGAUCAAAGUGUAAAGUGGAUGGGGAGGGAUUAUAUACCUUUAAGAAUUUGUGUCAUAGGUAAGAGAGAGAGAGAGAGAGAGAGAGAGAGAGAGAGAGACAUCCAUCAUAAAAAAUACACCAAAGUUGUGAAAGUUACCAAAUAGCUUGGAUUUAUGUAAGGUGGAUUUUGACACAUCAUGUUGUUAAUACAUAUAAUCCUUUAUUCUAUGGAACACAUAUUUCCUUAUAAUCCUUUUUGGUGUUUUAGUCCGAUCUUAGACGAGGAUAAAGUGAGAUUAAUGGAGAUUGUUCAAAUAAGUGAAUAUACAUCAAUUAGUUUGGCUUCAAUUUAACCCAAUAUGUUAUUGCAUAGACUUAUGUUUUCCAUUACUCCAAAACCACAUUUAGACAACACGUUUGACAAAAAAAAAGCAUUUUUUGCUUCUGGAAAACGUGGUGCAUAUAGGUUUAAAGUGAGCUAGUGGCAAUUGAAGGGCUUUUAUACACACACUUAGUAUUUCAAUAAAAAAAUUAUCUAUAUAGAAAUUAUUAUUUGAUAUUUAUUUUUAUGAUUAAAUAAUUAUAAAAUUUAUUCUUUACAGAAUAGAAUUUGAACACAUAAAUCACACUUAAUAUAUAAUACUAGAAUAAUUGUAUUAUAAGGUUUCAGGAGUCUUGACAUCUCAUCUUCUCAAAUGUUUGAGAGUUUGAUAUCUCUAUUCCUUUAGUUAUUUUAAGAGUAAACAUGUUGAAUUAAUAAAACAUAACUUCACCUCUAAGGUUUGAAAAACUAAAGAGACACCAACUCAAUCUUUAUCGAAUCGAAUUAAGGGUUAUUUUAAAAGACAAACAUCUAGUUCAUAGUAACAAUAUCUCAUUAGGUACAUAAACGAGACCUUACUUAGUACAUAGAAAUAAGAUUUUACAGUACAUAGAAGUUAAAAACAUAGGAACAACAUGAAAUUUUUUCGGAAUGACAUAAACAUUGACAAACAAAGAUAUGAACUAGUUUUGAGUAUCUUUUAACCAUCCAUCAAGGUAAACUUGUUUGGCGUCAGGGGUGGAUUUUACUUUCUCAACUCAGAUAUAUUUCAACCAUCCAUCAAGGUAAACUUGGUUGGAGUCAAAUAUGGAUUUUGUUUUCUCAGCUCAGAUAUCUUUCAACCAUCCAUCAAGGUAAACUUGGUUGGAGUCAGAGGGAGAUUUUAUUUUCUCAACUCGGGUAUCUUUCAACCAACCAUCAAGAUAAACUUGUUUGGAGUCAGAUAAGGAUUUUGUUUUCUCAGAUCGGAUAUCUUUCAACCAUCCAUAAAGGUAAACUUGGUGGGAGUUAGGGGUAGAUUUUAUUUUCUUUGCUCGGGUAUCUUUCAACCAUCCAUCAAGAUAAAUUUGGUUGGAGUCAGAGGUGGAUUUGACUUUCUCAGCUCGGGCAUCUUUCAACUAUCCAUCAAGGUAAACUUGGUUGGAGUUAGAGGUGGAAUUUUCUUUUUCUGAUCGGGUAUCUUUCAAUCAUCCAUCAAG